rnacentral:lncRNA from 1 species
AUCUAUCUUUUUCAAUGUUCAUUAUGAUGUUCCAUAAGGUUGAAACAGCCUUGAUCCAGAGCGAUCCUAACACGGACGGACUAACCUUCGCCGAAAGUGAUCAACUUGAUGGUCCCGGGACCUCCGUUGCCCUCGAGGACUUCGACGCUCUUGAUGGCUUGCGGGAGCACCUUGGGGAUGAGGUUAUCAGCAUCGAGGACAGCGGCCUUGAACAUCUUGGCCGGAGGGAUUGGGGUCGUGACCUCGGAGUCGUAACUGACGACACCCAUGAUUUGGAUCCGAAUGGAGUUGCCGAAAUAGAGAAGAGGGUGAUCAGGAAAGGCUGAUUAGCAGUGAUGAAGUUGGUCUCUAGGACUCGGUAGUGAAGAGAAGAGGAUGAACCAAAGCUGACAUAUAUAGAGAGACCGAGUUUGAAGGGUUCUCGUUAUUGGAUAUUUUCUUCAAGUGUGUUCGUUUGGUACAAAAUAGAGAAGAGGAUGAACCGAAGCUGACAUAUAUAGAGAGACCGAGUCUGAAGGGUUCUCAUCAUUGGAUAUUUUCUUCAAGUGUGUUUGUUUGGUACAAAAUAAAUAAUUAAAUAACUAUUUGUAUCAUUUGGUAUAAUUAUUUGAUGAGAAAUUUUUGCAUUAUUGACAGUAAUUUAUAUCUAAAUAUUCCCGUGAAUGAUGAAAAUAUUUUUUAUUCAUUCCUUUUAUAAGUUAUAUGAAAAAAAAUAUUUUUUUACAAAACAAACGAAGCUUAAUAAAAAAAAUCUUAAUCAGUCUGUGGGUUGUUCAAUCAUGCCAUGGACUUUGUUCAUAAAAUAAAAUUUGUCUAUAUGAUAAUGGAAUAUUAGUCAGAGAAGGCACCAUCCUAGAAUGAUACCAAACGUUCUUCCAUUUCCCUUUCAUGUAUAGACUUGACUUUUGAUCCAGGAGCAUUUGCUCAGCAAACUCUCUUGGCUGAGCUUCACUGAUUUCUUACAUAGUGUUACUAUCAUAGAAAAUAUCAAGCCCUUAGCUGCAUAGGUCGCGAUCCACCCAGAUCUCAUCCUACUUCUUUUCAAUCCGUUCGGUAGAGGCCUCGGGAAGAAUUAUCAUCAAUUUCAUACUCAUAAAUAAUAUUCGCUUAACUCUGUGCAGUAGAAAAACUCGAAAAAUCGAGGCACAAUUUUUCCUGCUGGGUGAUCUCGGUGCUUCAUGUUUCUGUUGAGCUUCCAUCGAUAAGAAAAAGUACAGAUUGAUCUCAAUGUUGCACUAAUCCAAUUUAGCAGAAAAAAAUGGGAAAGGUAGUUUGGUAAUUACAAGGCUUUGUUACUUUUAGUCAACAAAGGCUGCUCUGAAAAUCAAGAUGGACGUCUAUAGAUUUUGAAUUUUUCUACUUGCUUUCAUGUGUCUAGUCCUUUUAAAUAAUAUUAUUGCGAACCAUUUUCUGCUAAUUGUCUGGUGGAAGUGUGGUGGAUCAAGCGAGAUUGGCUCACGGGUCACUUGCUCAUUAAACAUUUUUUUAAUUUUCCUUUUUAUCUAACGGUAUAGCGACGUAGAUUUUUAGAAACGCUUUCUUCGUAUUUAAUUUUCUUCUUUUGUCUAGUUCAUCUUGUCGUAGUCACGGACCAUGUGAACGUAUAGGAGAAUGUCCAUGGGUGUUAGAUCAGAUUAAUUAAUGAAUUUCGUCGUAUUGAGACAAAAUUGAUUAAACUUGUCAAUCAUCUCACUGCGACGGAAGAUUCGGAAAAUAUUAAUGCAUAACAACAGCAUAUGUUUUGGGAGAAAAGUAUUGGAGAGGGGCAUGGAUGCAUUGCUGAAGUUAUUUGAUGAGCAUGUCAUAUGUACUAAAUUAAUCUAAAUAGCUAAAUUUGAUGGAAUUCAUAUGAAACCUAAAUGGAACAUAUAGAAAUUAAAAGCCGAAUUUUGCUUUAUAUAAAUACGACGCUAGCUCAUUCUCGAGUCUUUGUCAAAAUUGUGUUGUAGGCAAUUGAAUGUGAACCUCCCUUCCCUUUCACAUAUGAUCGACUCAAAUUUCUCGUACUUCAUUGACUUCCUUGUUUCGCUGUUGAAGCAACAAAAUCACAGCAAUUGAAGUCACCAGAAGUAGCUCGCAUCAAUAAGGACCUUUUCCCUAUGGUCGGUCGAUUUACUGUUCAUCCCACCCCACAAGGAGAUAACCUCGUCACAUUUUCACACAAGCCUGGAUUUGCGAUAAAAGCGCUUUUUGGUGCUUAUUGGAAGAGGCGACCACUAGGAACCGCACCUGUCAGCUCGUUGUACAAUAAGUCUACGGAGCUUAAACAAGUUAUAUGUCCAUUUUUUUCAAUGUUCAUUAUAAUGUUCCGUAAGGUUAAAACCACCUUGAUCGAGAGCGAUCCUAAGUUCCUAAUAUGGAUGGACUAACCUUUGCCGAAAGUGAUCAAAUUGGUGGUCCCGGGACCUUCAUCGCCCUCGAGGACUUCGACGCUCUUGAUGGCUUGCAGGAGGACCCUAGGGAUGAGGUUAUCGGCGUCGAGGACAGUGGCCUUGAACAUCUUGGCCGGAGGGAUCUGGACGUUAUCGCAGAGUCGUAAGUGAUGACACCCAUGAUUGGAUCCGAACUGAGAAACUGAGAAGGGGGUGAUGAUCAGGAAAGACUGAGUAGCAAUGAUGAAGUCGGUCUCUAGGACUUGGGAAUGAAGAGAACAGGCUGAACCGAAACUGAUAUAUAGAGAGAGACUAAGUGUGAAGGGCUUUGAUCAGUGAAUAUCUUGCGAAACAAACAAAGCUUAAGAAAAAAAAAUUAUUCCGUGGAUUAUUCAGAGUAUGACAUGCCCCUUGUUCCUAAUAUAAAAAUGUCUAUAUGAUGAUAGAACAAAGCGUUGGACGAUCAUAUUGGGGAGAAUCGGGCAACAAUUUACUAAUAACGAAACACAAUUUAGCAUCAAUUUCUCCUCUAAAACUAAACCAACCGAAACCAACUCAACCCCAGCAACCACCAGCAAUAUGUAAUACCAAAAUGACAAUAAGACAGAGCCAACAAUGACACUAAGGUUUUAACAUGGAAACCAAUACAUAAAAAAUCACAUACCCUACUCACUAACAGUAAUAGGAUACAAAAAGUGUUAUUUUAUAAUCACACAUUAGAGACUCAACAUCAAUGAUAUAACCAUAUUUCCUCACUCCAAAGAUAGAUUAACAUAAACGGAGCAAGAAAACCCUAAUCGGUUGGAGAAUCUGGAGGGGGUUCUUAUCUAACGAAAUCAAUCAAUUUGUAGUCCUUGAUUUUACAAAAUAACAUUCAAAUUUGAGCAAAUUCCAUCGGCAUCUUGCAUUCCAAUCGGGACCAAAAAGAUUAUGCCCUUUCUUUCGGAACGCUAAGAAAGAAGAGCCCAGACACAGACAACAAUUACCUACUCACUAAGUGUAACAUUAGGCUAGUGGGCCCCAAAAGAAGAAAUAGAAAACGAAGUUUUAAAGGCCCCAAAGAAGAAACUGAAAAAGAAACCGAAAAGUCAUUAAAGCAAAAAGGAGAUGGGAGAGGGCUCGGCUAAAUAGAAGCUGAGAGUUUCCUCGACCAAAAAGAAAAGAAAGAAAAGAAGAAGAAGAAGAAGAGAAAAGGGAAGAAAGGAAAGAAGUUUUGGCACGUGCACGCCUCGGAUGCCUUGCCAAGCCAAUUUGACUCCAUAACCCGGUAAGAGAUCAAGCCCCUCGUUUGUCCGAUUGAAGUAAUUUUUGGAUUUAGGACUCAAAUUCGGAAUUUUUGGAAAAUCGAGCGGCGAAGUCUAAUUUUGGAGUCGUUGAGCCACACAUUUUUGUAAGAAUGGUAAUUUAGGGUGUUGUGGAACCGUGGGAUUUUUCGGAUCGUGAUUUGAGCUUAUGGUUUGUCCAAAACAAAAUUCCAAAGUUUCCCGCGCGCAGUGAACAGUACGCGUCCAGCAGCUUUGGGCCCGUAUUUUGUCAUUUUUUCGGCUUGAUUUUGGGAUGACCAAUUUGGGAUUCUUGUAAUAUGUGUCAAGGGCUCUCUAUUGACUAUAAGUACGUUCGGAUCGGGGUUCGGAAGAGAAAGUUAAGGCUCGAUCAAGUUUUGCGCUUAAACUUCAUGUUGCGAAUGGCUUAAACAAUCAAUUUGGAUAUGCGACUUGUUAGUGCACAGAAGUCCUUUUGUUAGAGUUAAGGCGUAACUUAGUCAUUUUGUAGUCGAGAUAGAAUUUUAUUAGAUUUUAACAUUAUUCUUCGAUUAUUUGAUAGGGCUUUGAGUUCGAAGAUACAAGUAUCAUUUGUCGUUUGGUCGUAGACGAUAAGGUGAGUGGUACUAUAUCUUCUUUGGUUUUAUAAAAUCAUGUCUUGAAGUAUGUAUGUAUAUAUAUUGAAUCAAGAAGAGCAUUUUUAUUGCAUAAAAGUCAGAUCGAGCAAUUGCUACCCUUUGGUUGAUUGUGAAUCUUUGAAAAGCACAUUAUACAAGGUUUGUGGAGAAACAUAUAUGAAAUUGCUUUGCGACUGAUUUAUGAAAAGGUUUAUGAUGAUUUGAGAAACGAGUAUGAAAUGGAUGAUGGGCUAUGUUGCAAAAUAUUAUUUGUUUGGUUUAAGAUAUUGAUUUUUGGAUUGAAUUUCUGGUAUUGGAGAAUGGUUAUUUAUGCUCAAUAUGACUGUGAACCCAGUGAGGGGUUUUUGGGGUAUGCAUACCAGGUUUAGGAUAUCCUUCUGGGCCGAGCCACCGGCUUUGUAGGUGGAGACCUUGCCAAGGGGAGAAUCUUGGUCGCCUUGUCACAGGACGUUGUGUCGUGACCAUGGUUAGUUAUUGAGCAAAAGAUUGAUCAAUGGAUAGACCAUUGAUACUUGAAUUUUGAUGGCGAUUCAAAUGAGUUUUCCAUAUUACUAUAAAUCUUGAUGAUAAGAAAUAACUCAUAAGAUUCAAUACUUAUUUUAUAUAUUGAGUUGGCUUAUGAAAUUUGGUAUUGUUUUGUAUACAUGCAUAGUGGUUGUUCGAUCUGCUUAAAAGAUAUGUACUACUCACUGAGCUGUGGUUGCUCAUCCCAUUCCUCAUUUGAUCUUUUCAGGUUCCUCAGCUAGUGGCAAAUAGAGCGAGUGCGCCGUCGUGGGAAACUUUUGGGGAGUUCUAUUUUGUUUUUGGUAUGGUUUAGGGAAGUGGUGCAAAUGAUCUUUACUAGUGGUUGAAUCGUCUAAGUUUUGAAGUAUAUAUUUUCUCUUUUUGGUGGAUUAUAGAAAUUCUAAUGUUGCAACCAAUUUGAAGGUUUAUCUGAUAUUUAUACUUGUAACAUCCUGGACCCCACUGUGUAAUAUUGUCCGCUUUGGGUCACCCGCCCUGGCACGGACGAACCGCCAUCCCAGCCGCGAUCUUUUCCCUCACGGCUUUAAAACGCGUUACACAGGUUAGAGGGAUCCAAGCCUUAUAAGCUGACCAAUAUCUCCCUCCCUAGGCGAUGUAGGACAAGAGAGGAGGCUGUCACACUCUCCACCUCUUAACAGAAUAGCGUCCUCGCUAUGGCCCCACGGGUAUCAGAACAACAUUCAAGCUGUGGUCCCACACGCGGUCGGGAGUCGGCUCUGAUACCACUUGUAACAUCCCGGGCCCCAUUGUGUAAUAUUGUCCGCUUUGGGUCACCCACCCUGGCGUGGACAAACCGUCAUCCUAGCCACGGUCUUUUCCCUCACGGUUUUAAAACGCGUUACAUAGGUUAGAGGGACCCAAGCCUUAUAAGCUGACCAAUAUCUUCCUCCCUAGGCGAUGUAGGACAAGAGAGGAAGCUGUCACAUAUAUAAGUUAAUAUCAGUUUGUAGGUUAUGUUUGAGGCUGCGUCCUUUGUAAAGAAGGAUGGCCGUGUCAUCCCCAUUCUUUGUAGUUUUUGGGGUGUGACACUAAGUUCCGAAAAGCAUAGACGAGCGAAAUGCCUCACGAAUUAACCUAAGAGCAACAUAAACACGCCGAGAUAGAAAACGGUAGAAGCCGACGCCUCAAAUUGCAAACUUCUUCGACCCAAAAAAAAAAAAUAUUGCAAACUUCGAGCUACAAAAUGGCGAUUAAGCACGGAGGGCCGGAGAUGGGGUGGAGGGAGCACCUUGAUGUCGAAAUCGACGCCGGCGGUGGCGAGGAGGGGAGAGGGGGUGGAAAUCUAGGGUUAGGACAGGUUUGGUCUCGUGCCAAUUCAUCUGGACCGUGCCUCCCUUCAUAUCUCCUCUGCCCGCUCCGCCGCUUCCUUCCUUCCCCCUCUCUCUCUGAAAUCGAAGCCUUCUUCCUUGAUUUCUUAGCGAACGAAAUCGAUCAAUUCGUGGAAUUCGUGAGAUUCGUGCGCUCUCCCCAUUCCGCGGAGAGAUUCCCGACAAAUAGAGAUUAGAUUGUAGGCUUGUCCAUCGUCGUUUCAGUAAAGCGAGUGUAAUGCCAAAAAAGGGAAAUAAGGACGACACAAUUGGCUCUGACAUUGAAUUGACAGUUUAUUCCUGGCCUCCUACGUGAGCAUAUCACGUGGCCCACCCAUCAUGGCUCAAAUUCAUGAAAACAAACUAAUAAAAAAAAGAUCCAAAAUAGACUCCACCACCAUCCUCUCGGAAAUCCAAUCAAAAAAAGGAAAAGAUAAAAAAGGCAAAUCAUCCCAGACAAAACAAGCAUGGCAUUCGCCACACGCUACUAAAAAUUAACCACACACAGAUUCACAAGUCUCAGGGUUCGCGAGGCAAGCCUCGAUGGCCCCAAACAUAGUGAAAGCCUUCUCUCUCACGGCCUUGAUCUUCUCCUCGGUGUUGUCCACGUUGCCCCUGGCGAAGUAUUUGCUAUCGUUCAUGCACACCGUGUUAGACAAUUCAUAUAAAACUUGAUGCGGAAAUUCAUAACAAAUCAUUGAUCUUUGAUCUUCAUGAUUUUCACAAAUAGAUUCAGACAAACCUUUAUCCAUAGCGCUACGCUUGAUGAUGAUCGUUGUAGAAAACCCAAUGAUCUCGAACCAAAAGGAGAAAUCCGAUUUCUCUCCCUUAACCCACUAAACCUUAAUGUAUUCAAUUGAUGGAGGAGAGAAUAUGUUCUUUUCAGUUAUUGUUGUUCGUAUGUGGGUGGAGAGAGGACCGGACUCUUUUAUACGUUCGUUGAAAAUGUGCCUUCCAUCAAAGCGAUAUACCCUUUCGUUUUAUUAGAGUCGUACCUUCUCAUAACCAAUAUUAUUUAUAGCAUUUCAAUCAUUAUUAAACCAUAUAAUAAAUCACAUAAUAUGGGCCACAAUAAUUCUUACAUUCUCCCACUUGGCCCAUAUGAUUCUCCUUUCAUGGUUUAAUGAAGACUAUAAUGUGCACAAUAAGAUUAUGCUAUAAAAUUUCAUUAAAUUGGCAAUCACAUAAUAAUCACAAUUAAGUAAAGAAAACUAAUGCGAGUCAUAGCGGUUAUAUGUCAUUAAUCGACAUAGUCCCUUCUAUGUACUACAACUAUAGCACUUUACUUAACAUGAUCCAUAAAUGAGAAGUACAGUAAUAGUCCAACCAUAAUGUUUCUUUAGAAACUAUCCUGUUUAAAAUUAAUCUAUUUCCAUAAUGUAUACUAAAUAGAAAACAGGAAAUAUCAUAAACAUGUAAGUGAGCUCAAAGUGUCAAAUACAUAAACUUAAUACAAUCAUAAUACAAACAUUAAUGACGUCCAAUAAUGCCCAUCCUUUCAACAUGCUCAUUAAAUGUUUUGGGCGGCAAUCCUUUUGUUAAGGGAUCUGCUAUCAUAAGAUUGGUGCUAAUGUGCUCAAUUGACACUCUUUGUUUCUGAACUUCUUUUUUGACAGACAAGUAUUUGAUCUCCAUAUGCUUAACACCCUUAGAAUACUUGUCGUUCUUAGAGAAGAAAACUGCUGCAGAGUUAUCACAAUAGAUUUUCAGCGGCUUGGCAAUACUGUCGACGAUCACAAGCCCUGAAAUAAAAUUCCGCAGCCAUAAUCCAUGAAUUGUGGCCUCAAAGCAUGCCACAAAUUCAGCUUCCAUAGUGGAUGCAGCAAUAACUGACUGCUUCGCACUCUUCCAUGAAAUUGCCCCUCCAGCCAGAAGAAACAAGUAACCAAAUGUUGAUUUUCUUGUAUCGACACAUCCGGCUAAGUCUGAAUCUGAAUAUCCAAUCACCUCGAGAUGAUCAGAUCUUUUAUAAGUGAGCAUAUGAUUCUUUGUUCCUUGCAAGUAUCUAAGAACUUUCUUUGCGGCUUUCCAAUGAUCCAUUCCAGGAUUACUUUGAUACCUACCUAGCAUUCCGACAGCAAAAUUGAUGUCUGGUCUGGUGCAAGUUUGUGCAUACAUUAAGCUUCCCACAAUAGAUGCAUAAGGAAUAUUAUUCAUUUGUCCUCGUUCCAAUUCACUUUUCAGACAUUGCAUAAGGCUAAAUUUAUCACCUUUCUGAAUUGGAACUAUUCCUGCUGAACAUUUACUCAUAUUAAAUCUCUCUAAAAUUUUCUCAAUGUAGGCUUUCUGAGACAAUCCUAAUAAUCCUUGUGAUCUAUCACGGAAUAUUUCUAUUCCUAUCACAUAUGUUGCCUCUCCCAUAUCCUUCAUUUCAAAAUUCUUAGAGAGAAAUUUCUUGGUUUCAUGUAACAAACCAAGAUCAUUAGCAGCAAGCAAAAUAUCAUCAACAUACAGAACUAGAAAAAAAAAACUUGCUCCCACUAAUCUUCAUAUAUAUACACCGAUCAACGGUGUUUUCCUUAAAUCCAAAUGAAGUUAUGGUAUCGUUAAACUUAAGAUACCAUUGUCGAGAAGCUUGUUUAAGUCCAUAUAUUGACUUCUUUAAUUUACAUACCAUGUGUUCCUUUCCUAUAACUGAAAAGCCUUCGGGUUGGUCCAUAUAAACCUCUUCCUCUAAAUUCCCAUUAAGAAAUGCGGUUUUUACAUCCAUUUGGUGUAACUCCAAGUCAUAAUGAGCCACCAAAGCCAUAAUGAUUCUAAGUGAGUCUUUCUUAGAGACCGGUGAAAAUGUCUCUUUAUAGUCAAUGCCUUCUUUCUGAGUAAAACCAUUUGCAACAAGUCUGGCUUUAUGUCGUUCAAUAUUGCCUUUUGAGUCGCGCUUGGUCUUAAAGACCCAUUUACACCCGACCUUCUUACAUCCUUUAGGCAAUUCAACAAUAUCCCAAACUUGAUUUUCAUGCAUGGAUUUUAACUCUUCUUCCAUGGCAUUAAACCAUUCAUUAGAAUCUUCACAUUCCAUGGCUUGGGAAAAUGAAUCUGGAUCAUUUCCAAUUCCUAAGUCAAUUUCUGACUCUUGUAGAUAAACCAUAUAGUCAUCAGAAAUAGCCGACCUCUUUUCUCUUUGAGAUCUCCUUAAUGCUAUUUCUUGUGACUCGGUUAUUGGAGGUUCAUUAUUGACAUCUCCAUUAUUUGGUGUUUGUUGUUCUCGAUUAUUGUUAGAUUGUACUACAAUAUCAGAAACAACAACUUUAGAAGCUUUAGGCAUAGGAACUUCUACCCUUACUUCUUGAAUGCAAGCAUCACGCAUUCUUUCACUCCCACUGAUGUCACCAUUCUCAAUGAACCUAGUAUUUCCAGAUUCAACAAUUCUUGUACUAUGAUUAGGACAAUGAAAUUUAUACCCUUUGGAUUUCUCUGCAUAACCAAUGAAAUAACCACUGGUCGUUCUUGAAUCCAAUUUCCUUUCAUGUAUUGUAAAUUCUUACUUCUGCUUGACAACCCCAAACAUGCAGGUGUCGUAAACUAGGUUUCCUUCCCGUCCACAAUUCAAAUAGAGUCUUUGGAACUGCCUUACUAGGAACCCUAUUUAAUAAGUACAUAGAAGUCUUUAAAGCAUACAUCCACAAAGAUAAGGGUAAAGAUGAAUGACUUAUCAUACUCCUAACCAUUUCCAUUAAAGUACGAUUACGCCUUUCUGCUACACCAUUUUGUUGUGGUGUACCUGGCAUUGUGUAUUGAGCACAUAUGCCAUGUCUUUCAAGGAAUUUAGCAAAUGGACCUGGACAUUGUUCCGAUUCAUCAUACUUUCCAUAAUAUUCACCACCUCUAUCCGAUCUUAUUAUUUUCACAUUUCUAUCUAAUUGCCUCUCAACCUCUUUAAUAUACACUUCAAGUACAUUUAAUGAUUGAGACUUAUCAUGCAAUAGAUAAAUGUAACCAUAACGUGAAAAAUCAUCAAUAAAGGUUAUGAAAUAGCUUUCCUUACUAAAAGAUGGAACAUCGAAAGGACCACAUAUGUCAGUAUGUAUAAUCUCAAGAAGCUAUGUGCUUCUUGUGGCACAUUUCUUAGUGUGCUUUGUUUGUUUACCUUUAAUACAAUCAAUACACACUCUAAAGUCAGUAAAAUCCAAAUUUGGAAUAAUUUCAUUCUUCACUAAUCUUUGCAUUCUUUCUUUGGAUAUAUGACCCAACCGUUUAUGCCACAAGUAAGCAGAAUUUUCAUUCACCAAACUUCGUUUAGUGCCAACAUUAUGAUGCAAGGUCAUUAAUGUCUCAACAAAAGUAUUAUCAAGUCUAAAUUUGUAGAGACCAUCACAUAAAGUUCCAGUUCCAAUAAGAGCAUCACUCUUAAAUAGACUGAAAGAUUCAGAUCCAAACUUACAAUAAAAUCCCGCCACAUCAAGUCUUGGCAAAGAAACUAAAUUGCGAGAAAAUGUAGGUACAUAAAGGGUUCGAAAAAAAUCCAAAUAAUGCCCAGUAUCUAAUAUCAAACGAUAAGUGCCAAUGCCUUCAACUGGAGCUUUGUCUCUGUUCCCCGUAAUCACAUAACUUUCAUUUGGAAAAUGUAGGUACAUAAAGGGUUCGAAAAAAAUCCAAAUAAUGCCCAGUAUCUAAUAUCAAACGAUAAGUGCCAAUGCCUUCAACUGGAGCUUUGUCUCUGUUCCCCGUAAUCACAUAACUUUCAUUUGGCUUUAUAGUUUGGAUCUUAAGAAAUCCCUGCAUCGUAUUUGACACAUGAGUGGUGGCACCAGAAUCAAUCCACCAAGUAUUAUAAGGAACUUCAGUAAAAUUUGAUUCAAAACAUACUAAAGCACAAGGCUUACCUUUCUUUUCGAACCAAGCCUUACAUUUCAGACAAUCUUUCUUCAAGUGUCCAAUUUUGUUGCAAAAAUGACAUUUAAUAAGAUUGUGUUCCUUCUUGUGGAUUUGAGAAGCCUUUGAAGAGUCAUUCAGGACGUGUAGUCCUUUCUUCUUGCUCCUUCCACCUUUCCUCUUAAAAUUCUUUCGAACUUCUUGAUGACUUGAGAGAUGAAUAGAAUGAGCAUUUUGAUUCUUUAUCCUUAUUUCCUCUUGAACUAGCAUACUGGCCAAUUCGUUUACAUUCCACUUAUCCUUUAUAGUGUUGUAAUUCAUUUGAAAUGGCACAUAUUGCUCAUGAGGUAAGGAAUUAAGUAUAAAUUGUACUAAAAAGUACUCAUCCAUAUUCAUUCCCAAAGUCCUUAACUUUGCUGCUAAAUUGGUCAUCUCAAGUAUAUGCUCAUGCAUGGUACGCGAACCAUCAUAUUUCAUGGUGGUCAGUGUGCUCAUCAGUGUACCAGCAAGUGACUUAUCAGCAGUUUGAGAACGCUCUUCCACAAAUUUCAUAAAUUCCUUAGCAUUGUUAGUCUUGGGAAGAGAAGUUUUUAAGUUGUUUGCAACUGUCAUUCGCAUGAACAUUAAGCUCAGUCUGUUCGAUCUUUCCCAAGCUUUAUGGAAAGACUUUUCAUCAUUGCUACUUUCAUCAGUAAUAGCAGCUGGUUUCUCAGCUUGAAGUGCUAAAUCAAGAUCCAGGACACCUAAGUGAAACUGGACUUGUUCACUCCAAUCAGGAAAAUUUAUCCCAUUGAAUAAGGGAACAGAUGAGGCGUGCGAAUGGAGUGAAACAGGUACAGAUACUACAAAUGUGCAAGAAAAUACUCAUACAUUAAUGCUUUGAGAAUAUCAUAUAAUCAGAUUAAACUAAACUACACAUGCACAUCAUAGUUCUCCUUUGAGCGAUCCUAUGAUAUACAAAUAUAUAUAAACCAUAAUGAUGCUAAUAACUUUUAUUUGAUAAUUGUAAAUAUAUCUUAUUAAAAUUUAUUUGUUAUCUUUGGAUAUACAAACAAAUUUAACAAAUCAUAUUAAUUAUCAACCAUCAUGUUCAUGGAUUAUAAGAAAAUAAUUAACCUUUGGGUUAAUCCCUAAGUUCUUAUAAUAAAUGAACUUCAAUAUACCCAUAACUCCAAUAAUGAUAUAAAACAUAUCAAUUUCAUAUAUAUAGCAUCAAUUAAUCAUGGGUAAUUGAAUAAAAUAAUUUACGAUAUUAAAAAAAUUCAAAAGACUUCAAGGUUCGGCCACUUUGGUGACUAACAAACCUUUCAUAAUAUGAAUUUUUAAUAUUGCAAAAUACAAAUAUUUACCAAAUUGCACACAAGGACAUAAAAUGCAAUCAAAGCAUAAGGGCAAAAUCGUAAAAUCAUAAUUCCAUAAGGGUAGAACCAUAAAAUUAUAAUCCAGGGGCAAAAUGGUAAAUAAUCAGCAAUGGCAGAAUCGUAAUUAUAAAUUAAACAGGGGUAGAACAGUAAAUAACCAUCAAAAGGACGGCAAAACGGUAAUUAGGAGCCUCGGGAGGGGCAAAAGCGUAAAAGUCCGCGCGGGGACGUCAGGCGCGUGCCUCGCACGCGCCUGCAACCGCGCGGGAAGCCCCGCGCGCGUGGAUCCCACGCGCGCAGCGCUUGCGCGCGCGUGAAGGCGCGUGGCGCGUGGGUUCCACGCGCCUGCAACCGCAGCGCGCGCGUGGAGCCCACGCGCCUUCUUCCUCGCGCGCAGACGCGAUUCUUCGCCGGUUUUUCGCCGUUCCACCGCCGUUUCGCCGCCCGUUUCUUCUCCGACAGCCCAUUACAGACACAAAUAAUUAAUGGGUUUUGAAGAGCAUGCCGGCACGACCACAUGGGUCCAAAUUUCGGAGAAAAUGACCAAAAAUUGGCCCCAAAUCAAACCAAAGUUUCAGAACACAAAAACUCCACCACCGCCGCUUCCGCCGCUCGAUUAGCCGCCGGCGAACACCAAUAUACGGGAAAAAUCAUGGCUAAUGUUCCUCAUGACAGUGCGACGGUGUGGGUCCGAAAUCAAGCGGUGGGUUGCCGGAUUUUACCCGGAACCGGCGAGUUUCUUCCUUGCCCUCAAAAUUCCGAAUUCCACCAUUUUUGUCAUUUUCCACUCGUGCACACACAGUAACUUUUCUUCACAAUUUUAGUCCAUGAAAAACGUUCUAUCAUUCGGAUUUUCUUUAACAGAACCUUCCAAAACAUUUCAACAACAACAAAUGCUAUAAACAUGAUCGUUUAACAAAUCAUCAAACAUCAACUAUAAUAUUUCUUUAAACGGAAAAAUCAUGAGAUCAUAAACCAAACGCUCUGAUACCAACUGUUAGACAAUUCAUAUAAAACUUGAUGCGGAAAUUCAUAACAAAUCAUUGAUCUUUGAUCUUCAUGAUUUUCACAAAUAGAUUCAGACAAACCUUUAUCCAUAGCGCUACGCUUGAUGAUGAUCGUUGUAGAAAACCCAAUGAUCUCGAACCAAAAGGAGAAAUCCGAUUUCUCUCCCUUAACCCACUAAACCUUAAUGUAUUCAAUUGAUGGAGGAGAGAAUACGUUCUUUCAGUUAUUGUUGUUCGUAUGUGGGUGGAGAGAGGACCGGACUCUUUUAUACGUUCGUUGAAAAUGUGCAUUCCAUCAAAGCGAUAUACCCUUUCGUUUUAUUAGAGUCGUACCUUCUCAUAACCAAUAUUAUUUAUAGCAUUUCAAUCAUUAUUAAACCAUAUAAUAAAUCACAUAAUAUGGGCCACAAUAAUUCUUACACACCGAACCUCCCUCCGGUGAUGCACUGAUCUUCAGCUCGUAGCUAGUGUUCUCCAAGGUGUUGGCCAGCAUGUUGCUCUCGAUGAUUGAAUUGGAGUAGGAGUAGCUCCCAUUGUCCAGGACCUCGAGCUUGUGCUUCACUACCUUGUUCCGAUGGCCUAUAGAAAACGCAAGUCACAUUUGAGACGCCACCGGUUUCGAAAAUCGCAAGCACUGCUUUGAAACACCAUUGACUCACGACAUCGUCAUGUUAAUGGUCAGGAACAUUUGAAUUAACCAAGUAAAUUUACUAACCUUCGCUGCCAGUGGUCUCCUCGACAAGCUCGGCACUCUUGAGGAAAGGGAAGAAGACUCUGGAGAUGAGGUUUAAGGCCCUAACGAUGGCCUCGAACGCCUGGGCUAGGAGGAUGGAGGACUUGAUCUCAGUCCUGAAGUAUUCCAUGAUUCUCUGUCCGAAAAAAAUCUGCUAAAAGCUGAAAGGGAAUGAUGAGAAUUGCGAGUACUGAGUAGGAGUGAAGUCUUGAUCUAAAAUUUCGGAGCGCAGUUCUAUAUAUUUAUAGAUAGGGUGCGAGAGUGAGAUGUAGAGGAGUCCGUGUGUAUCUAAUGACUCUUUCGGGACGUUUGGGUGGACAAGGGGAACUUUUUUAUGUUUUUUUCUAGUUGCUUUACGGGUUACUUUUAUCGGCACAGAUCAGCCGGGGUUUCUUUCCGGAUUGGGCGCUUUCAAGAAUUUUGGGUGGACUCGGGGUUUAAACGAGAGGUAGAAAAAGCCAAGGGAACAGGAGGCAGGUGGGACCCUUCAGCCCGUGCUUUUUCCUUUUUUCCAUUGAGAGGACGGAGACGAGGAAAGCAUAUCCGGCCCGCUCGACUUUUGGCAAUGACAGAAGCUCUCUCGUUGAUAAAGCUAGGCCGUGAGGUGAGUUGAGUCAUGCACAAGUACACCAAAUUGAAACUCUUCCGCACGUGGAGAUAGCUUCAGACAACUUAGAUGCCGUGAAUUGUGUCAUUUCCUUGGAACUUCUAGGUCCGUCAUCCAGGAUUGUGAUCUUCUAUUGACCCAACUAGAAGCAUAAAUUAAACUAAAAUAAGAACCCAAAGAAGCAAAUCGUGUUGCGGAUUGAGUAGUCAAAGACCCACCGAGUUAGAACCCUUCCAUCCAAUUGGGUUGUUUAUCCCCCUCAUUUCCAUUGGUAAAUUUAAGUCUUGAAUUUGGUACUAGUUAUAAUUCAUCUUUGAGUUAGUAAUCAAAAGUUAUUUUCGACCAAAAAAAAAAAAACCACCGAUGACGUACUAAUUCGAUGUUGUUGAUUUUGUGCGUACAAAGUCCAAAUCAACAUUAAUGACGUCAUAUAUGGCGUGCUAAAAGUUGUUCAUGAGUUGAAUUUUUGCAAUUACGUGCCCAAUGAAUUUUGACGCUCUUGAGUGGGAAAUCACUAAAUUGUUAACUUUUUCCAAAUGCCUGACGGGUGUCAUAGGAUUAGUUUGGCGAGUAGAGAUAAAAAGUUAGCACGCAAGUAAUUUAAAAGCGCAGUGUAAAUUCGAUUCUCCCAAUCAAUGAGCAUAAACGAGAACAUGGGGGCGAAAAAGGUUGUUACCAGCAUUGAAAAAGUGGACUUUUGAGAAGCUCCAAUCACUAAAAUGUUGCGUAUUCGGCAAGAUGCAAGUAAGUCUAUCCAUCGAGAGUUAGUUUUUAGAGAAAUGCAUAAACAGAUAUUAAAUCAAUAGAUAUGCUUAGAAAAAUGUCAUACAUAGCUUUUUUAGCUUUUUUAGCUUUUUUAGUAAGCAAGAGGUCUUGACUUUGAUUCUCAACGAGAUCCUUUUUCUUUUGACUUGUAAUAUUUCCUUUUUUCACAUUCAAUCUUCUUCCUAACAAUUUUUUUGAUAAAAAAAAAUUCAAUCGAGCCAAAAAAUGAAUUGCUUAAUACAUGAUAGAGCCAACAUAUAUACAUACUAUAUAUGUGUUUUUUCUCAGUACAAAUGGUUAUACGAGGACCCAAUUAGUAAGAGGGAGGUCUUGAAUUUGACUCUCAACAAGAGCAUUUGUCAUUCAAACUUUUUCAUAACAACUAUUUUACUAAAGAAAAAAAUCGAUUGAGCCAAAAAAAUUGUCACUUAAUACAUCAUAAAGCCAGCAUACACAUAUAAUUCAUUUUUCUCACUACAAAUGGGUAUACGAGCACCCAUUUAGUAAGCAGGAGGUUUUAAGUUCGACUUUCAAUGAGAGCAUUUAUCUUCUGACUUAUAAAUUUUCCUUUUUGUAAAUUCAAACUUCUUCAUAAUAAUUUUUUUAAGAUAAAAACCACCAAAAACCCCAAACUUUGCUCAAAGUGACAAAUUUAUCCCAACCUUUAUAUUUUGAUAUGAAAAAUCCCGAAUUUUGCCAACUGUGACACAUUUAUCCCAAACUUUUUUUUAUGACACAAAAAAUUCUGAACUUGUAUUUAUGUGACACAUUUACCCUAAAUUGUAAGGUAUUUUGGUCUUUUACUUUUAAAAUAUUUUUUUUACUUUUUUUUUUCUUCUUCUCUCUUCCCUCCACCAGCCAUGGCAGAGCCGAUGGAGGAAGCCAUAGUUAGGCGAGGGCUACCCUCACCGGCGUCAAGCGAGGGUCGCCCUCAGCUAGGCUGGCUAGGGCCGCCCGACGCCAGUGAGGGAGGUCCUCGACCGACCCAGUCGAGGGUGGCCCUCGCUUGAUGACGCCGAGUGCAGCCCUCGCCUGACUCCAACUUCCCUCCGCCAUGGCCAGCGAAAGGAAGAGAGAAGAAGAAGAAAAAAGAAAAAAAAAGAGAAUAAGACGAAAAUGCUAUUGGUGGGUUAAAUGUGUUACAGUUUGCAAAAUUUGGGGUUUUUAUGUCACAAAAGAAGGUUUAGGAUAAAUUUGUCACUUUAGGCAAAGUUAUGGUUUUUGGUGGUCUUUUCCCUUUCAAUCGAGCCAUAAAAAAAGUCACUUAAUACAACAUAGAGCCAACAUAUAUAAUAUAUUUUGUUCCUUUUCUUGGUAUAAAUGGGAUACCAGCACUCGUUUAGCAAGCCUAAGUCUUGAGUCCGACUCUCAAUGAGAGCACUUGUCUCGUGACUUAUAAUCCUUCUUUCUUCUACAUUCGAACUUUUCCGUAACAAAUUUCUUGACAAACAUUCAAACUUCUAUCUUCUUGAUGCCGUUAUAAUAAGGGAUACGGAACUCUAGUGUGAAUGGAACUCAUUGCUGUGAUGCUAAAGGGAAGGCGAUGCUGACGAAUCCUACUGGAAUAUGCGGGGGACAGAAAAUCUUAGAGCUGGCGGUUAGAUCUAGUUGAGGUUACCAAGGGUUGAUUAUUGCUUAUCGCCCCGGAACUGACUUACCUAGGUCAUGCUCAGCCCUCACCCUUAGAAAAAGGAACUCAAGAAAAAAAAUUCAGUCACUGCUCCAUAAUGAUUAAUGUCCAUCAUAGUUCAAGUAAGGAGAUAUAAGCAAACGUUCAAACAAUAAAUAAAUAGAUCAACAAAAUAAAUUGGAUACCAGACUUAUAUGAUUCAAUCGCAGUGACCUACCUCUAUAAGAAAAGUAAUAACAAAUUUUAUUGUAGAUCAAACAAUAUGACGGAAAUUAUAAUCACAGUCGAGUUACUUUAAUACUCUUAUUGUUUUCCAAUUUCUAAUUACAUUCAAUAAUUCAAGUAAUAUAUAACCUCACAAUUUCUAACUAAAUAAUCCUUUAAUCUCAAGAAGAAAUUAACAAAUCGCGAAUUAAACCCUAAUUUCGCUAUAUGUAAUUCAAGGAGAAUAUCCAAUGUCAAGCACGCCAACGGCACUACUUGCGGCUGAAAAACCCGUGAUAAAGUCACCUCUCCACACGAGAGAGAGAGAGAGAGAGAGAGAGAGAGAGAGAGAGAGAGAGAGAGAGAGAGAGAGAGAGAGAGAGAGAGAGAGAGAGAGAAUGUGUGCAUGUCUGUCUUUUUCCUUCGGCAUUUUUGGCGGCUUCUUUUGUGGCAGUCAUCUAAGGCCUCGCAUGGUAAUGUUUCUGUUCCUUUUCUGUUCCCGGGAACAGAAACAAAAAAAAAAAAGUGUUUCUGUUCCAGGGAACGGUUUUUGAACAAAAGAACGUGUUUGGUAACGUUUGUUCCGGGAAUAAAAAAUGAAUAGAAACACGUUUGGUAAAUUUUAUUCUUUUUUUGUUUCUUUUAAUUUUUUAAUAUUUUUAUUUUAUUUUCCAUUUUUUCCUUUCUUUUUUAUUUUUUUCUUCUUUCGGCCGGUCGCCGACCUCCGGCGACCAGCCGACGAGGCCGGCAGCCUCGCCCGGCCACGGCAAGGCUCGCCGGCCCCCGGCAAGGCCGAGCCUCGCCGUGGUUGGGCGUGGCUCGGCCUCGCCGGAUCUAGGCGAGCUCGAGCUCGCCCAGCCAUGGUGAGGCUCGGCCUCGCCGGAUCUAGGCGAGCCCGAGCUCGCCCAGCCAAGGCAAGGCUCGGCGUCGCCAGUGCGGGCGAGGCCGAGCCUCGCCGCCCUGCCGUCGGAGCCAAGCACCUGCGCCCCGAAGCCCGCAGCUCAACGCCGUCCUGAUCUCACCACACCAUUCGCGACGCCGUCCACCGGCAAGGCCCGUGUCGCCCCGUGUCGAUCCCGAAGCCUCUAGUACGGCGCUGCCGUCGCACCGUCCUCCGGAGCCCCUCGCCGGAACCCUAGCCGAAGAUCUCCCAUCGAGCGAGGCCGAGCCUCGCCUUGGCUGGGCGAGCUCGGCGUGGGCGAGGCUCGGCCUCGCCAGGGGCCAGCGACGCUCCGGCGAGGUCGUUGACCCUCGAGGGCGUCGCCAGCCCUUGACGGCCGGUCGUCGGCCAUGGCCGAGGCCGGCGACCGGCCAGAAGAAAAAAGAAGAAAAAAGAAGAAGAAAAGAAGAAGAAAAGAGAAGAGAGAGAAGAAGAGAAGCGUUUCUUUUUGGCUUUGAAGAAGUUUUUCUUUUCUCCAGAAACAACUUUUUUGUGUUUCUUUUUUUUUGUUCCAAUUUUGUUCUGGGAACAAAAAAACAAAAAAAGAACAUAAACGCAACCAAAUGCGUUUCUGUUCUUUUUUUGUUCCCGGGAACAAAAAAAGUACAAAAGUGUUCCAGAAACACUUUUUUGGAGCGUUUCCAUGUAGGGCCUAAGUGACCGGUGAAGAAAGACCGAUAAAAAGAAGAAGAAGAAGAAGAAGAAGAAUACUUUCUGAGAGAGAGAGAGAGAGAGAGAGAGCAAUCAAUAUUGUCAGUGCACUGUUCGGGGUACAAAGCAAUGAUUUCAUCAUUCUUGAUUAGGGUUUUGAAAAUAUGGCUUUUCAAUCCGUUUCAUACAUUCUCCGGUUCCCUUUUGGGAGUAGUCGUGCACUACUCCCCGCCCCCUUCUCUCUCUCAACCGUCGUCUAGUUGAACAAUUCGUAACAGUCCCGACUCGUGCUUUUGCCGUCUGUCCCUUCUGCCUGAGAAUCUUGAAACGGUGCCGAUGUGGACCUCUUCCUCAACGGCAUCGCCGGCCCUCAACGGCCAUGGCCGAGGCUAGCGACCGGCCAAAGAAAAAAGAUAGAAGAAAAUGGAAGAGAGAGAAAAAAGUGUUCAUAAAUUUUGUUCCAGAAACAAUAAACAACUUUUUUUUUUCUUGUUUCCGUUCCAGAUGUGUUUCUGGAAACAAAAAAAUAAUUUUGGAACAAAAACGCAAACAAACGCGUUUCUAUUUCAAAAAACAAAAAUUUGUGUUCCUGGGAAUAGAAACACAUUUUAACAAACAGGCCAUUAGUAACUGUCCAAAAUUUCAAUUCCCAAAAUAGAAUUGCGUUUAGUAAUAUGCUCAAAAUUUCUACUCAAAAUCAUUUUCUUUUAAUUUUUAAAUAAUUUUAUUACUUUUUUCCUUUUUUUUCUUCUUUUCUUUUUUCCUUUCUCUCUCAUGUUCUUCUUCUUCAAGUGGCUAGUCGCCGGACCAGCGACCGGCUAGACGAGGGCUGGCAAUCUCAUCGAAAUGUUAAUAGCACUUAGCGAGGCUCGCCUAGCCUCACCGGUGCCUAGCCAGGCCUCGACGAGGCUGGGCAAGCCUCGUCGGUGGCCAGGCGGGCCUCGCCGAUGGCCGAGUGGGCCUCACCAGGGCUGGGCAAGGCCCCCCUGCUGGUGGCUAGGCUUGCCUCCGGCGAACUCGCUGGACCUCGCCCUGGCUUGGCAAGCCUUUGACAAGCUCGCCAGACCGGUUGUCAGCAACCAGCAAUAGUGGGUGGCGGACGGCAACCGCAGCGAUGGAUGAAGAGGAAGGAAAGGGAAGAAGAAGAAGAGAAAAUAUGGACUUGAUUCUUGGAUUUGUUCUCAAGAACAAGAAUCAACUUUUUCUUUUAAUUCUUGAUUAUGCUCCAAAUCCACUUCCCUAAAAAAAAAAAAUCCCAAAAACAAAAAUUUUACCAAACACGAUUCCGUUCCAAAAUUACUCCUGGGAACAAAAGAAUAAAAUUUGACACCGUUUGGCUGGUUACCAAACAGGUCCUUAGCAAGCUAAAGUUUUGAGUCCAACUCUUAACGAGAGCAUUUGUCUAGUGACUUAUAAUCUUUCUUUCUUCUACAUUCAAAUUUUCGUAACAACUUUUUUGAUAAACAUUCAAACUUCUGUCUUCUUGAUGCUGUUAUAAUCAGGGAAACGGAACUUUAGUGGGAAUGGAACUCAUUGCGGUGAUGCUAGAGGGAAGUUGAUGCUGACGAAUCUCACUGGAACAUGCGGAGGACAGAAAAUCUUAGAGCUGGGGAAAAUGAAUGGGUUUGGGAUUAAAUCUGGCUAAGUUAUUGCCCCGAAACUGACUCACCCAGGCCAUGGUCAGCUCUAAAGGGAACUCUAGAAAAAGAAUAAUGACUAAUGUUCUUUAUUGUUCAAGCAAAGAGACAUUUUCUAUCGGCUAAACCUUAUGCUUCUCACAUUCAAUGCUUGUGUUCCAUCUGAAGUUAUUUUUUACCACAUAAUUGUCGAAUGAUGGUUUUAAUUAGUGAUGGGCCUAAGUUGGCCCGUCUGCCCAUGCUGGGCCCAAAAGGCCCGGCCCACGGGAAUAGGGCCCGUAGAAGGGGAAGGUAUAAAAGGGAGGAGAGAGAGAGAGAGAAGACAACGCUUGGCUGAACGUACGUACGUUCUCUCCCUCGCUCUCUCUCCAAAAGGACAACAAGAACAGUAAGGCAAACGGCACGUUCUUCUUCCCUUCAAGGCGCCAUCGGAUCGAACAGGACCAGAAUUUCUUCUCGAUCUUUAGCAUUGGUGUCUAAUCUGUGGCUAACAAGGUACGCUCGAAUCCGUGGUGUGCUUUAUGAUCGGUGAUACGUGUUUUCCCGGGCUUCGUCUUCCGCAUUGAUUUAGGGGUUUGAUUGAGUGUCGAAUCCGGUUUUCGGGGAUCAGUCAUUCCCAACAUUGGUAUCAGAGCCCUAGUUCACGUUUUUCCCGAUCAAUUUGAUGUUUUUGAUUGAUCUUUCGCGAAAGAACUUCGGCCGUACGGAUCGGGGCGAAAAAUCCCGACACCCGAGCGCUGUUCGGCCAUUUUUCUGAGUUUUCGUAAGUCGAAAUUGAAUUCUGAAAGCACUGAGUGAAAGAGGUCGUCGAGACGAGUCCGGCGACAUGUUGUGCGUCGCCGAACGACGCCGCACGCACACACAUGCGCGGCCACAAGCCUCUGCGCGUGGGCGCCACGCGCCCGAAGCGCUGGCAAUGGCCAACGCGUGCGCCACACGCGCCGGUGACGAACCGGCACGUGCGUGCCGGCGACCGGCGAAACGGCACACGCCGGUCCGCGGACCAACGCGUGCUGACGUCACGUGAUGACGUCACCGUGACGUCAUCCAACGGUCGGUAACCGCUCGGAUGACGUCAUCGCCGACGACGUUUCGCCGGGCGGUUACUGGCCGGCGACCCGACCCAACGACGACCCGACCCGAACCGCGACGCCCGGCACGCCCGCGGCACGUGCCGGGUGACGUUUGCGUGACGUCAUCCCGCGCACGCGUGCGGCACGUGCGGACGGUUCGCCCGAACCAGCCCGACCGGUCUGCCCGGUCCGUCCGGCGACCGUUGACCCGUUGACCGACCGUUGACCGUUGACUUUGACUGUUGACCGUUGAUGAAAAAAAAAAAAGGAAUUUGUUUCUUUUUCAUAUAUGCCUAUGUGGUUUAUAUGUAAUCCAUUAUUUAUUCUGCAUUUGUUGCAUGAAUUUUGGAAAAUUAUGUGUUUUCCCUUAUGUUAAUUAUGGAUUAUAAGUGAUCCAUUUUUUAAUUCUGCAUUUGUUGCAGGAAUUAUGAUGCGUCAUGCACGAAUACCUACAAUCCCGAGAACGGACGAGGGAAAUGCAAGACUUAAAAGGCUGAUGACAGAGUUGGCUGAUUAUCGGUGGCAUAACGGUGAUUUAGUAUCACAUGUGGUCAAGGUCAAUAAGAUGAUACAGGAAAUCAUCAAUAAUGGUUAUCUUAUGCCGGAUUUUUAGAAGGUGCCGGCUUUGUUGAACACUCUUCCACCUGAAUGGCAAGCAGUGUUAGAUCGGCUAUGGGAGGUCAACGUGGUCCCGGGUUAUAGGAGGCUGGUGGAAGCUUUUGUAAGAGAGUACUAUAAGAUUGAGUUUGCCAAAACUUCAACCCUUAGAUUGUGCGCUACGUGGCGCAGAGUGAAUGCGCCUUGGUGGCGACAUGAAUGCUCUCCAAAAGUUUUUCCAUGGUUGGCAAAUGUGCCUUCAGUUUUCUCAGAUGUUUUGACUAAUAGAUUAGAAUGGACAUUCCCUAAUUAUUUCUUAGAUUAAUUGUGGGAUUUUUUUUUAUGGAUGUAAAUAUCUCUUUCCAUGUUGAUAUUUUUCUCUGUAUAUAUUGCUUAGUGUAAUGUAUAGUUGUAUUAUGUGAAAGCACUAUUAUUCUAUUGGAUGUUAGAUAAUAUUUGCUUUCUGUUACUGCUGAUUGCUGUGGGUAGUUAGCUGUGGGUAGUUCAUAGAAGUUUUUGUAGCUUCAUAGAAUUGUUUUUGCAUAUGACAAUCAUAUUAAUGAUAGUUUUAAGUUAGGAUUUUUGGAGGAUGAUUGGAAACGUAGUGACCUUUUGAUUCUGAAACCUUACUUGAAAUUAUUCAUUAAUAUGAUGGGUCUAUGCAAAUAGGGAUGCAUAAAUGAUAGGCAUUAAUUAUUCGUGCACAUAUGUCUGAUGUGUUCAGAUUGAUGGAUUCAGCAACUAAGAACGUAAUUGCUGAUGUGAACGGCAACAAUUGUGAAAUAUUGAAUAUGAAGAUUCAAUAUGUGCUGGAAAAGCAAGAAGCACUAGAAGCUCUUGACCAUGUUAUGGAAGAUCUUGAGGAUGCUGUGCGCCACCUUGAGUUGGUAGAGGACCGCUUAACGGCAUGUGAGCUGAAAAUAAAUAUUUGCAAUGCUGGUUCUAGCUCAGAAAGGGCUUUGAGCUCUAAGCGCAAGCGUAUUGAUUCGUUCAAUAUGUGGGAAUGCAAAGGAUCAAGUCCUUAUUGCAAGAGAUAAAGAGUUAACCAAUACAAGAGAGGAAAACGUCCUCAAGUUAAGAAAAUGUCAAGGGUGAGGUGUUACAAUUGUGACAAGAAAGGUCACUAUGCUCGCGACUGUCGUGAGCCAAAGAAAGUAAACACCUCUUGUACAUUUGAAAACUUUACUUUUGUGUCAAAUUCUGUAUUAUUAGCUGAAUUCAAUCCUUUGUGAACUGUAGAUUCAGGAGCAACAGACGAUGUAGCGAAAGAUAAAGGAUCCUUCGUGGAAUUCCGACGAAUACCAACUGGAACUAAGUGGAUCUAUGUGGGAAACAGCUCCAGAGUUGAAGUUAAAGGGAUUGGCACCUGCCAACUGAACAUGUGUGGUGGACGCACCUUGUUCCUACAUGAUGUUCUAAAUGCUCUGGAGAUUUGUCGAAAUUUAAGUGUCUGUUUUGAUGUUGGUUAAGCUUGGUUUUGAUAUGAACUUCCAUAAAUAAAGUGUAGAUUUGUGUUUAGAUACAAACUACUAUGGUUGUGGUCACUUUCUAGAUGGUUUUAUUGUACUAAAUGUUGACUGUGGUGAUGUCAAUAUGUUAUUCCCUUGUUUCACGUCUUUUACUUCAUGUGAUAAUGAUGUGAAUGUGUGGCAUGCUAGACUUGGUCAUAUUGGCCAACAACAUAUGAAUAGACUUGCCAAAGAGGGCUUGUUGGGCAAUAUUGAAUAAGUCGAUUUGUCCAUAUGUAAGCAUUGCUUAGAAGGGAAAACGACAAGGAAACCAUUUGGAAAAGGUAAAAGAGCUGACAUUCCUCUGCAUUUAAUCCAUUAUGACGUUUGUGGUUCAAUGAAUGUGAGAGGAAUGCAUGGGACUGUUUACUUCAUCACUUUUAAUAGAUGAUUAUACUCGAUUCGGAUGUGUCUAUUUGAUUUCUCAUGAAUCUGAAGCAUAAGUUGUUUCAAAAGGUUUAUGAACUUGGUUGAAAAUCAAUUAGACAAGAAAAUAAAAGCAUCGAGAUCUGAUCGAGGUCGAGAAUAUUUAUCUGAAAAGUUCAGAAAAUUAUGUGAUGAAAAAGGAAUAGAAAGACAGUUGUCUAUUCCAUAUACUCCUCAACAAAAUGGUGUUGCGGAGAGAAGAAACAGAACCCUACUGGAAAUAGUUAGGUCCAUGAUGGCGCAUGCUAACUUAGAUAUCACUUUUUUGGAGUGAUGCGUUGUUAACUGCUGUCUAUAUACUUAACCGAGUGCCUUCCAAAUCAGUUAGUUCCACUCCAUAUGAGUUAUGGACAGGUAGAAAACCAGACUUAAGUUUUCUUAAGCCAUGGGGUUAUGCUGCCUAUACUCAUGAGUCCUCUCACAAGUUUGGGAAAUUGAGUCCCAGAUAAAAGAAGAGUAUUUUCAUGAGAUACUCCGAACACUCGAAAGGGUAUAUGUUCAUAGGUGAGCAGGAAAGUGGGAGUAUGACUAAAUUUGAAUCACAGGAUGUCACAUCCUUAGUGGAUGAAUUUCCUAAGAAGGGCGAAAUAGGGGAAGAUUAGUCCCUAUUUGAAACCUUGGAUCAAGAUAAUGAUAUUAAUGGAGUUCGUCCAAGUGGGAGUAAUAUGAGAAGUGAUGAAUUGAAUUCAACUCAUUCUCAAUUACAACCACAUGAUGAGAUGAUAUCGUCAUUAUUUAAUCCGAGUGGGAGCAUAAUGGGGAAUGAUGUGCUAAAGUGUACAAUCUCCCAUAUAGCGAACAAGUCGCCAAAGGAUUCCCCGUCAACGUUUUGACAUUGAAGGGGAAACUUCUAAUGAUUGCUCCACAAAAUGAGGAUGAGCCAAGAAAUAUUAAUGAGGCUCUGAAUUGCCCUAGUAAGAAAAAAUGGAUUUAUGCAAUGAAAGAGGAGAUGGAGUCAAUGAAGUCAAACCAAGUCUGGGAACUGGUUGAUCUUCCAAAAAGGGGACGCAAAGCUAUUGGGAACAAGUGGGUUCUCAAAAUAAAGCAAAAGGCUGAUGGCUCGAUAGAAAGCAUAAGGCUCGCCUUGUGGCGAAGGGGUAUAAUCAACAGAAAGGAAUUGAUUAUGAAGAUACAUUUUCUCCUGUAGAGGGAUUUACCUCGAUUCGCAUUAUUCUGGCAAUAGUGGCUAGUAUGGAUCUUGAGUUACAUCAAAUGGAUGUAAAGACUGCUUUCCUCAAUGGAGAAUUAGAGGAAUAAAUAAAUAUGGAACAACCUGUUGGUUUCAUAGUGAAAGACCAAGAAGAAAAGGUAUGUCGACUUUGGGGGUCGAUAUAUGGCCUUAAGCAGUCGUCAAGACAAUGAUAUAUACGUUUUCAUAAUGCCAUAAUAGCAUAUGAUCUUACAAUGAUAGAUGAGGAUCAUUGUAUAUAUAUCAAAAGAUCCAAGGAUCAAUUUGUGAUCAUAUCAUUAUAUGUUGAUGAUAUAUUAAUUGCCGGAAGUAAUAUGGAGUUUGUUCAUACUGUCAAAAGUUGGUUGUCUUCCAAUUUUGAGAUGAAUGAUAUGGGAUUGUAAACACAUAAACACUCCUAUUGCAAAAGGUGAAGGAUUGAGCCAUAGACUGUGUCCAAGGACUCCACAAGAGAAGGAACAAAUGAAACAUGUUCCUUAUGCUAGUGCUGUUGGGAGCUUGAUGUAUGCUAUGAUGUGUACAAGACCUGACAUAUGUUAUGUAGUUGGAAUGGUGAGUAGAUACCAAUCCAAUCCAGGUCAAGCACGUUGGAAAGCCGUUAAAAAAAUACUAAGGUAUCUAAAGGGGACUGCUGAUUAUACGCUGAGUUAUUAUGGAAAGGAUCUGCGACUCUAAGGCUAUUCUGAUGAUGAUUGGGGAGGAGAUUUAAAUAAAAGGAAAUCUACCUCUAGGUUUGUUCUCUUACCGAAUAAUGGCACCAUGUGUUGGAGCAGUAAGAAACAAAAGUGUAUAGCCUUGUCCAUGAUGGGAAUUGAGUUCGUGGCAUUAUCAGCAGCAGUAUAAGAAGAUGUUUGGCUUAAGAGAUUUUUUGGAUCAUUUAGGUGUUAUUGGAAGUGCUGCAGAUUAAUUGUUGGUUAAUUAUGAUAGCCAAGCAGCAAAAGUGUACACCAAAGAUCCAAAAUAUCAUGACAAUACCAAACAUAUAGAUACCAAGUAUAAUUUUGUCAUGGAUAUGAUUGCACGAAAAGAUGUGAACUUAUAGUACAUACUACGCAUAGAAUGGUAGCAGAUCCUAUGAUAAAGCCAAUACCUAGAGAUGUGUUUUGUGGCUAUAUGAAAUCUCUAGGAUUGCGUAGAGGCUGAUGUACUGAAUAUUGUAAUUUCCCUAAGUGUUCACAAUUUGAUGAAUUUGUGUUUUCAUCAUUAAUGCCUAUGAAUCUUUGUUUGAUCUUUAUGCAUCUUAAUGCUCAGUGCAUUACUUUAAGUUAAGAGAAGUAUGUCGGACAGAUAUAAGAUUAGCCCACUCACACGGGUAAUCGCCUCUAUUUACUGUGUGAUAAAUAGAGAUGAGACUGUUUUUAAGCUUAUUAUCUAGGUGAUAAUCGAGAGCUCAAGCUUAAAACACGUAUGUCACCUUAACUAAGUGUUAAGAUGGGGACAUAAUACUUACUAUGUCCGAAAGUAAAAUACCCCACAUAUUUUACUUUAUCUGUUUAAGAUGCCAAAUGUGAGUUCUGAUGAAUUUUGUAAAUGAGUAGAUACGUGAACUCAAGUUAGACAUUGGGUAUGUCUGAACUAUCAUCUGUACGGUAUUGAAAGGUGUAGACAUACGCUCCAUGGGAAAGGAGUUGAUACCGUAAUACGUAUUUCAUACUACGUAUGCAUGAGACGACUAAUAAGAGUGGCAAAAGUUUGAUCUCAACUUUUUUUUUAUGUCGUGUGAGACUCUUGAGGAAAAGAGUUCCUCAAUUUUUUAGUCCCCUCAUGACUCUUACUUAUUCUCAAGAUUUCUAUUUAGUGUUUGCUAUCUUAGGAUGUUGCCAAUGGUCAUGAGUUUCAUUCGAUCUAAUGGGGCAUUUCUAGAAAAGCAAGCUGAACUGAAAUUGAGAGUUUGAAGGAAAGAGGAAGAUCGAUUUUGGAGAAUCACAUUGUAGUUUUGUAUUCACCGGUUAACCAAUUAUGACUGUCUUUGGGAUAAUCAUAAUUGUGAAUACAAUAUAUAUAUAUAUAUAUAUAUAUAUAUAUAUAUAUCAUUGUUUAAAAGAGAUCAAGAGAGAUAUAAAUGUGAUCAAUCGAUCUAGGGAACUGCAUACUAAAUCUACUCGGAGUGUGAUGCCCAUUAUGAGCUGCUAUAUAUUCCUAACAGAUGUAUGGCAACGAGCUCUCAAAGUAUGCUAGUCGCACGGAUUAUUCACUGGUAUGAAUGUUGAAGAGAGGUAAAGAGAAUUCUGUUCGGCCCACCAUGUGCGAGUGGGAGAUGAUGGUUUUAAUUAGUGAUGGGCCUAAGUUGGCCCGUCCGCCCAUGCUGGGCCCAAAAGGCCCGGCCCACGGGAAUAGGGCCCGUGGAAGGGGAAGGUAUAAAAGGGAGGAGAGAGAGAGAGAGAAGACAACGCUUGGCUGAACGUACGUACGUUCUCUCCCUCGCUCGCUCUCCAAAAGGACAACAAGAACAGUAAGGCAAACGGCACGUUCUUCUUCCCUUUAAGGCGCCAUCGGAUCAAACAGGACCAGAAUUUCUUCUCGAUCUUCAGCAUUGGUGUCUAAUCUGUGGCUAACAAGAUACGCUUGAAUCCGUGGUGUGCUUUAUGAUCGGUGAUACGUGUUUUCCCGGGCUUCAUCUUCCGGAUUGAUUUAGGGGUUUGAUUGAGUGUCGAAUCCGGUUUUCGGGGAUCAGUCAUUCCCAACAGUUGACAACCUAAUUUGACCAAUAAACGCAGUACAUCUAUAUAGUAUCUGGAGAGCAGCUGUUGUUGCUAGCUAAGGAUUACAUCAAGUAUCUUUUUAGUGGAUGUUUGAGUGUUAGGUCAACCCGUGCGAUACCCCAGUGAGGAAGAUUUUACAACGAGCUAACAGAGAAGAAAGAGGUUGAUCAGUAUUGGUUAGUGUUGAAAAUUGAGAUCCAUUUUCUAAAACUAGCUAAUUUCUUCUAUUGUAAUCUAGAAGCUCCUAAGUAAAGGUUUUGGUAGUGGAAGUUGUGGUCUAACAAUGUCCAAGUUAAGAGAUGUUUGGAUGAAUGGCCGUGGACAGUUGUAAAGCAAAAAUAUCUCUGACAAAAGCAGGAAUCUUUCCUUGAAGAAUACGGUGGGUGGCUUUAUGAGUAAAGCAAGAACUAGUUUGUGUAAGGUGGUGGAAGCAUCAGAUAAACUCCAGCCACGUGAACAUCCCGUCCUACAAUUAUGUAACGCCACAUUUCUAUCAAAUAAAUAAACGAUAUUCUUGUCUCAUAAAUCUUUUUCUAUAUUCCUCAGAGUAUUCAUCCUUGUCCAUUCCCCUACAUCAACUAUACCAUAAACAUAUACAUUUACACAUACAAACAAAAAAAUAUCAUUGAUAUCAAAGUCAUUCUUCGGCACAAUCUCACAAUUUCCAACAGUUAGAGAAGGCGAUAAUUAAUAUCCCGACCUAGUGGGACGGUCCUGAGAAGUAGAGGCGCAGGGAGAGAAUAUAGACAAGAUUUGUCUUCCAGCUAUGAUAAUGACCUCUGAACAAUUCAUCUUCGUCUUCCCCAGUCAUUUUAGAUGGAACAGCGAUAUCAUUCCACGGUUCUAGUUUUGCAGUGAUCCGAAGCUUGAUCUUGGUAGACGAUGAGAAAGCUGUCUUGUGUAGUUGUUACACCAUCCGUCAUGGAAUUUUCGUGCAAAAUUUAACAAGAACAAGGUCAGAUGAAUGAAGGAUUGAAGUCUAUGUCAUUCUGUUUUGUUGCAGUAUGAAUGACUGAGUUCAAGUUGAUUCAAAGCGUUAGAGCAAUUGGGACUUGAUAGGCUGCUUCAUCGGGUGAGGACUUCUUCGUUCCAACUUUUUCUGUCCCUUUUGAUUCGUUUUCAUUUCUGCUAUUGAUUUCGUCAUUUUGAGCUUAGGUUGCUACCUAAUAGGCAGAAUUUUUGUAACAUUUGAUAUGAUAUGCAAAUACACAUUACUUGUGUAUAUCUCGAAAAUUCCCACAUUUAGACACUGCUUUAGGCUGGCUUCCAAAAAAAUGCCCUUCUAUUAAUCUUCCGAGCGUUAAAAACUACAAAUACAAACUAAAAAAGUCAGAUUGUGAGAGCAACUUCCGUUUGCUCUUUCUUUUGUUUUGCAUUGCAUAUUGGUCCUUCCCCUAUUUUUGCAUGCUGACAGCUAAUCAUAAACACCAAGUUGCUUCAAAGGUUAUGGUUGAAACAAGCAUAUACUGAAAUGUAGAGGCAAAAGAAAUUAUGUAGGUUCUCGAAACUCUGGUGGUUGACCGCAGGGACAUCACCCGAUCCCGGUAUGUUGAGCUUUUUGAUGGCAAUGAUUUGGCUGCUGGCCAGUUCAAUCCUGUAAACGCUCCCGAACCAGCCCUUCCGAUGCAGUACUUUUCACUGCAGUCAUUGGUAGCCUUGGCGAUGUCAUUGAAUGUGAACUUCCCUUCCCUUCCCCAUAUGAUCGACUUGGAUUGCUCUUGCUUCACAAGACUCUUGAUCUCUUCAUCGAAUUCCUUGUUUCGCCACCAAAGUGCCAGAAUCACAGCAAUUGAAAUCACCAGAAAUAGUAAGCAGCAGAUGCCCAGGGUCACACCAAAAAAAACCUUUUCCCUAUGGUCGGUCGAUUUACGCUCAUCCCACAAGGAGAUAAUCCGGUCGUGUUUCCACACAAACCUAGAUUCGCGAUUAAAGCACUUCCCUGUGCUUGUUGGGAGAGGCGACCACUACGAACCACACUAAUUGGCUUGUUGCACGAUAAGUCUGUUGAGCUUCAACUCCUCAUGUUGGUGAGAGGAGCUGGGAUCGUAACCGACAAUUUGUUAUGCAAAAGAUUGAGAUUUUCCAAUUCAGUGAACUUUGCUAAAUUGGAAGGAAUUGAUCCUGCUAGAGAAUCAUGGCUCAGGUUCUCCUCUGUAGCGUGAACAAGUUCCCCAGCUCUGGCGAUAUGACAUCCAACAUAUUGUUGUUGCUCAAGUUCAAGCUCAGUAAAUUCUUGCAAUUCGCUAGCUCUUCCGCUAUGCUACCGCUCAAUGCCUUCUCCCCGACAAAUCAAGAUAUUCUAGCUUCAAUAAGUUUCCUAACUAGGUGGGAAUAUCUCCAGCCAAAUGGUUGUAGCUCAAGUUCAGCCUAAUCAACGCCCCCAGACUUACCAAAUCAUCAGGAAUUUUCCUGGUCCAUUCAUUGCCAUAUGGAGUCAGAUCGUGCAAUUGAGACAAUUUAUUAAUCUCCGGCAAGAUGCGGCUGGGGAUUUUGUUACCAUCUAUCUGCAAAUUCGUGACAUUCGUGCACUCUCCCCAUUCUGCAGAGAGAUUCCCGACAAAUCGGUUGUUGCUGAGGACCUGAGGCUUAUAAAGUCCGGAUUCAGAUAAACUCCAAACGCACUCAUGACAUCUGCGGUGAACCGAUUGCUGUCCAGACGGACUCUCGUUAGCCCCGGACAAUUCCUAAGCAGUUGGGCAGCGGCUAGGUGAAGUUAUUCCCAUCGACCACGAGAUAUCAAAGAGCAAAGCCGCUGCAUAUAUCUGGCGGCAGCUCUCUGGUGAAGCUGUUGUUCGAAAAGUUAACAUUGCCCAGAGAAUGGCUGUACUUGCCAAAAUCACGGGGUAUGCCUCCCGAGAAAGUGUUCAUGAACAAAGAGAUGGACUGUAAGUGAUGCUACAUCAUGGCUUUUUCCUUCCCAGCCCUGAUCUCCUCUUCUUCAACUUGAAGUGCCUCCUUGGUGGUAUACUUGCUGGUCAUCUUGCAAACCGACCUUCAUCACUGACAGCCUCUCAAACUUGACCUCGUAAUCAAUCGACUCGAGUUUGUCCUCUAAUGUGUCACCUUCGAUUAUCGUCUACCUACACACGAAGUUCUCCUUGUCGAGCUCAUUGAUCCGGUGCUUCACAUUCUUGAAAUGACUAGCUGCAUUUGUGACCAAACAAGACUUACAUUAUGAAACUCCCGGCUUGACGAGUGUCUGUUGAGUGUUCGUACCUUCGGCGAUAUUAACUUGCUCGAUGCUCCCGGCUCCUCCGUUGCCUUGCACGAGCUCCACGCUCUUUAUGAACUGAGGCAGGAGCUUUGGGAUCAGGGAAUUCAACCCGACGAUCAAGGCCUUGAACAUGUGAGCUGGAGCAAUCGGGCACGUGAGCUCUUGUGUGAUGCUGGUUGCACCCAUGGCUAUUGGCAAUGAGAAAGAAAUAACCCCAGAGAAGUUCGUGCUUCUGAGUCCUGUCAAUGCCUCCUAUUUAUGGUUAGAAUUAUGCGAAUAGGUAGGCUUGGUUUGGCAAGAGUCACGUUUGAGGAAAAUAGAAGAGUCGAGGAUUCGCGGCCUAAAGAAAUAUAUAAUAAGAAUGUACUUUUCCUUAAUGAUUUUACUUAUUGCGGUUCAUGAAAAAUUGUGCCACCUUGAUAUGUUUCGAUGAUCGAUCCGGAUCGAGCGGGAUCGAUAGUCCAUAUUCGAAAUAUUAGGCCACAGUUUACCAUGAAUUCAUUUCACUCAUGUAUCCUCUCCAUGUAGCGCAGUUUACCAAAUGCCAUAAAAACCACUACACCAGAUUCCUGUCACAUCUUUCAUUCUCUUAUUCUCAGCAAAGACUGGAACAACAACAAUCACCAGCCCAACAUGCUUUAACUUCGAACACCAAGUGACUCAAACGCUUCUUGUCUUCUAUUUAGUUUUGCCCAACCGGACAAUAAAAGAUAGCGACGAGAUCGGCGCAACAGGCAUCAGCGUUUGCCACGACAGAAGCCUCUAUGGCCUUGACCAUCGCGUCCACCUUCUCUUUCCCGGCCUUGAUCUCCUCCUCGGUGAUAUUCACCUCGCCAAUGGUGAAGUACUUGCUCAUGCACUUCAACACCGAGCCUCCCUCGGGCGACGCGGUGAUCUUCACCUCGUAGCUGAUCUUCUCAAAGGCGGUGCCCAGCGCAUCACCCUCGAUGAUUGAGUAACAGUAGGUGAAGUUCUCCUUGUUCAAGGCCUAGACCUUGUGCUUUGCCGUCUUGUACCGACUGCCGAUCAGAGUAACAAAAAGUAACAUUCACAUUUAGAACUUGCCGGUUUCAACAUUGUGAGCACCGAUCUUGAUGGUGUAGAAUCGGCCAUUCAGGAAUUAGCCCCCAGCCACAAUCCAAUACUAUUAACUUAGACAUGGCCUGAUUUUGCCUUAUCGAAAUCAGGUCACAUGAUCACAUGUGUAAAUUUAAACAGUUAGAAACGUCUUAAUUAAUCAAGUCAUAUAUCUAUAUUUUUCAAUCAAGUCAUAUAUCUAUCAUUAAGGAAUUAGCCCCCAGCCACAAUCCAAUACUAUUGACUUAGACAUGGCCUGAUUUUGCCUGAUCGAAAUUGGGGCACAUGAUCACUUGUGUAAAUUUAAACAGUUAGAAACGUCUUAGUUACUAUCUAUCUUUUUUAAUGUCCAUUAUAGUGUUCCAUAAGGUUGAACCCGCCUUGAUUUGGAGCAAUCCUAAGUUCCUAAUAUGGAUGGACUAACCUUCGCAGAAAGUCAUCAACUUGAUGGUCCCGGGACCUCCAUCGCCCUUGAAGACUUCAAUGCUCUUGAUGUCUUGUGGGAGGACCUUGUUGAUGAGGUUAUCGGCGUCAAGGAGAGUGGCCUCAAACAUCUCGGCCGGAGGGAUUGGGGACGUAAGUGAUGACACCCAUGACUGGAUCCGAACAAAGGUGCAGAAACUGAGAAGAGGGUGAUGAUUAGGAAAGACUUAGUAGUGAUGAAUUUGGUCUCUAGGACUUGGGAGUGAAGGAAGGAGGCCGAAUUGAAGAAGACAUAUGUAGAGAGACUGAGUGUGAAGGGUUAUGAUUUCUGAAUAUUUUCUUCUUUCUCAGGUGGGUUUUGCAGAAAAUAAAUAAUUUAAAAAAUAUUUUCCUAAAAUUAAUCGUCAAAUUUGGAUAGUGUUUCCAAGCAAGAGUUAUUUGGUGAGUGUGCUGCAUAUUGUAAAUUGAUCUAAAUCCAUAUAGAACUCACAAGAAUUACAAGCCUAUAUCUCCUUAAUAUAAAUACGAUGAAAAAAUGCUACCUCAUUUCCGAAUUUUCGUCAAAAUUGUGCUAUAUAUACUAUGUUAAUCUAAAUUGCUAAAUUCAAUGGGCUCACGUGGGAUCCAUACAAAACUCACCAGAGUUAAAAGUUUUGAUUCCGCUUAAUAUGAAUACAGUGCACUUUCGUCAAAAUUGUGUUGUCUAUACUAAAUUGAUUUAAAUCACUAAAUCUGAUGGGUUCAUGUGAGACCCAUAUGGAACUUACUAGAAUUAAAAAUCCAAAUUCAGCUUAAUAUAAAUACAACCUAGCUCAUUUAUGAGUCUUCAUUAAAAGUGUGUUGUAUGUCCUACAUUGAUCUAAAUCGCUAAAUAUGAUGGGUUUGCGUGGGAUCCAUAUAGAACUUACUAGAAUUAAAAGUCCAAAUUCCCCUUGAUAUAAAUACGACACUACCUCAUCUCCAAGUCUUCGUCAAAAUUCUGCUAUAUGUACUAAGUCAAUCUAAAUCGCUAAAUUUGAUGGGUUCACGUGGGAUCCAUACGAAACUCACUGACAUUGAUUCCACUUAAAAUAAAUAUGAUGCUCUUUCAUUGAAAUUGCGUUGUAUGUACUAAAUUGAUUUAAAUCACUAAAUAAGAUGGGUUCAUGUGGGACUUAUAUGGAACUCACUGGAAUUAAAAGUCCAAAUUCCACUUAAUAUAAAUUUGACCCUAGCUUAUUUUCGAGUCUUCGUCAAAAGUGUAUUGUGGGUUCAAGUGAGAUCUAUAUGAAACUCAUUGGAAUUAAAACUCCAAAUUUCUCUUACUAUAAAUAUGAUGCUAUCUCAUUUCCGAGUUUUCAUCAAAAUUAUGUUGUAUAAGCUAAUAUACGGGUUUGUUUUAUUAUUAUGACUUUUGAGAUUCCCUUUCAUGGAUCAGUUUGAUAAAGAAUCGAAAUUUCCUUUUGACCCAAAAAAAAAAAAAGUUAAUCUAAAUCACUAAAUUUUAUGAGUUUACAUGAGACCCAUAUAAAACUCACUAAAAUUAAAAGUCUAGAAUCCACUAGAUAUAAAUACGAUGCUAGCUCAUUUCCAAAUCUCCAUCAAAUGCCUUUUUAUCAUCAUUUUGAAGCUUCUGAUCGCACCCCACUCUGUCACACGUGAAUUGGGAAUGAUUUUCGACGCCAAAGUCUUCGUUAAAUCUCAUAAAGAUUGAGCCAACGUGGAACAACAACUCAAUUGUAAGCAUCGGGGUUUUGCAAGAGAUGGGCUCCAAUGGCUUUCAACAUUCCCAUGGCCUUCUAUUUGCUAGCCUUGUUCUCGAACCUGUCCUUGGCGAAGUACUUGCUCGUGCUCUUGCACGUGCACCCUCUCUGUCUGGACUUGAUCUCGUUCGAGAUCUUCUCUAGCACGUCGCCCUCCACAAUGAUGUAAGCGUGCGGGAGCUUUCCUUGUCCAGCUUGUCGACUGGUGCUUCACCGAGUUGAACCGUGUAGCCGCGACACAGAAAACUGUAGUCAGCUCCCACGUUAGUCUUAUCUAAGAAUGUCAGGCAAAUAUGUUGACAUCACAUGUUGAUGUGUGAUCAAAAUGAGUGAAAUUAGAAGACGCGCAGGUACUCGCCUUCGCCGAAAACGAUGCGAUGGUGACGGGACCGCCGUCACCUUCAAGGGUGACAAAAUCCAGAUUGGCUUGUAGGAGGAGCUUGGGGAUGAGAUUUUUAUCAAGAUCAAAUGCCUUGAACAUUCGUGCAGGUGGGAUGGAAUGCGUCUUAGCCUAAGAUUUCCAAGUCCCAGGGCAAGAGAUGUGAGAUUAUGUUGAAAUGCCCUUUAAAUGAUUCUCAAUCUCCUCGUUUAGUAAUCUAAAUCAGCAUCACAAUGUUCUUAAAUAAUACAAUAAAAAAAGAGGACAAAAGGCAUGGAUCUCAAGCCCAAAUUAUACUUAUUAGCAUGCGAGAGACCUUUGAAUGCUGACACCCUUGAGGGUGGGAAUUCACUAAAUUAUAAUUUAAAUAUUCUAACGGCGCCAACGGCUCGGACAGGAAAGCUUGAGUACGUGCGGAUAAUUCUUGCGCAACGAAAUGCAUGGUAAGUCACGAAUCGAGACUCAUCCGCAUACACGCUAUUGCGACCAUGACCAUGAAUACCACUUCCUUGACCAGUUGGCCAGUCGGAGGAGGAAGAUGUGGGUUGAGCAUAUCCUAUAGUGGCACAUUUGAGUCUUUGAAUAAUGUCGACAUUUGUGUCAUUUGUAGGGAAGAGAGAAGAUUCCGGGAUGCUUCCUCAUCAUUCUCUAGCAUCGGUACUUUUACUGUUGACUCUGUUUCAUGAAAGAAGAAUGAAUCAAUGUUUUGAUCACAACCUCAAGUUGCCUACAAAUUCCAAAUUUUUGAGAUUCUGUUAAUACAUACCACUUUUCAAAAUCUGUACUUGCUCUUCCUAAAAGUCUUGUUAGAAGUAUUGGAUGAAUCCAAAUUCAAUAUGUCAAUUGAAGGUAUUUGAUCAACCCGAGACCAUAGGUACAGGGGGAAUGUACUGAUUAGAUUUGAUCAUGUAGCUUACCAGGAACCAUGUAGCCAUAAGAUCCAGCCACUGGGAUCCAAUUCGACGAAUCCGAAUUCAAGAGCCUCACUGUCCCAAAAACCAAAAGCCAAGGCUCGAAGUCCGACUCGAGCAAGAUGUUGUUCAACAUCAUGUUCCGAUGGACAAUAGGCAGUGAGCAAUUGUGAUGCAAGUAGGCGAUCACGGGAGCCACGCAUUGAACAAUCUUCACUCUCUUAACACAAGUCCAAUUCAACUGCUCCGCUUCCUCCAUGCAAGACCUUUGCCAAAGUUCACAAAAGAUUGGAUGAUGUCCCUGCGGUUAACCACCACUUUUUUUUACCAUGACGAUGUGGCCGCUGGCCUAUUCGGCCUUGUAAACGCUUCUGAAUCCACGUUUUCCGAUGCAGUACUCUCCAUUGAAGCCGUUGGUGGCCUUGGCAAUAUCGUUGAAUGCAAACUUCAUUCCCCUUUCCCAUAUGAUUUCACGUACUUCAUAAGAUUUCUUAUCUCUUCAUCGAGAUGCUUGUUUCACCGCCAAAGCACCAAAAUCAGAGCAAUAAGAGUCACGAGAAGUAGUAAGCAGCAAACGCAACAAUCACAUUAAUCAGAACCUUUCUCCGAUGGUCAGUCGAUUUACUGCUCGACCCACAUGGAGACAUUCCGUCGCGUUUCCUCACAAGCCCGGAUUUGCAAUAAAAGUACUUCCUAGUUAUUGUUGGAAGAGGCGACCACCAAGAACUGCGCCUGUCAACUUGUUGUACAAGAAGCCCAUGAAGCUUAAACUGCUCAUGCUGGUGAGAGUAGCUGGGAUCGUACCCAACAAAUCGUUAUGCAAAACGUUGAGAUUUUUCAAUUUAGUGAGCUUUGCUAAAUUGGAAGGAAUUGAUCCUACUAGUGAAUUGUGGCUCAGGUCUAGUGGUUCUGUAGCGUGAACGAGUUCCCCAGCUCUGGCGACAUGACACCCAACAGAUUGUUGUUGCUCAAGUUCAGGCUCAGUAAAUUCUCGCAAUUUGCUAAUGCUUUUGGUACGAUCCAUAGAGAAGGGAUGUACUUGCCGUAUUGUGGUUUAUGAAAGAUUGUGCCACAUUGAUAACUUUAGAUGUUAAUCCAAAUUCGAAAUAUCAGGCCAAAUUUUGGUAUUUUAUUGGCCAUUUGGCAUUUCAUUUGUAACUCAUGAAUUCUCUCCUCGUAAAAAAAUUACUAAAUUAGAGAAUUUCAUUCUACAAGCCUUGUAUAAACAUGUAGCAUAGUUUAUCAAAUUCCACAAAACCACUGCACCAGAUUCCUAUCACACCUUUUAUUCUCUUAUUCUCAGCAAAGACAAGAACAACAAUACUCACCAGCCCAACAUGCUUAGCUCCAAACAGAGUGACUCAAACUCUUCUUGUCUCCUUUUCAGUAUAGCACAACCACACAUAUUUAACGCAUUACGUAAACAAUACAAGAUAGCGAAAAGAUAGGCUCAGUAGGCAUCAGGGUUUGCCAAGAGAUAAGCCUCGAUGCCCUCGUACAUCGCGGACACCUUCUCUUUCCAGGUGUUGAUCUCCUCCGCGGUGAAGUAACUGUCCGUGCACUUCAACAUCGAGCCUCCCAAAGGCAACGCGUUGAUCUUCACCUCAUGGGUGAUCUUCUCGAAGGUGGUGCCCAGCAUUUCGCUCUCGAUGAUUGAGUAGCGGUAGGUGAAGUUCUCCUUGUCCAGGGCCUCGACCUUGUGCUUCGCUGUCUUGAACGGAUUGCCUAUCAAUGUAACAAAAAGUCACACUCACAUUUAGAACUCGCAGGUUUCAAUAUCACGAGCACCAAUCUUCAUGGUGUCCAUCAGGCCAUUUAGGAAUUAACCCAAUUGUUCCGACCGCAAUCCAAUACAAUUGACUUAGACAUAGCCUGACUUUGCCUGAUCAAAAUUGAGUCACAUAAUCACUUGUGUAAAGUUAAACGGUUAGAAACAUCUUAAGUAAUCGAGUCAUAUUUCUAUCUUUUUCCAUAUUCAUUUUAGUGUUCCAUAAGGUUGAACCUACCUUGAUUCAAAGCAAUCCUAAGUUCCUAAUACGGAUGGACUAACCUUCGGCAAAAGUCAUCAACUUGAUGGUCCCGGGACCUCCAUCGCCCUCGAGGACUUCAACGCUCUUGACGGCUUGUGGGAGGACCUUGGGGAGGAGGUUAUCGGCAUCGAGGAUAGCGGCCUUGAACAUCCUGGCCUGGGGAAUGGGGGAUGGGAUAUCGAAGUGAAAAGUGAUGACACCCAUGACCGGAUCUUACUAGAGUUGCUGAAACUGAGAAGGGGGUGAUGAUCUGGAAAGACUUGAGUAGUAGUGACGAAGUUGGUCUCUGGGACUUGGGAGUGAAGAGAAGAGGCUGAAUUGAAGUUGACAUAUAUAGAGAGAGGGAGAUUGAGUGUGAAGGGUUCUGAUCACUGCAUAUUUUUUUCUUACUAAGAUGCAUUAUAUUUUGCGGAAAAUAAAUAAUUUAGAAAAUAUUUUCCUAAAAAUAAUCACUAAAUUUAGAUAGUGUUCUGAGCAUAAGUUAUUUGGUGAGUGUGCUGCAUGUUCUAAAAUGAUCUAAAUUGCUAAUUUAAUGGGCUCACUAGAAUUAAAAGUCUAGAUUCCCCUUAAUAUAAAUACGACACUACCUCAUUUUCAAGUCUUCAUCAAAAUUGUGUUGUAUAUAAAUAUGACCCUAGCUCAUCUCCGAGUCUUUAUCAAAUGUGUGUUGUAUGUCCUAAAUUGAUCUAAAUCUCUAAAUCUAACAGGUUCACGUGGGAUAAAUGUGGAACUCACUAAUUAAAAGUCUAGAUUCUCCUUGAUCUAAAUACAAUGCUAUGUCAUUUCGAAGUUUUCGUCAAAAUUGUGUUGUAUAUACUAAGUUAAUCUAAAUCGCUAAAUUUGAUGGGUUCAUGUGGGAUCCAUAGGAAACUCACUGAAUUAAAAGUUUAGGUCAACUUAAUACAAAUACAGUUUUCUUUCAUCAAAGUUAUGCCGUAUGUACUAAAUUAACCCAAAUUGCUAAAUCUGAUGGGUUCAUGUGGGACCUAUAUAAAACUCACUCGAAUUAAAAGUCAAGAUUCUCCUUGAUAUAAAUACGAUGCUAUGUCAUUUCAAAGUUUUCGUCAAAAUUGUGUUGUAUAUACUAAGUUAAUCUAAAUUGCUAAAUUUGAUGGGUUCAUGUGGGAUCCAUAGGAAACUCACUAAAUUAAAAGUUCAGGUCAACUUAAUAUAAAUACGGUUUUCUUUCAUCAAAAUUAUGCCGUAUGUACUAAAUUAACCCAAAUUGCUAAAUAUGAUGGGUUCAUGUGGGACCUAUAUGAAACUCACUCGAAUUAAAAGUCAAGAUUCUCCUUGAUAUAAAUACGAUACUAUGUCAUUUCUAAGUUUUCGUCAAAAUUGUGUUGUAUAUAAAUAUGACCCAAGCUCAUUUCCGAGUCUUUAUCAAACGUGUGUUGUAUGUCCUAAAUUGGUCUAAAUCACUAAAUCUAAUAGGUUCACGUGGGAUCCAUGUGGAACUCACUCAAAUUAAAAGUCUAGAUUCUCCUUGAUAUAAAUACGAUGCUAUGUCAUUUCUAAGUUUUUGUCAAAAUUGUUUUGUAUAUAAAUAUGACCCUAGCUCAUCUCCUAGUCUUUAUCGAACGUGUGUUGUAUGUCCUAAAUUGAUCUAAAUCGCUAAAUCUAACAGGUUCACGUGGGAUCCAUGUGGAACUCACUUGAAUUAAAAGUCUAGAUUCUCCUUGAUAUAAAUACAAUGCUAUGUCAUUUCUAAGUUUUCGUCAAAAUUGUAUUUUGUAUAUAAUAAGUUAAUCUAAAUCGCUAAAUUUGAUGGGUUCAUGUGGGAUCCAUAGGAAACUUACUAAAGUUAAAAGUUCAAAUCAGCUUAAUAUAAAUAUAGUGCUCUUUCAUCAAAUUACGUCGUAUGUACUAAAUAACCCAAAUCGCUAAAUCUGAUGGGUUCAUGUGGGACCUAUAUAAAACUCGCUGGAAUUAAAAGUCUAGAUUCUACUAAAUAAAAAUUAGGCCCUAACUCAUUUCCGAGUCUUUGUCAAAAGUGUGUUGUAUGUCCUAAAUUGAUCUAAAUUGCCAAAUCUGAUGAGUUCACAUAGGAUCCAUAUUGAAUUCACUAGAAUUAAAAGUCCAAAUUCCACUUAAUAUAAAUAUGACGCUAGCUCAUUUCUGUUUCUUCAUCAAAAUUGUGGUAUAUGUACUAAGUUAAUCUAUAUCGCUAUAUUUGAUAGGUUCAUGUGGAACCCAUAUGAACCUCACUAAAAUAAAACGUCCAAAAUCGAUUAAAUAUAUACACUACUUUAACUCAUUUCUAAGUCUCCAUCAGGCGCCUUUUUCUCAUCUCUUUGAAGCUUCCGAUCUCGUGCCAUUCCGUCACAUGUGAAUCGCGAAUGAUUUUCCACGCCAAAGUCUUUGUUAAAUCUCAAGACUUAAAAAUACGAAUGUGAAGUAACAACUGCGUGUCAAAUGCAGAAAAUUCAUAUGUGAAAAAGUUGACCGUCCCUUCUUGAGUCAACUGUUCUCUUCCUCGAUAUGCUUUUCUGAUCUGGCCUCACAGAUAGAUGGGCAAAGCGGCGCAUUCAUAUCUAUAAUCUCGCGGCAGUUUCAACUCUGUUAAAAGAAUGCCGAGAUCUUUACAAGAUGUUUGACAAGUGUCUUUGAUGACAGCAUGCAGCAUAUCUACCGCUUCAAAACAUAGUUACGGUUCAGUCUCGAUUGUUAUUUUUCUUGAAAGAGACACGAAUGAAGACAUAAAUUAUCGUGGGAGAUAGAAAGAUCCAGCCAACAUGUAACGACAACUCAAUCGUAAGCAUCAGUGUUUUUGCAAGAGAUGGGCUUCUAUGGCUUUCAACAUUCCCAUGGCCUUCUCUUUGCUGGCCUUGUUCUCGACCCGGUCCACGGCGAAGUACUUGCUCAUGCUCUUGGCCAUACACCCUCUCUGUCUGGACCCGCCUCAAACUUGAUCUCGUUCGGGAUCUUCUCUAGCGCGUUGCCCUGGACGAUGGCGUACGCAUGCGCGAGCUUUCCUUGUCCAGCUUCUCGACUGGUGCUCCACCGAGUUGAACUGUCUAGCUGCGAGACACAGACAACUGCAGUCAGCUCCCACGUUAGCCUCAACAAAGAAUGUCGGCAAAUGUCCUCUUUGACAUCACAUGUUAAUGCGACGCAAUCAAAAUAAAUUAAAAUAGAAGACAGCGCAAGCACUGGCCUUCGCCAAGGAUGGCGCCGGGACCCCCAUCACCUUCAGGGAUGACAAAAUCCUUAAAGGCUUGUGGGAGGAGCUUGGGGAUGAGAUCAUCGUCAGGAAGAACGGCCUUCUUGCAGGUGGGAUGGAAUCGUCUUCACCUAAGAGUUCCAAGUCCCACGGCAAGAGAUCUGUGAUAUUAUGUUGAAAAUGCCCUCUAAAUGAUUCUCAAUCGCCUCGUUUAGUAAUCUAACUCAACAUCACAUUGGUCUAAAUCAUAUAAUAAAGAAAGAGGACAAACGGCAUGGAUCUCAAGCCCAAAUGAUACUUGUUAGCAUGCGAGAGAUCUUUGAAUGCUGACAACCUUGAGGGAGUCACUAAAUUAUUAUUAAAAUAUUAUAAUAGAACCCAAUGGCUUAGACAAGCAAGCUUGAGUGCAUGUGGAUAAUUCUUGCUUGAUGAAAUGCAUGGUAGGUCGCGAAUCGAGACUCGUCCCCAUGCACAUCCACUCCCUCGGCUAGUUGGCCGGUCGGAGGAGGAAGCCGUGGGUCGAGCACAUCCUUCAAUAGCACAUUUUAGUCUUUCAAUAAUGUCGACGUUUGUGUCAUUUGUAGGGAAGAAAGAACAUUCAAUGGAUGCUUCCCAUCAUUCUCUAGUGUCACUACUUUUACUGCUGACUGUGUUUCUUGAAAGAAGAACUAGCCAGGGUUUUGCUCACAACGUCAAGUUGUCCACAAAUUCCAAAUUUCUGUGAUACUUUAAAACAAACCACUUUUCAUAAUCUAUACUUACUCUUCCUAAAAGUAUUGUUAGAUUUAUUGAAUGAAUCCAAAUUCGAUUUGUCCAUUAACCGCGGAGUUACUACUAAUUUUAUUUUUCAAGAAGAAGAAUGAAUCAAAGUCAUGAUCAUAAUGUCAAGUUGUACCCAAAUUCCAAAUUUGAACGACACUCUUAACACAAACUACUUUUCAAAACCGGUACUUGCAAGAAUCCUAAAAGUCCCGUUAGAAUUAUUUAAAUGCAAAUUAUCGAUCUGAGACCAUUUGUACCUGCGAAAUGUUCGAUUAGAUUCCAUCAUCUAACUUACCAGCAACCAUGUAGCCAUAAGAUCCAGCCUCAAAUAAGGCCGGAAACUCGCAUGAACCGGAAAGCAGCAGCCCAGUCCGGCGAGCCCGAAACAGGGCAUGGGCAAAAAAAAGCGCGGUCGGCCGAGAGUCCCUACCCAGCUCGCGGCGUCGGACGGCGGACGAGCUCGAUAGAUCGGGCUAUGCCCGUCCGCCUCGCUCGUCUCCUAGCCGGGAUCCUCGGGAAGCCGACCCCGAAUCGGGAAAAACCAAGACCGCCCGAAGGGGUACCUACCAUGGCCUCGAAGUGGACAAGGAGCGGCGGCGGAUCAUCAGUUUUGGUUCGGAAGUGGAGCCCAACAGCAGCUCUCUCAGUCGCGUCCUCGGAUCCGAAUCCCUCUCGCCUCGUACUUGACCCCCUCCGAUUUCUCCCUCCUCCCCCCGACCUCUGGCCUUCGAUUUAUAGGCUGAGAAGGCCGGUCGGCGGAGGCGCUUCGGCCGCCGGUCCUUCGCGCGCCGACCGGCCCCCCUUGGCUGAACCAGCAUCACAUCACCCGUCGCCUCCAGCGCCGCCUGCUCUGCUUUGCGCCUGCUCUGCUCUGCUCUGCUUCUACUUCUGAUUCCGUCCUCGCUGGCGUGAGGAAGAAGCGGGAAGGAGGAAGGAGGAAGGAGGGGCCGGGCCGGGGUGAGAAGCACAAGCAGAGUGGGCCCUGGGCCCACUCGGGGAACAAAGGAGAAAAGAGGGGGGCUAAGGCGAAGGCCCAGCCGCCGUGGGCCCUUUUUUUAUAAAUAAUAUUAAAUAGGGCUAAAUAAGAGAAAAUAAAAUGCAAAUGAUAUUUAUGCUUAUAUGAUGUGAAAAUCGUUUUUAUUAGUGUCAAAUUGAUUCCAAAUUUUUUAUAUAAUUUUAAUUAUAGAUAUUUAGUCAAAAUUUAAGUAUCAAUAAAUAUAAAUCUCAAACUGCAAGAGUAAAAAUAAAAAAAGAAAAGAAUUAAAGAAGAGACAAGUGCGGUUGCACCUUUAUCCCAUCAUGUGACUGAAAUUGUUUAAGAAAGUAAAAAAAAUUGGGAUAAGUGCAUUAGAAAUCUUAAAAAUUAUCAUGAAAAUGCAAUUGAGUCAUAAAACUUUCAAAAAGUGCAAUUAAGUCCUAAAAAUUGGUACGAAAGUUCAAUCAAAUCCUAAAACUUUCAAAAGAUUCAAUAAAAUCUAAAAACUUGUUUCGAAAGUACAACCGAAUCCUAAAACUUUCAAAAAUGCAAUCAAUUGAAGGACUUAGAUUGAACCACUUUAAUAAGUUUUAGGACCUGAUUGUAUUUUUUGAAAUUUUUAGGACUUAAUUGCAUUUUAUAACAAGUUUUAUGACUUAAUUACCUUUUUUAAAAGUUUUAGAACUUAAUUACAUUUUCAUGACAAAUUUUAGGACUUCAAAUGUACUUAUCCCUAAAAAAUUCAAUGAACAUCACAUGCUCUAGCUUUAAUUGAAUUAUUGGGGGAGGGGGGUUAUUUUUUCCCUAUAAAAAGAACUCGCCACACGACGAUAAUUGGGGGUUUUAAUUUUUUUGGAGGACCUCGAAGGGAUUUUAUUUUCUCUCCCAGUUUCUAGGUGAAGAAAUUCAAGAAAAAGAGAGAAAAAUUCCCCUUCGUUGAAGGGAAAGUCAACCAAAGGGUUUUUCCCUUGUGGUUUUUUCCUUUUGCUGAAAGUACAAGGGCAGUAGAAUUGAGAAAAUAUUGGGUACCUUAAAAAUGCCAUGUAAUUUGUGCUCUGAACCAUUUAAAGUGUGACAUAUGUUUGUGUGUCAAUCCAUGUCGUCCCACUUCUCGAUUUCAAACCAACGCACGGGAGGUUCUCUCUCUGCUCUCUCAAGCAUAAGCCCUGGCCCACCUCUUUGCAUGCUCUAACGCUCUCUUUCCUUUGCUCUCCUUUGCAGAUCAUCUCUCUCCUCUUUCUCCUCUCUGUCUCUCUCCUCAUUCUCUGUUCCGUUGCGAGGAGAACAAAAUUGUGGAGGGUUAAAGGAAAACAUAAAAGUUGAGCCCCUCCGCCUCCACUAGUUGCUUCCAUCGCCUCCCUCUCACGACAUUUGCUCUGCUCUGCUCUGCUCUCUCUCCCCUCCAUGAAGUCGUGCCUCUCUUCCAGCGAAAUGUGACGCCGAUGGUCCUCCACCUCCACCUCCACCGGUUGCCUCCAUCGCCCUUGACUCCGACGCCGAUGCCCCUCCGCCUCCCUCUCACAACCUCUACUCCACUCUCUCCCUCUUUCCUCUACGGAGCGCCCUUAUUGGCCAACCCUGAUGCCGACGAACCCCUGCUCACGUUUUGGCCUCCCUCUCAGCGAGUGAAGGUCGCUUGCUCUUUCUGUCUUUCCUCUGUGAAGCACCCCCCAUUCCUGAACGUGGACGCCGCUGACACCGAUGCCGUCGCCUUCCUAAGCCCCACCGAUAGCCACCCCACUGGCGAUUCCCGUACGUCCAAAGGUUCUUUUUUCUUUUCUUUUCUUUUUGGAUUCUACUUGGUAGAAUUCGGUAACAUGUUUAAGUUUAUAGAUACAUUUGCAUUAGGUACUGCUUUAUCUUACUUGUUGCUGACUUGCUGUGUUAUUCAGAUAGUGAAGAUUGGAAGAAAGUGAAACGGUGGUAUCUUUUGAGAUUGUUUGCAUAUAGUCCUCCUAAGGGAUUAGAGGCUUCUGAGCCUAAAUUGGUCACUCCAUGCUUUUAUUUUCUCCCAAAAUCACAUGUCUGUUGGAGAAGUUGAUCCUUGCGUGCUUCUGAAUAGUCAUUUGCGUUGCAAUUCCAAAGGUGUAACUCAGUUGUGAAGGAUAAGAUCAAAAUAUCUCUCUAAGAUCUACCUUCUUGGUCCACUGAUCUAUUAGAAAUAGGUAGUUUACUUAGGCAAAUUCAUUGCAGCUUGGGCUGUUUAAACCAACAAGUACCUCUUAUUUUGUUCAUGUGCCAACGAGAGAUAUGGUGGGACAUCCUCACAAGCAUGGAGCCAGAAGCUUAUCUCUCUGUUUGCUUUGCGAGAGAGCCAUUGAAAAUUGCAGGUUUCUUGUGUUUAGCUGAAUUUGACAUACAGAGACUAACCAAAUUUGUGAAGAUGACUAAUUUCACGUUGUUGUUUUUUUAAGCAUAAACAAAGGUUUGAUUUGAUGUUUAUGGUUUUAUCCUAAUUCCACUUAUUUAGAAUCUCUUGGAUAUUGGACAGGGUUAGACUUUCUUGCUUUAUCUCGUCAUAGUAGAUGCCAUGCACUGGAUUAUAUUAUUUAGCAUGCGCCGUUUCUCUGUAAUUAGAGCUGCCUUUUGUUCAUGCUAAACUUUUGAACAACUGCUUUGCCUUACCUAUAUGAACUACAGAUCCUGAUAGACCUAAGAAUGACAAGGGAACCAUUCUUACGGACACAAUCCAGGUGCUGAAGGAUUUAAACACGGAAGUUAACAAAUUGAAAGCUGAAUGUGCAGCUCUUACUGAAGAAUCUCGUGAGGUGAUCACUUAGUUGGCAUUUGCUUAGCUCUUCUCACCGCAUCGGCUUGCUCGCGAAGGAAAAUGUUAUGAAAGGAAAAUGCAAAUCAUGCUCUUGGGCUGUCUCUAUUCUUUUAAGCUUUUAAAGCAUUUGUCUUCGUAGUUUGUCCUCUUCAAACAAGUUCUUAACAUCUACAUCUACAUAAACAGAGUAUCCUAGAAGCAUCCAUUUCAUGAUCAGCAUUCCAUGCUAAAUGCAAAUCAAGUGGUGCAAUUCUCAGCAACCCAACAUCAGGGGAACCAACUAUAACAAGUAAAUUCUCUAGGCUAUGCCACAAAUGAGCACGCGACUUCACCUGUGUCCACAAUUAUUGGUAUCAACGGAGCCGCCGCGCAGACCGACCUCGCAGUCACUGCCAUUUCCGGCGGCCUGAAGACAUUCAGAAGAAACGGCUCAAAGAUUCGAACUUUAGCAUUCGAAACUCACAUACCCACUUCACAUGCAAAAGCGGGGAAUCGCAACCGGGCAUCAGGACGACGCCCUGAUCCUCUAUCAGCCGGUGCACGCGCGUCUGCCGCGUCGUCAUCCUGACCGUCGGGGAAGAAUGAGAAGUGAGAUGGGGCAUGUUUGUUGCCGAGCGCAGCUUGAGGACAAAUCAGUGAGAAAAGUGUCGGAAGAACAUUGAAGUUGUUGACAAAGGUGGAGUGUGAAGAGUUGUUGUCUCGUGGGACAGAAUACCCAUGAGAGAGAGAGAGAGAGAGAGAGAGAGAGAGAGAGAGAGAGAAGAGAAUCAAGACCCGUGAAGCACAGACAAAAAGUAAUAGAGCUUGUACACAAAUCAAUAAUGUAAAUGAAAAUCAUGAGGGAUGGAUGAUAGCAAGGGGAAAAAGCCUAUGAUGUAAUGCUUAAUGCUUGAUCAUAUAGCACAUGGUGAUGCUAACACGUUGUCAAUUUGUUUUUUGGAUUGCAUAUAUGGCAUUCGGAACGCUCAAAGGCAAAGAAUGCAAAAUCAUUUAAUUCAAGUGCAUCAGGUUCCGUAUAAAAAGGCACCUGACGUUGUAUCUAAAGUUUUUUUAGGAGGAAGACAUAAUUCCAACAAGAAAAUAAUUAUCGCAUUUGCAUGAAGCGUGUCUAAUCAUUCAGCCAAUUAUCAUACCAUCAUGAUUGAGGAUUCACAAGAUUCUUUGCUGUAUUUAGAACUUCGCCGCAUUUGUAAUCUCGUGCAAUUAAUAAAGGAGAGCAUUCUUCUUCCAACAACCAUGACAUAAUUGAUUGGAACAUAUGCCUGAAACUUGAACAAUGAGGGCACAUUCAUUACUUUUUUAAGGGUUUAGCUCCAGCAGCCAUGACAUAAUUGAUUGGAGCUCAGAUUUUGCAUCCAAACUAUCUUGCGACUUUUGACCUGCCAUGAGGCAUAAGCCAGGUUGUACUCCUGCAUGAGUCACUCGCAUCGUGUAGUAGUGAUGCCCUGGUGGUUAUUAGAUAAAAAGAGUCUCCAGAGAUGCUGUCGUCAAGAGGUAACGAAUCAGUGUACCGAUGGAGAUGCGAGCUAGCAUACGCUUUUGGGUGUUCCCAUCAUCAUUGACCGGAGCAAAAAAAGGCGAAUUCCUACAUUCGCUAUUCUAUUGGCCAUGAUUCAACGCGAUGAUGAAUGGCUCUUUAAACCAAGAAGCGUCACCCUAAAUAAUAUGAUCAAUUUAUCUUCGUUAAUGGCUGCUCAGCAUACAUCUCUAAAUCCUUCACAGAAAAAGCAGGUGCAUUGCUCAUCUCUGAGAGAGACUGAAAAAUGUUUACACUUGAUUCAUUUGCGAUGCCAAAAAAAUUGGGAAAAGAGAAGGCCUUACAAGUAAAAAAGCAUUGCCCAUUCUGUAAUAGAACAAACCCUUCAUGAAUGCUGUCACCAGCGACCUCCUCGAUCAGCACGGCAUCCGAUAUCUCUCUCACAUCAUCCUCCGCAAGAUGGGGUUCACUUCACGUGAGACGAAAUCGGCUUCUCCUUUCUUCACCGCCUUGUCAGCAGCUUCCAUUAUUAUGUGUCCCAAGCUCGCUCCGAGAGAGAAAGAGAGAGAGAGAGAGAGAGAGGGAAAGGGUCAGGAAAGGGGGAGGAAGUUAUGAAGGUAUGGAGGAAGGCAGGAGGGGAGGGGAGAUGGGCAAAGAUGGUGGAGAGUGUGGCCUGCCCAGAUACGCGCAGAAAGAAAGAGAGAGAUGGUCAGCUGCAACCAAAACGGCAAAAAAAGACCACGAUCUAUUAACCCCUUGCGGAACAUAAACAAAUCAGCGAGUAGGAAAACGGGGUCGCAAUCCCCGGAGAAAGAUCUCAUUCAAGACAGACCGACGGGCAAGAAAAAGGGGUCGCGGUCCUCGAAGGGAGAUCUCCACCAGGUCAAAUCGCACCUCGUGCUUCUGUUCGGGUCGCCAUCGCGUCCCUUGAUGGCCAAGGUCUGUUGCUGCUGGUUCUGCUUACUCUGAGCGAGCUUCUCGCUUGGGUCGUUGCUAAUGAGGAAGGAAGACGAAGGAAGGAAUCCCCGGAGGGAGAUCUCCGCCAGGCCGAAUUGCACCCGGUGCUUCCGCUUAGGGUCACCAUCGCGUUCCUUGAUGGCCGGGGCCCGUUGCUGCUGAAUCUGAGCAAGCUUCUUGCUUGGGUCGUCGCCGAUGAGGGAGGAAGACGAAGGAAAGAACGUGAGGGGAGAGAGAGAGCCCUUGAAAAUUGAAAAGAGGAAAGAGGUUUUUGUUGAGCGGGAGUGCGAAGGAAAGAACGUGAGGAGAGAGAGCGCCCUUGAAAAUUGAAAAAAGGAGAGGUUUUUCUUGAGCAGGAGUGCGCUUUUACUGUUCUGUCUUUUCUCCGUGCGUUCCCCAGAGGAGAGAGAGGGGAAGAAGGCUAUGGGUCCCAUGUGGACACGUGUUGCGCUCCCACCAUCUUCUUGUUUGCCUAGAGCGUAAGACGAACGCAAUAUUAUUCUCUCACCUCUCACGUCUCCAAAAAGGAGAGGAAGCAGAGGCAGCCAGCCCCGAGCGUCGACGCCGUUGUUUCUGCUCCGCCCCCCAGCCGCGACGCUUCCGCCUGCCGGUCUCCGCUGCACCGGUUGCCACAGUCGCUCCUCCAGCAACCCGCAGGCCACCCUCACGCCGUUCACCGCGCCGGCUACCACCGCUCGUCUCCCCGCGAAGCCACCGUUCCCUUGCCGAUCGCUGUUGUUGACCCGCGAUACCCCUGCUCGACUCCAUACGUCGCUCUGCCGGCCAACGCUGCUCCGCGCCCCCGAAGUCGCGACGCCGCCUCUGCCGGCCCCGCCUCUGUCCAGAUCUUCCGUGCCGGAACGCGACCCCGAGUCAUCGCGCGUCCGCGCGUCGCCACUGCUGCAAUCCGACACCAGAAGCCGCCUCUCCCGCGCCUGAGCGACCUGCAGCACCCAACGUCCCCCUCUCCUCUGCUGCUCGUGCCGCGUAACCAACAGGGUUACCCCUCGCCCGCGAGCUCGCACCGCCGCCCCGCCGUGCCGAUCCGCGACGAUCUGACGCCUCCGCGUUGCUGCUUCUGGCCACGUCUCCGCCAGCCACUGCCGUGCACCAUCGCCGACCUGCAGCUUCUACCCGAGCCCUCUGCCGCCAGCCUCCGCCUUCGAUCGACGCAGUUGCAGCCCAACGCCAGAAGCAGCAGCUCCCUGCUCCGUCGUACCUCAGUCACUGUUCUGCCUCGCCGUUCCCGUUCCACCCCAGCCGCGACGCAGCCUCUGCCGGACCGACGCCUGCUGCCCUGCCUCCUGCACCAGCGCCGACGCCCGAGCUCUAUCGCCGGGACUGCCGUCGCACCUCCCCGCCGCCGGUCUCCUCGCACACCGUGCCAGCGCUAGCCCGCCGAGCCGGUCCGCCUGCACGCCGGCUGCCGCCCUUCGCCGGAGCUCCGACCGCCGGCAGCUCCACCGCCCUUGGCCGCGCACCACCACAGCUGCCGAGCCUUGUUUGGAAAAAAAAGAAAAAAUCAAAUUAGGUAGGUUUAUUUUAUUUUAUUAGGUUGAUUUAUUUUAUCUUAUUUUAUUUUUUGAAAUAUUUCUCCAUGCAUAAUUAAAAUUCCCGGCAUACCACCUAAUUCGUAUAAAGUUUUAGAUGGGAUAAUUGAUUGAUAUCUUGAUGUUUAAGGUUUAAGAUCAAUUUAUUAAUUUUAUUAGCAAAAUAAUCAGGUUUAAUUAGAUAUCGUUUUUAAAUUCGAAUGAUGGAUAAUAUCUUUGAUGCCAUGGAUGAUUCGUUGUUUAUUUUUUUUAAUUGCUUUGUUUAUUGCAAAAAAAUACAAAAAAAAAAAUUUGUAUUUUGCAUAUCAUGUGGAUUAGAAUUGUUUUCUUAGAUAGAAUUGCAUGGUAGAAUAGUUAGAUUCUUUUCUAGUUAUAUUAAAAUGCUUGUAGUAUCUAGGUUAGAUAAUAUUUUUUGGAUUAAAUUACAUGACGAGAUAAUUUUCUAAGUUAAGAUAGGAUUCAAAUUGGUCUAUUCUUAACUUAAAAUAGAUAAUAUCUCACUUUAGUUAGAUUUUAUAUUUUAGUACUUUUAAUUACGAAUUUUUAUUUAAAAAAAUGCCAAAAAAAAAUCAUACGCAUAUCAUAUAGAAUUAGGUUCAUGAAAUGCACAUCAUUUAGUGUUUGUUGCUAGGUUCAUUUAAUUAGAAAUUAACCAUCAUUAGAAUUAAAUCAUUUGGUUAAUUUAGAUUGCACAUUUAAUUAUUGCAUUUUUUUAAUUUCGAAUUCAUGAGAAAAAUCCAAAAAAAUUGUCUUUGAAUAAAUUAAUUUCAUUUUCUAGGAUAGAUUGCAUGCUCAUUAAGCAAACACAAAAUAUUUCACGUCAUAUAGUUUAGGUCAUGUUUCCAUGUUAUAUCAUUUAAUGUUAGAUUAGUGGCAUGUAUUGCAUAAAUAAUUCUCAUUAAAUAAGUAAGAACAAAAAAAAAUUAAUUGCGUGUUAAUUAGAAAUCAUAUGUAGAACUGUCGAUGUGAAUUCUAAUCUAACCUUGCAAAUGCUUUUGAUGCCAUGAGAUAAGUCCUGAAAUUUAUUCAUUGCUUUAUCUGGGUAUUAAAUUAAUGGUUUGCACACUCGCAUGAUCAUUGAGAUAAAUUAAAAUCAAUUCAAGCUACUUGCCAAAUAUUUUUUCAAAAUAAAAGAAAAAUGUACCGAAAUUGCAUUAAAGAAAUCUAACGUAAUCAAGUCUCCGAACUCAUAAUCUCUAGUUUACAGAAGUAAAGUAAAUCUCCUAUUACUUUACUUGGAAUUCUAAUUGACUCAUCGAAAAUAGAUUAGUGACAACUCCUAAUUAAAAUUUGCAUAUUAAGAACUUGAACUUAAGUAGCGAAUUAGUAUGGGCUAGGGAGAGCCCGAGCUAUGUUUAGGCUUAGUAAUCUAUUAGCCAAAUCCUAGGUAGUGCAUCUGAAAUUUUGGUCGCGACAAAUGUCGUCAAUCAACUAUGAGAUGCCGAUGUCAAUGGAGAAGUUACUGAUAUUAAUGGUUGUCAAUGCCGAUAUUCCAGAAUUGAUACCGAUGAUUUUGUUUGGUGAAUUGAUACCGUUGACUGUUCGAUGCUCGAGUUAAUUAGAUUCUUUAUUGUAGCAUUGUUUUUGAGAAGUCUGUUCGUAUUUUUAUUUCAUGACUGUUCAUGUUUCUAAGUGUAAUCAAUGUUUUGUAAGUUCUUAGGAUUUUAUCACCUCAGAACAUUAGCUAUAUUUAUUAGUCAUUAGUUUAAGAGUUAUGUGUGAAGCAUAUAAAAGUGGAGGCCUGUAAUUGUUUUCAAUAAGGUGAAGAAAAGGUGAAAUAAACAAGAAGGAUAUAUGUCUCCUUCUCUUCUCUGUGUUGUGUUAGUGGGUGUUUCAGCUUUAAAUUAUCCCAUCAAGAUGUAGUCUGUAUUUGUCUUUUACAAAAACUCGAAAUUUUCUAGUUUUGAUGCCAUAUGAAAUUAUGAAGGAGCACUAUUAGCUAUUAUAGAAGUUUAGAUAAUUAGAUGGAUGCAUUAUUCAAGACUUAAUUGAUAUAACGUCUCUUUCACGACCUAUGUUCCUUUUCAACAGCUAGAUUACUUGCACAGCUUGGGAUCAAUGGAAGGAGAGCUAUCUAUAGAAGUGGAGGAUGGUGGAAUGAACAACUUGAUCGAAAUCUGGAGAGGUCGACGGGAGAUAAUGAAGAAUGCAUUGGCGGCUUCCGCGGGGGGACAAGAUCCGGCAAAAGCUUACGAAUAUGCUCGAAAACUGGCGCGUGUCAUCGAAGGCGGCAAGGUUGACGAGUUCCUUUCCAAGAUCAAUGUAAAUGAUCCAUUGUUGCGGGACAUCGAUUGGUCUGCCGUUUUAAAUUCCCGAUCUGAAGGCAACGAAUCACUGCUCCACAUGGCAGCAGCAAUCGAGAACGACGACAUCCUAAGGCUUCUGGUUGAUUAUGUUGGUGACCACCUCAUAACCGCCCAAGAUGAUCGGGGAAAUACCCCACUCCACUGGGUCGCUCGGUAUGGGGGAUCUACUGGAGCUGCAGAGAUGUUGAUUCACCGGGCAAGAGGCCUCCCCAACGUCGAGGACAAGAACCUCCUAUUGAGGAUGAAGAACAAAUGGGGAAACACCGCUUUGCACAUAGCCGUGCACGAAGGUCACGCCAACUUGGUGCGCUAUUUGUUGAGCGAAGAUUUGGAGCCCGUGUACUGGAAGAACGCGAAUGAGAAAUCUCCCCUGUACCUAGCCCUCGAGACUUACGACUCCGCUGUACAUGAGGCUUUAUUUUCACACUCGUUGGAACCAUCAAGGAUAGAAGGCUUGCCGCCCAUUCAUGGUGCCAUUAUACGUUCACGACACGGUACGUACCUAAAUCUAUUUACGUGGAAAUAUAUUUAUCUAUUUCUGGACUGACUCAUCCCAAAUCUGUGCAAUAACUUUUUGCUCUUACAAAAACCCCUUACCGGUUUUUACUUAAAAUUCCCUACCCUGCUUGUUAAAGUGGUUGGAUACCCAUCGGUUUAGCCGCAUUAUAAACGAAUUAUUCACAUUAGAGCAUAAUAGAUCGGCUUAAAUAUUACAAAUACAACCAUUUCACUAGAAACUCAUGUGUUGUCGAUCUUUGAUUAGAAAAGCUAUAAAGUGCAAAUAUUUAAGAUUGAUGACCAUGAAAAUCUGGAAUCUAACAAUGACGCUGUGUGCCAUGAACCAAAAUGAACAAAUGAAAGUUUAGGGCAUGAAUUAUAAACUGGUAGCAAACCUGUAGGCUGCGCAGGCGUGAUUUUUUCAUUGGAAAAAAAGGAGGUGAAGAUUCCAUCACUCUCAGCAAAUUGAUGGAACAUCGUAAACCAUUAAUUUGUUUGUGACAAACAAUCAAUAGGUUUUUAAGAAAUUAAGAAAAGUGGAUCUAAAUAAAGAAAUAUAUUUUUUAUUUUUUAUUUUUAAAUUAAUACAGUUAUCAUAAUCUUUGCAGAAAAAGCUGAUACGGUAGUGUAGCCUAUAUUACCUUGACCAUUAAAAAUAUUGAGAUAAAAUUCAUCAGACACAUGAUAAUCAAUUAUGUGAAAUUUUUUGGCUGCUAAUGCCACGUAUCCCAAGUUUACUACUUGAAGUGCAGCUAACGUUCAUUGAUCAUCAGAUUGGUAGAUGGCAUUUAGGUGUUACAGUCAUAUCGAAUAGAGAGAAUUGUCCAAAAAGUUAUAAAUGUGUCAAUUGUGUCAAUUUAACCUCUAUUUUAGUCCUAAACUUUUUAAGGAUUUACCAACUUAGUCCCUUCUAAACAAUUUCUAUUGGAAAUCGCUAACAUGGCGGUCUAGUCAAAGCUAGCCAUCCUACGUGAUGUUGAUCGCUUAUGUGGCUUUUUUACAAAAUAUUUUUUAAUUUUUUGCAUUUUUUCCUUUUCUUUUUUUUUAAUCCUUUUUUCCCUCUACCAGCCUCAGGCGAGGGCUACCCUCUAACCCUUGCAUAGAGCAACCCUUGCCCUUGCUCGACCUCCAUUAGGUGUCAACUAUGGAUGGUUAGAGAAGAGAAAAAGGAAAAAAAAAAAGAAAUUAGAAAAAGAAAAGGAUAAAGGUGGGCCCGGCGGAUCCUAGGUCACCAAAAAAAUAAAAGACAAAGGAAAUGAAAGGAAAAAGGAAAAAAAUUGCAAAAAUUAUCCGCAUUAGCAUUGGCUAUGCCAUGUAGGAUAUUCAGUACUACUAGACCACUAUGCCUAUGAUUUUCAACAAAAUUGGCUAGAAUGACUAAAAUGACAUAUCGUUAAAAUGUUUAUGAUUGAAUUGGCAAGUUAUUAAAAUUGUUAUGACUAAAUUGACACAACUGAAAGAUUUAAGACUAAAUUAAUCAUUAUACAAUAUAUUCAAAACUUUUUGGACAAUUUUCCCUAUCAAGUAUAAUUACAACCCUAGAUGCAGUAACUUUAUUUUUAUCCUGUCCCAAUUUAUUAAUCCGAGCACAUGUUAUUAUUUACAUUGCACGACGUAACAUGUUUGAGGCUCUCUUUUUGAACUGAACAUGCAAAACAAUUUCAAAUAGACAUAAAGUGAAAAUGCGUAACAAUGUAUUGUGUGAUGCAAAUAUUAAAUUAGCAUACCCAAUAAACGUAUGUGUCUAAACUUACGUUGCACUCAUUGAAUAGAUUAUAGAAGUCGACCUGCACACAUAACGUUCAUAAUCCAUUUAUAAAUGGCUUAACUUAUUUGUGAUAACACAAUUAAACCUAAUGCUACCAUAUUUAACCACGUUCCAUGUAGUGAACAUGCAUGUAGAAGGGCUGUUUCAUAGUUUGUCAGCUCAUAAUUCUAAUAAGCACUUUAGAAACUUUACAAAAGAUCCCAUUGAAAUUGGAUUUACUAUAUAUUUCUUAUUCUUACUGUCCAAUAUAUAAAAAUCCUUUUAUGAAGUACUACUGAUUGAAAUCUCGUAAUAAUAGUUCAGUUUGUUCUUCAUUGAAUGUAAAAGUAGAUGACAUUGUGGAAUGAAUCGAGCGUUGACAUGGGCUUUUGUAGAUAGGUACUUUAAUUAGGUUAUCAUGAUAGGCACUUUUUUUAAGGUUCAUAUCAAUUAAAUAAGGUAAGGUUAUUUCUUUAAAUCUAGUAAUAUUCUUUCACUUGGGAAAAUUAUCCAAAAAGUCCUAAGUCUAUUGCACUUUUGCCAAUUCAAUCACAAAUCAUUCAAUUUUGUCAAUUCAAUACUAAACAUUUUCACUUUUUGCCGAUUGAGUGUAUCCGGCUAAUUUUGACUAGAAUUUAUUGACAGGGAUAAUUUUUAAUAAUAAUUUAAUUCCUUUUGAAAUUUUUUGUACUUUUUUUCUUUUAUCUUUCUUUCUUCCCCCCUUUCUUCUUCCUUUCAUCGGUGGCUAGCUACCAACCACCGGUGAUGGCUAGCUACCGGCCAUGGCUGGGUGAGUUGACCUUGCUCGCCGUAAGUGAUGCCUAGCCAGGCAAGGCCAGGCCCUAGCAAGGGUUGGCCUCACCUAGGUUAGGCAAGACAGCCUCCUAGGUUAGGCAAGACCAACCCUUGCCCAAACUAGGCGAGAUCGCCUAGGCGAGGGUGAGCCCCCUUGUUCGGCCACAUCUUACCCGAGGCAUGUGAGGCUAGCUGGCUCGGCCAUAGUCGGUGGCUGGCACAAAAGGAAGAAGAAAGGAAAAAAGAAAAUGAAAAAAUAUUUUUAAAAAUUGUUUACAUUAGUGCCGACCAUCUUACAAGAAACCGCUAGUGUCCACGUCAGCGAAUUCCUAUCAAAAUUGGUUGGAUUGACUCAAUUAAUAAGAAGUAAACAUGUUUACGACUGAAUUGGCAUAAGUGCAAUAGAUUUAGAAUUUUUUGGACAAUUUUCACUCUUUCACUAAUGUAUCUAGAAUGUAACCGGUUACCCAUAUUGAAAUUUGUGGCCUGAAUUGCUUCGUCAAUUUCAAGAAUGACGGCAUCUGUCAUGCGAAUAGAAUAAAGGUGAAAUUCUUAAUUCAUGUUAUAUAUUAAUGUAAAAUAUAGGGGGCUCGACGACAAUUAGAAAAUUCCUAAUUAUCGUUGUUAGAUGACUCAUGAAAUUUGUAUAUGUACUUAACAAUAUUAUUAGAGUAUAUUUUAUAGGAAGUAUUAUAGAAAUGUAAGAACUUUCAAUAAUUGCUCAUUUGCAGUUUUUGAAACUCAUUAGAACUAAUUUCAAUAAAACUAAUGCCUCUUUUGUUGAACAAAAGUCAUGGUAUAAGAGGCAAACAUAAAUCCUAAUUUGAAGCAAAAUAAAAGGAAAGUGGAAGAAAAACACUCUUUGUGAGGAAAAUAAUCAAUCCCUUACAAAUUAGAGCCCUAUAAAUCACUUUUAGAGACAAUUCUUAAAGAAAAAAUCAUUAUUUAUUUAUGUAGAUGUUACAACGGUCUAGAUUAAUUUGCAAAGUUCACUGAACUUUUAUUAGUAUUAUGGAUGUAAUUUUUCUGGUGGUAAAAUGAGACUCCUUUUGUUUUGUGUUGUGUCAUCACAGCUUAAAUAUGUGGUCGUUAUAGCUAGGAUAUAUAUGACUCCAUGCAAUGCACAUAUAAGAUAGAACAUAUAAUGUGAUUUUUUGAGUAAAAAUAUUUUCCCAGAAUCACUAAAAUUUCACAAAAUAUAUUUGGUCCAUUCACAAGAUAUAAUGGGAUUGAGUAGCACAAUCCCCAAGGAUGAGGUUAUCUCUAAAGCACUCUCGCCUGUCUUUGAAGUCCAAUGGCCACCCACAAUCCUCAAACACCGUUGGAAUAUUCUCAAACAAUUGAAACACCUCUCUCGCAUUAUUGAACCUCUUUACUAGCACCUCUGAAUUUUCAUAGUUGGGGCCAAAAUAAAUUUUCUUUUGGUGGAGCCUUUCCUUUCUGUAAUUUGUGAUUUAUAAGCUCUACUAUCUUAGAAAUAGAUUCUGGUCACAAAUUACUUAGAUUUUACUCACAAGUUUUGGUAAAUACAUAAUCUCUUAAUUGAGCUGAAUAAGUGCCAUAUACCUUUACGAAGAAGAUGACGUUCAAUCUAGAGAGGGUGGAACAACUUUAAGGGGGAUUUCGAUACGGUGCUGUGGAGGCUAUUGCAAUGUUCUCGACAAUUAAAUAAGUUUGCUUGAUACUUGCUAGAAUUCGACGGACAUAAUAUGAAAAGAUCAUUUUCCUUUUCUUGAUCUUGCCUUAGCCUGCAUUACGCCUGCCGACUGUAUAAAUAAUUCAUGGCGUGGAAAUGCCAUAUAAAUUGCUAUGUCAUUUAGUAAGAUUUUUACAGUGAAAUCUUAAGCACCUGUCGAUGUCAUUAACUAGUUUUGGUAUUGCAAUCUAAUCUGUUAUUGUCGACUAUCAAUACUAGUAGUGAUUAAGGCACGUCAAAGAUGUCCUUACUCCAAAAUGGUUUUAAAUAUAUUGAGACCAACCAAGCUCCAACCAUCCUAAUUUGGAGCUCCUGAUCCCAGAUUUAUUCGACCUGAUGCUCAAGAAAAACAUGGAGCUAUUUGCAAUGACCGACUCCAACGGGGGCAAUGUAUUCCACUUAGCAGCUCACCUGAAUCACGCCUGGGUAUUCGAAUUCUUACGACCAGAAACUGAAUAUUUGACCCGAGAACCGGACAUGAAUGGAGAUCUCCCCAUUCAUAUUGCAAGCAAGAUGGGUUAUGUUGAACAUAUUGAGAAGCUAAGGGAAGUAUCACUUUUGCCAAAUGGGCAAGGGAAAAACAUUCUUCAUAUUGCCGCAAAAUAUGGUAGAGUCUCCGUAGUGAGAUAUAUACUCAGCCAUCCAAUUCUAGGGAAGAAUCCAAUUCUAGGGAAGAUGUUAAAUGCAGCAGAUGAUGAUGGAAAUACAGCUUUGCACUUGGCUGCGAUGCAUUCACAGCCCGCUGCUUUGAUUGAUCUUUUGCGGACUGACGGAAUUCUACCAAGCAUUUUCAACAAUGAAUGCUUGCUUGCUGUUGACAUUGCUCGACGACGACACCAGGCAGAGGGGUAUAACAUUCGGCAUGUAGGUAACAUGAACAGUCACUAUUUUAUUUAUUAACUUACUGGAGAUUACGUAGACUAAUGCAUUAGUUAAGGCUGAUCUUGUAUUCAAAUCAUUAUGUCUCCUAGCCAACUAGAUAGUAGAAGUAUUGAUCAAAUUUCUAGAAUAGCCGAGACUCCUCUCGGAUAAAUGUUCUACAAGUCCCUAAUUUAGUCUUGAUAGGAGGUAAUUAAAAUUUGUGAUCAUGAAUUUCUCUGCAGUUAGAAACAAGUAACGUGUCUUUCAUAACACGGAGAUAACAAUUUAUAUAUAUCGUUUAAUUGAGCCUCUGAAUACAGUCAUGAAUAAAAAGGCAGGGUUUGCCAAGGUUGCAUUCUGUUUUUCAUAAAAGGCCAGGGGUCAAUGUGACAAAUUUGACCGCUCCAUAUGUAGCACAAUCUCAUAACAUUAUCAUUUUGUCGACCUAUGAAAUGAUCGCCCACAUAAAUUCCAUUCAUGCCUCUUUUUUCAUCUAAAAUGAACUUGGUAGUUUUGUGCUAAUUCUUCAAAAAGAGCAGAAACUGCAUCUUUAGAAGCAAACGUUUCCAGAGUUCAUUCCCGUUAUCAAUAUGGAAUAAUUUUGUUCUUAUUUUCCUUUUUACAUGCUUCCGAUCUCAGCAAUUGGCAUACCUGGCGUUGGCUUGCUCGCUCGCGGGAAAAGGUCCACUUGGAAACCAAGAGUUACUCCUACUUAGAGCGAAAGCUCGAGAUGAAGAGUUAUCAGUAGUCCGCUCGCGCAAAAGCAUGCCGAGCAGGGACAUCGUCAAGGAUUACAUCAAUUCCCGCAUGGUGGUGGCAACGCUUGUGGCCACAGUGAGUUUUGCAGCUGGUUUUGCAGUUCCUGGAGGAUUUAACGGCUCGGACACAGCCUCCAAAGAUGAGCGGGGCAUGGCUACGAUGCUGGACAAUCGAAUGUUCCAGGCUUUCGCGAUUUGCAACACCAUCGCGAUGUUCUGCUCAAUGACUGUGGUCGUCAACCUCAUCUGGGCGCAGACAGUUGAUGUCGACGUUUUAGUCGCUGCAUUCGAGCGCACAACGCUACCACUACAAAUUGCACUCCCGGCGAUGUCCACCGCUUUCUUAACUGGUGUCACCUUGACCGCUGGCAAACUCCCAUGGCUUGCUAACACCAUAUUUUAUUUGGGACUCGUUUUCCUCCUCAUUAUCUCAUUUGCUAAAUUGUUAGGGGGGCCUAUCUUCUUAGAAAUCUUCGGUCAUCCUCUCCGUCGACUAACAUUCUGGCUUAUUCUCGCUUACAUUUAUUUGGGGAGAGUUGAGACGUACAUUUAUGAUGACGAUGACGCCAAAGAUAACAGAAGGGAGAAGAAGACCUUCGCUAGUCCGCCUGUGGAUGUUGCCGGUGAAUCGAGGACCGAUGACUCGGCGAAAGCAAAAUGUGAGGAUGCGUUACAUCCUCCAAGUCGCUGAUUUGAAUUGAUCAUUCCAUAUUAUCUGUAAUAUGUAGUAAUAAUAUAUGUUUUCCUUGGUGAGUGGGACUCACUAUACGGUUGCUUUCCUUUAUGUCAGAUCAAACGUGAUUGUUAAUGAAUGUAAGCUAAACCAUGUGUUUCUCUAAUAACUUAACUUAUUAGAAUUGUUGGAUAUAAUUCCAUCAAAUUUCAUAUGUUAUUAAAGCAGAGGUUCUAAGUUCAAACAUUUUCAGGUCCUAUUUGCUUCAUCUAUUAUAUGUUUUCAUGUUUCAUUCUUAGAUCAAGUCAAGCUUACGAGUGAAGAUGAGUAUAAAAGUAUUUGUAUUAAAGUAUUUGAAUUAAACAUCCCAUUUGUCUAAUAAUUUAAAUUUUUAGAACGAGUAAUUGUAGUUCCCCGAAAUUUCAAACCGAUACACACUUCAUGUAAAUUAAAUGGAUGAAUGGCUCAUUUCAUCCGUUUCAUCGCCCUGGAAUCAAAUUGUUAACUUUGAACAUGUGGAAGCUCGUGGGUUUAUGAAAUCACUCGUCUAGAGUAGCCAUGUCCGAUUUACUUUGAACUAGUCCAAUUUGCGGCAAUCUCGAGUCACGAAAUCCUAAGCACUCACUUACCUGUCUAGUAAGGGUGUGCAAAAUAUCCGAAAACCGCUCGGACUGCUCGGAACCAAACCGAAAUCGCCAAGUACCGGUGGUUCUUGAGGGAACCGGUCCAGUUCCUGGUUCCAAUUUAUGGGAACCGGUGGGUACCAGUCCAGUUCUUGGUUCCAUUGGCGGAUCCGCCCGCCCACCCACCCGGACCAGAUCGGAACCUUUUUAAUAUUUAAAAAAAAAAUUACUAAAAGAAACCCUAGAUCUCAUCUCACUCCCUUCAUCUUCGGCUCCUAAUCCUAUUGUCAUUUCGCUGCGUUUACUUCUCUCGCUGUUCGCAUCUCCACGUACUUAAAUUUGAUUUUUCUUUCUUUGGCUUGCUUUGAUGUCACGUAGUCCUUCUAUGUUGAAAAUCAAAAUUGUUUCGCGUCAAGAUCAGUUCCAUGGAUCCACUCGGGAAUCGGACCGCUCCGGUCAGGUUCCUGGAUGGAUCCAUGCAACAAACGAGUGGAUCCUGGUAUCAAUUUUUGGGAACCGGUUCUUAGCGAGUGGUUCCCAGUUCUAGAUCAGGAACCGCCCACCCAAACCAUGCACACCCCUACUGUCUGGUGUGCAAAGAAAAUAAUUCUCAAAUUCUCAUCGCCUACUCUCUGAGUCGAGAGUUGGGUGAAGAAAACCGGAACAAAAUAAUUCUCUUCACUACUCACAAAAAAAUAGAAUCAAACACCGAACUCAUUUCCAAUGACACCCCUUUCAUUUCCCCACUUCUCCCUCCUAGGCGCACAAUUUCUGUGCAUGCAAAUGAGUUUUGGUGUUUGAUUCGUGGCGGGGUAUAAUCUAGUGAGCAGCGGGCAGAAGUCAAGUCAAGGGACGAGAUAAAAAGGAGUUGCAAUACGCAACCCAAGGAGAAUUGUGGAAAAGUCUGGAUAUGUGAUUUUCCUCCUCCGAUCUCUGAUUUUUAUUUCAAAGCUAGUUGGUAUUGACACGUAGAAUAUAACUCUAAAGUGAUUCUGGACCUAUCUAUUCAACAGUGAAUGUAGAUAAUUACAAAAAAUAAAAAGGAUCCCCUUGUACGAAUGUCUAUUGAGUUAUAAACUAUUAAAAUUAGCCGAUUUAAUUUUAAACAUCUUGACGAUUUGUUAAUAUAGUCAUUUCAAUCAACUUUGACCGAAAAUCGUUGACGUAGACGCUAGCCAUCCUAUGGCACAUGACUAGUAUUGAGGUGGACAAUUUUUGUAAUUUAAAAAAAAAAAUUCUCAAUUUUUUUUUUUUUUUUCAUGUUUUCAUUUUCUUCAUUUUCUUUUCUUAUAUUUUCCUUUUUUCUUUUUCUUAUUCCCCUAUGCAGCCAUUGGCCGGUCCAUGGCUUCAAUGAUUGAUAGUAAGGGCCCAGAUGCCCUCGCCAACUGGCAAGGGCUGAUGGAUUUGCUAGGGCCACGUACUAAUGGAGGGAUAAAGGAAGGAAAAAAAAAGUUUUGAAAAAAUUGUAAAAAUUAUUCACAUUAGCAUCGGCACCUAGAUCUGGGCGAGGCCAAUCUCGUCAUGGCUUGGCCUAGAUCUGGGUGAAGCCGCCUCGCACACAGUCCUUAGGCCUCGCUCAUGGCCGACGAGACUUGUCAAAGAAGCAAAAGAAUAAAGAAGAGAAAAAAAUAAAAGGAAAAAUAAAAAUAUAUAUAUAUCAAAAAAAUUAUUAAAAAUUGCCACGUUAGCGUUGACCAAAUGGCCAGUGUCCACAUCAGCGCUAGCCAAUCAAAAUUGAUCGAAUAGAUUGAAUUGACAUAAUCACGAAAAGUUUAGAACUAAAUUGGCACAAUUAUAAUGGAUUUAUAACUUUUUUUUGGUAAUUCUACCAAUUUAUUUGUUAUCUCCAUCUUUAGAUUGCGACAUGUGUCCAUCCAAUUUUAGUCCUCACUGCACCUCAUCUAAAUACCAUCAAACCUUAGCAGCGAGGAUGGUACUUGGAGAUCUAUGCAAAUAUUUAUAUAUAAAAAUUACAUUGAGAUAGUAGAGUGUGCUCACCAUCAUCAUAUCAUCAUCCAUCAAGUCGAUUCCACAUAAUGAUCUAUUUGUCACUUUCAACAUCCUGGGACCGACCCAAAAAAACAUCCUAGGGAUUAAAUGUUUCAAUUAAUUACGGUAGGAUAGAAGUAUUUUUCAUCAAGAACGGACAUUCAAGAAGUCUUGCUAGAUUGAUAGAUUGAUGUUGCAAAUGGUUCUCUUCUCAAGUAGCAUGAAAAAUUAUGCUACUCAAAUGUAGAGCCUCCUUUUUUCUAUUUUUUCAGCAGAUCUUCCAAAUCAAAUUACAGGGUUACAACUUUGAAAACUCACAGUACAAGUACAAAAAAUACCAAAUCAAUCAUCUAUUGACUUCUCGAUGCUCAUUAAAUCUGAUUCACAAAAUAGGUUGGGACCCAUUUUGCUAGCCCUACUAAAAUCUAAACAUUUUAUUAAAUUAAGGAUUUAUACAGCAUCCUAGUUCACAAAGAUGUGUUGCUGUUGACAAAUCGACAUUGAUUGAUUUUCAUGAACUCGUCGUCAUAUUGUCGACAUUCCCAUUAUAUACGAGCAAAGAGCGAACUUUGAUUUUUGAGCAUCAAGAGAUAAGACAGACUUAAAUAGAAUGCCAAAUAGCCCAAGUGUCACGUCCAAACCCCAAACACUUUUUUUUUUAACCCCAAACACAUUCAACUAUUGUUUUUUUUUUUUUUUUCCUUAUAACUUUCUUCAAAUAAUAUAAGAAUGUACUUUAUGGUUAAUGAUCAUAUAUAUCGCGGUUUAUGAAAGACUGUGCCACAUCGAUAGUUUUAGAUGUUAGUCCAAAUUCGAAAUACCAGGCUGAUGUUCGAGAUUUUAUUGGCCAUUCGGCAUUUCAUUUAUUACUCAUGAAGUCUAUCAUUGCAUGAAAUUUACUGAAAAUUAGAGAAUCUCACAAUACCAACAAAACAUCAAGUUUAUUCAACUUUUUUACCCUUGAUACACUCCACAUGUAGCCCAAUUUACAAAAUUCCACAAAAACCACUGCUUAGCAAAGACGAACAACAGCACCCAUCGGCCCAACAUGCUUUGCUCCAAGCAUAGAGUGACUCGAACUCGUCUUGUCUCCUUUUCAGUUUACCACAACCAGACAUAUUUAAUACAGUACCGUGAACAAGACAAGAUAGCGAUGAGAUCGGCUCAAUAGGCAUCAGGGUUUGCCAAGAGAUAAGCCUCGAUGGCCUUGAACAUCGCGGACGCCUUCUCUUUCCCAGCCUUGAUCUUCUCCUCAGUUAUGUCCGCCUCGCCAAUGGUGAAGUACUUGCUCGUGCUCUUGCACACCGAGCCUCCCUCGGCCGAUGUGGUGAUCUUCACCCCGUAGCUGAUCUUCUCGAAGGUGGUGCCCAGUGCGUCGCCCUCGAUGAUCGAGUAGCUGUAGGUGAAGUUCUCCUUGUCCAGGGCCUCGACCUUGUGCUUCAUUGUCUUGUACUGACUGCCUAUCAAGGUAACAAAAAGUAAUAUUCACGUUUGGAACUCGCUGGUUUCAACAUCACGGGCAAUGAUCUUGAUGGUGUCAAUUGGGCCAUUUAGGAUGUUCCAACUGCAAUCUGAUACGAUUGACUUAGACAUGGCCUGAUUUCCCUCGAUUGGAGUCAAGUCACGUGAUCACUUGUGUAAAGUUAUUCCCAUUGACCGCGAGAUAUCCAAGAGCAAAGUCGCUGCAUAUAUCUUGCAGCAUUUCUCCGAUGAAGCUGUUGUUCGAAAAGGUAACGAUCCCCAGAGAAGGGCUGUACUUGCCGAAAUCACGUGUUAUGCCUCCCGAGAAAUUGUUCUUGAACAAUGAGAUGGACCAUAAGUUAGCAAGGCGAGAGAUGGUCUCACAAGAAAAUAUUGUGUACACAAGCGAUGCUACGUCAUGGCUUUUCCUUCCCAGCCUAGAUCUGCUCUUCUUCAACCUGAAGUGCCUUCUUGCUGUUGUCCUUGCUCGUCAUCCUGCAGACUGACCCUCCGUCGCUGGUGGCCUCAAACUUGACCUCGUAAUCGAUCGACUGGAGCUUGUCACCCAGCGUGUCGCCCUCGAUCAUCAUGUUCCUACACAUGAAGUUCUACUUGUCGAGCUCAUCGAUCUGGUGCUCACAUGAAGUUCUACUCGUUGAGCUCAUCGAUCUGGUGCUUCACAUACUUGAAAUGACUAGCUGCAAUUACAUUAUGAAACUCCCUGCUCGAUGAGUGUUGAGUGUCCAUGCCUUCGGUGAAAUUUAACUUGCUCAAUGCUCCCGGCUCCACCGUCGCCUUGCACCAGCUCCACGCUCUUUAUGAACUGAGGCAGGAGCUUCGGGAUCAGGGUAUUUGACUCGACAAUCAAGGCCUUAAGAAUGCGAGCCAGAGCAAUCGGGCAUGUGAGCUCUUGUGUGAAGCUGGUUGCACCCAUGGCUAUUGGCAAUGAGAAAGAAAUAACCCCAGAGAAGAGUGCUUCUGAGUCCUGUCAAUGCCUCCUAAUUACGGUUGGAAUUAUGUCAAUAGGUAGGGUUGGUUUGGCAAGAGUCACGCUCGAGGAAAAAAGGAGAGUCAAGGAUUUGCAGCCUAAAGGAAUGGAAAAGAGGAAUAAAGGUGGUCUCUUUUGUUCUUUUGGUCAUGAAAAUGAUUUCGGUCCCUUUCGGAUUCAUGUUGAAAUGUCAAAGUUUAUGUUCCAAAAGAUGAACAUUCUAGUGCUCACAUGGGCGGCCAUCCCUUUGAAAUGAUUGUUGUGGAGUUCGAUCUAACAAUUUGCCGAUUAAAUAUUAUAACGAAAAUGUCCUUGUUUGAAGAAAAGUGUAUUAAUCAAAUUCUGUCUCAUUUAAUAUGUAGCAAACGAGAAUACUUUAUUAGUUGGUGAUAUCACGUUAACUUGUCGCGCAAUAUAAACAUCACAUAAUAUAUUUCUUCAUUUGUAAUGCCCUAAUGUCACGGUGGAUCUAAUUCAAAUGUAUGAAGUAAGGCCUUUUGAAAUCAUUUUCGUAACUUAGGGUUGAUUCAAACUUCACUAGCACCGACAGUUUGACUCAGUCAAAAUUGGGUCGGCAAUCGGGGUGUCCCAAGAUCAGCUCGUCGUCUAAGUUUUGGGGGAGGUGGAGGCUGCGGCUUUUCCGUUAUAUUUUGCUUCUCUUUCUCUUUUUUAUCAUUAUCAGUGUUGAAGCAUUUGAUCUCUAAUCCAAUGUCCCCAUCAAAGAUGUCCCCAUCAAAGAGGUAAGAUAGGAUUAGCUUAAAUAGAAUUUCAAAUAGCCCAAGCGUUACAAUAAGAUAAGUCCAAAACCUGAACACUUUAACUUUAUUUUUCGAUAGCGUUCUUGACAUAUAAUAAGAAUGUGCUUUUCUUUAAUGAUCAUAUGCAUAACAAUCUCUGAAAGAUUCUACCACAUCCAUAGUUUUAAGUGUUAAUCCAAAUUCAAAACAUAAGUUUGGAUUUAUUCAUUUGUUACUCAUGAAUUCUAUUCUUUUAUGAAAUUUAUUGAAAAUUAGAGAAUCUCAUGAUACCAACAAAAUAUCAAGCUUAUUCAACUUUUAUUCCCUUGAUACGCUAUUUAUGUAGCACAAUUUACAAAAUUCCACAAAAACCACUUCACCAGAUUCCUGCCACACCUUUCAUUCUCUUAUUCUCAGCAAAUACAAGAACAGCUACGCUCACCAGCCCCCACAAACUUUACUCCAAACACAAGAGUGACCCAAACUCUUCUUCUCUCCUUGUGAAUUUAGCACAACCAGACAUAUUUCACACAGUACAGUGAACAAUCCAAGAUAGCGAUGAGAUCUACUCAACAGGCAUCAGGGUUUGCCAAGAGAUGAGCCUCGAUGGCCUUGAACAUCUCGGACGCCUUCUCUUUCCCGGCCUUGAUCUUCUCCUCAGUGAUCUCCACCUCGCCGAUGGUGAAGUACUUGCUCGUGUUCUUGCACACCGAGCCUCCCUCGGGCGAUGCGGUGAUCUUCACCUCGUUGCUGAUCUUCUCGAAGCUGGUGCCCAGCAUGUCGCCCUCGAUGAUCGAGUAGCAGUAGGUGAAGUUCUCCUUAUCCAGGGCCUCGACUUUUUGCUUCAUUGUCUUGUACUGACUGCCUAUCAAAGUAAGAAAAAAUAAUAUUCACGUUUAGAACUCGCCAGUUUCAACAUCACGAGCAACGAUCUCGAUGGUGUCGAUCGGGCCUUUUAGGUUGUUCCAACUGCAAUCUGAUACGAUUGACUUAGUAGACAUGGCCUGAUUUCCCUCGAUUGGAGUCAAGUCACGUGAUCACUUGUGUAAAUCAAUGGUUAGAAACAUCUUUAAUUGAUCAAGUUACAUAUCUAUCCUUUUUAAUGUUCAUUAUGAUGUUCCAUAAGGUUGAAACAGCCUUGAUCCAGAGCGAUCCUAACACGGACGGACUAACCUUCGCCGAAAGUGAUCAACUUGACGGUCCCGGGACCUCCGUCGCCCUCGAGGACUUCGACGCUCUUGAUAGCUUGCGGGAGCACCUUCAGGAUGAGGUUAUCGGCGUCGAGGACAGCGGCCUUGAACAUCUUGGCCGGAGGGAUUGGGGUCGUGAUCUCGCAGUCGUAACUGACGACACCCAUGAUUUGGAUCCGAAUGGAGUUGCCGAAAUAGAGAAGAGAGUGAUCAGGAAAGGCUGACUAGCAGUGAUGAAGUUGGUCUCUAGGACUUGGGAGUGAGGAGAAGAGGAUGAACCGAAGCUGACAUAUAUAGAGAGAUCGAGUGUGAAGGGUUCUGGUCAUUGGAUAUUUCCUUCAAGUGUGUUUGUUUGGUACAAAAUAAAAAAUUCAAUAACUAUUUGUAUCAUAUGGUAUAUUUAUUUGAUGAUAAAUUUUUGCAUUAUUGACAGUAAUUUAUAUUUAAAUAUUUUCGUGGAAGAUGAAAAUAUUUUUAUUUAUUCUUUUUGUAAGUUAUACGGAAAAAAUAUUUUUUUACAAAACAAAUGAAGCUUAAUAAAAAAAAUCUUAAUCAGUCUGUGGGUUGUUCACUCAUGACAUGGACCUUGAUCAUAAAAUAAAAUGUCUAUAUGAUAAUGGAAUAUUAGUCAGAGAAGGCACCAUCCUAGAAUGAUACCAAACGUUCUUCCAUUUCCCUUUCAUGUAUAGACUUGACUUUUGAUCCAGGAGCAUUUGCUCAGCAAAUUCUCUUGGCUGAGCUUCACUGAUUUCUUACAUAGUGUUACUAUCAUAGAAAAUAUCAAGCCCUUAGCUGCAUAUGGUCACGAUCCACCCAGAUCUCAUCCUACUUUGCUUCAAUCCGUUCGCAAAAGUAGCAAUCUUUAAGGUUGGUAGAGGCCUCGGGAAGAAUUAUCAUCGAUUUCAUACGUACAAAUAAUAUUCGCUUAAGCCUGUGCAGUAGAAAAACUCGAAAAAUUGAGGCACAAUUUUUCCUGCUGGGUGAUCUCGGUGCUUCAUGUUUCUGUUGAGCUUCCAUCUAAGAAAAAGUACAGAGUGAUCUCAAUGUUGCACUAAUCCAAUUUAGCAGAAAAAGAUGGGAAAGGUAGUUUGGUAAUUACAAGGCUUUGUUACUUUUAGUCAACAAAGGCUGCUCUGAAAAUCAAGAUGGACGUCUAUAGAUUUUGAAUUUUUCUACUUGCUUUCAUGUGUCUAGUCCUUUUAAAUAAUAUUAUUGCGAACCAUUUUCUGCUAAUUGUCUGGUGGAAGUGUGGUGGAUCAAGCGAGAUUGGCUCACGCGUCACUUGCUCAUUAAACAUUUUUUAAUUUUCCUUUUCAUCUAACGGUAUAGCAACGUAGAUUUUUAGAAACGCUUUCUUCGUAUCUAAUUUUCUUCUUUUGUCUAGUUCAUCUUGUGGUAGUCACGGACCAUGUGAACGUAUAGUAGAAUGUCCAUGGGCGUUAGAUCAGAUUAAUUAAUGAAUUUCGUCGCAUUGAGACAAAAUUGAUUAAACUUGUCAAUCAUCUCACUGCGACGGAAGAGUCGGAAACUAUUAAUGGAUAACAACAGCAUAUGUUUUCAGAGGAAAGUAUUGGAGAGGGGCAUGGAUGCAUUGCUGAAGUUAUUUAAUGAGCAUGUCAUAUGUACUAAAUUAAUCUAAAUAGCUAAAUUUGAUGGAAUUCAUAUGAAACCUAAAUGAAACUCAUUGAAAUUAAAAGUCCAAAUUUUGCUUUAUAUAAAUACGACGCUAGUUCAUUCUCGAGUCUUUAUCAAAAUUGCGUUGUAUGUCAUUGAAUGUGAACCUCCCUUCCCUAUGAUCAACUCAGAUUUCUCGUACUUCAUCGACUUCCUUGUUUCGCUGUUGAAGCACCAGAAUCACAGCAAUUGAAGUCACCAGAAGGAGCUCACAUCAAUAAGGACCUUUUCCCUAUGGUCGGUCGAUUUACUGUUCAUCCCACAAGGAGAUAACCCCGUCACGUUUUCACACAAGCCCGGAUUUGCGAUAAAAGCGCUUUUCGGUGCUUGUUGGAAGAGGCGACCACUAGGAACUGCACCUGUCAGCUCAUUGUACGAUUAGUCUACGGAGCUUAAACAAGUUAUGUGUCCAUUUCUUUCAAUGUUCAGUAUAAUGUUCCAUAAGGUUAAAACCACCUUGAUCGAGAGCGAUCCUAAGUUCCUAAUAUGGAUGGACUAACCUUUGCCGAAAGUGAUCAACUUGAUGGUCCCGGGACCUCCAUCGCCCUCAAGGACUUCAACGCUCUUGAUGGCUUGUGGGAGCACCUUGGGGGUGAGGUUAUCGGCGUUGAGGACAGCGGCCUUGAACAUCUUGGCCGGAGGGAUCUGGACGUGAUGCAGAGUCGUAAGUGAUGACACCCAUGAUUGGAUCCGAACUGAGCUGCUGAAACUGAGAAGGGGGUGAUGAUCAGGAAAGACUGAGUAGCAGUGAUGAAGUUGGUCUCUAGGACUUGGGAAUGAAGAGAACAGGCUGAACCGAAACUGAUAUAUAAAGAGAGAGAGACUAAGUGUGAACGGCUUUGAUCAGUGAAUAUUUUGCGAAACAAACAAAGCUUAAGAAAUAAAAAAUUAUUCCGUGGAUUAUUCAGAUUAUGACAUGCCCCUUUUUCCUAAUAUAAAAAUGUCUAUAUGAUAAUAGAACAAACCGUUGGAUGAGAAUAUUGGGGAGAACUGGGCAACAAUUUACUAAUAACGAAACAUAAUUUAGCAUCAAUUUCUCCUCUAAAACUAAACCAAUCGAAAUCAACUCAACCCCAACGACCACCAGCAAUUUGUAAUACCAAAAUGACAAUAAGACAGAGCCAACAACGACACUAAGGUUUUAACAUGGAAACCAAUACGGAAAAAAUCACAUACCCUCCUCACUAACAGUAAUAGGAUACACAAAACAUUAUUUUCUAAUCACACAUUAGAGACUCGACAUCAAUAAUAUAAUCAUAUUUUCUCAUUCCAAAGAUAGAUUAACAUAAACGGAGCAAGAAAACCCUAAUUGGUUGGAGAAUCUGGAGGGGGUUAUUAUCGAAUGAAAUCAAUCAAUUCGUAGUCCUUGGUUUUACGAAACAACAUUCAAAUUUGAGCAAAUUCCGUCGGCAUCUUGCGUUCGAAUCGGGACCGAAAAGAUUGUGCCCUUUCUUUAGGAACGCAGAGAAAGAAGAGCCCAGGACACAGACAACAAUUACCCACUCACUAAGUCCCGAAAAGCAUAGACGAGCGAAAUGCUUCACGAAUUAACCUAAGAGCAACAGAAACACGCCGAGAUAGAAAAGAAGCCGACGCCCCAAAUUGCAAACUUCUUCGACCCCCCCCCCCCCCCCCCCCAAAAAAAAAAUUUCCAAAAUGAAACCUGAAAAGUGGUGAUUAAGCCCGGAGGCGGGAGGGGGGGGGAAGGGAGCCCCUUGAUGUCCAAAUGGGCGUCCCCGGUGGCGAGGAGCCCCGAGGGGGGGGGGGGGGUGGAAACCUAGGGUUAGGACGGGUUUGGCCUCAUGCCAAUUGAUCUGGACCGUGCCUCCCUUCAUAUCUUCGCCGGCCGCUCCGCCGCUUCCUUCCUUCCUUCCUUCCCUCUCUCUUUGAAAUCGAAGCCUUCUUCCUUCAUUUCUCAUGGAACGAAAUCGAUCAAUUCGUGGAAUUCGUGAUAUUCGUGCGCUCUCCCCAUUCUGCGGAGAGAUUCCCGACAAAUCGACCAGUGCUGAGGUUCAUAAAGACCAGAUCCGGGUAAACUCCGAACGCACUCGUGAGAUCUGCAGUGAACAGAUCACCUUCUAGACGGACUCUCGUUAGCCCCGGACAAUCCCUCAAGCAAUCGGGCAGCAGCCCGGUGAAGUUGUUCCCAUAAACCGCGAGAUACCGAAGAGCGAAGCCGCCGCACAAAUCCGGCGGCAGUUCUCCGGUGAAGCUGUUGUUGGAAAAGCUAACAUAGCCCAGACGAUAUGGAUUCGCAGAAAUCACACGGUAUGCCACCCGAGAAAUCGUUCGUGAACAAAAGAGAUGAACUGUAGGUUUGUCGAUCGUCGUUUCAGUACGGCGAGUGUAGAGCCAAAAAAAAGGGGAAGAAAGAUGACACAAUUGGCUAUGACAUUGAGUGACAGUUUAUUGCUGGCCUCCCCCACGUAAGUAUGUCACGAGGCCCACCCUUCAUGGCUCAAGUUCAUGAAAACAAACUAAUAAAAAAAAGACCCAAAACGUCUGCACUACCAUCCUCGCGGAAAUCCAACCAAAAAAAGGAAAAGAUUAAAAAGGCAACCAUCCCAUACAAAAGCAUUCGCCACACGCUACUAAAAAUUAACCACACAGAGACUCACUAGUCUCAGGGUUCGCCUGGAGGCAAGCCUCGAUGGCCCCGAACACAGUGAAUGCCUUCUCUCUCACGGCCUUUAUCUUCUCCUCGGUGAUGUUUAUGUUGCCCCUGGCGAAGUAUUUGCUGGCGUUUUUGCACACGGAGCCUCCCUCCGGUGAUGCGGUGAUCUUCACCUCGUAGCUGGUGUUCUCCAAGGUGUUGGCCAGCAUGUCGCUCUCGAUGAUCGAGUUGAAGUAGGAGAAAUUCCCAUUGUCCAGGACCUCAACCUUGUGCUUCACUGUCUUGUUGCAAUGACCUAUAAAAGACGCAAAACGUGGCAAAUCACAUCUGAGAAGCCACCGGUUUCAAAAAUCGCGAGCACUGCUUUGCAACAUGAUUGACUCACGACAUCACGGUGUCAAUGGUCAGGAACAUUUGAAUUAACCAAGUAAACUUACUAACCUUCGCUGGAAGUGGUCUCCUCGAUGAGCUCGGCACUCUCGAGGACUGGCAAGAGGACCCCGGAGAUGAGGUUUUCAGCCCUGACCAAGACCUCGAACACCUUGGCCGGGGGGAUGGAGGGCUUGAUCUCGGUCUUGUAGCUGAAGUGUCCCAUGAUUCUCUGCUCGAAAAGAAUUUGCUGAAAGCUGAGAGGGAAGUCUUGAUCUAGGAUUUCGAAGCUAAGACCCCAUGUGUAUAUAUAUAUGCGCGGGAGAGAAAACUUUGCGGACCUGCUUUGGGUCCAUUUCAGAGGAAAACCAAGCAAUCGCGUGCUUUGGGUUGAAAUUCUUCUACCUACAUGAUCGAGUCACUGUCGAGUCUCGACUUUUGGAAUGUGUAAGAAAAAGCAAAACAAUGGUUGAAAUUCUUCUACGCACACGAUCGACUCACUGCGAAGUACUCGACUUUUGGAAUGUAUGGGAAAAAGCAAAACGAUACAGAGGCUAGAGUUUUUUUUUUUUUUUUUUUUGGUCUGUUCCAUAGGAAAACCAAGCAUUCGCGUACUUUUGGUUGAAAUUCUUCUACGCACAAGAUUGGAACGUGUGGGAAAAAGCAAAACAAUGGUUGAAGUUCUUCUACGCACAAGUAACUGUCAAGUACUUAACUUUUGGAAUGUGCGGGAAAAAGCAAAAAGAUAGAGGCUAGAGUUUUUUUUUUUUUUGGGUCCGCUUCAGAGGAAAACCAAGCAUUCACGUACUUUUGGUUGAAAUUCUUCUACGCACACGAUUGCAAUGUGUGGGAAAAAGCAAAACAAUGAUUGAAAUUCUUCUAAGCACAAGUAAUUGUCAAGUACUCAACGUUUGGAAUGUGUGGGAAAUACCAAAAUGAUACAGAGGCUAGAGUUUUUUUUUUUUUUUGGUCGGUCAUAUUUUAAUUCUUAAAUUUUUACUUUGCUUCAUUGUAGAGCGUGAAAGUCGAAACCCACACUUGAAACUAAAUCGUCAUCUGAAAAUGUGGGAAUUUGAACCCCCACAUUCCCUUUCUAUAUUGAAAAUGUGGUCACAAAGACAAAUCCUAGUGUUUACAGGCUAGAGUUGGAAAUAUGUUAUUAAACACAUUCCUUUUAUAGUCUCCCUUCAAAAAUCCCGUAAAAUAAAUAUGCAUGGUCUAAAAUACUCUUAUCUUGUAAUUUGAAAGUCAAAACUCAACAAAAAUCAAAUCAAAUCGAGUACUCAACUUUUGGAAGAAACAAAGUAGGUUACGUCUAGUACUGAAAGGGAAGUCUCGAUCUAGGAUUUAAAAGAUAAGACGCAUAUGUAUAUAUAUGUUUUCGGGUCCUUCUAAGGGGAAUACCAAUUAUCGUUGUUGAGUAGCUCUGCGGGGUCCUUUUGAGGCCAAGAUUGGGUCGGCUUUUCUCUUAAAAAGGCAGAGAACAUGCCAUCCCAAGUCAUAGCGCACUCAUUACGACUGGAUUUCCAACCCAUCACUCCACUUCUGGAUGGAGGGAAUCAAGACUUUUGGAAGAAUGUGUGCACUCGACUUUUGGAUGGAAGAAAUGAAGAAUUUUGGAAGAAUGUGUGAUGGGGAGCGUGUGCAAUUGCCCACACGUGAUGGGAACGUGAGGCAUGGAACUUGUUGCCAAACAAGUCAAUCAAAGAUGCACCAAUUUGAGAACAAGUAAUAAAAGAUAAAAGAAAAUCAAAAUCACAUGAGACGCAAAACUUACGUGAAAAACUCAAAACGAGAAAAAUCAUAGGAAGAGAGAAGAGUCUCAUUAUUUUCAAUAAAGAGCACGAGAAUAUAAUCCAAAAAACUCUAAAACCACUUGAUGAGCCACGAGAUUUGAACAUCUAGCAAGAAGAUAGGAAAAAACAAAACAGGAAACUAUACAGACGCUAGAGUUGGAGAUGUGUUAUAAACACGUUCCUUUUAUAGUCUCCCUUUAAAAAUCCCUUGAAAUAAAAAUGUAUGGUCUAAAAUAUUCUUAUAUCUUAAUUUGAAAGUCAAAACUCAACAGAAAUCAAGUCGAAUCGAGGACUCAACUUUUGGAAGAAACAAAGUAGGUUACGUCUAGUUCAACUUUCUCAAGUAGCUUGGGGGAAAUGUAAAGUAAUGUAAGCCUAAAGGGUUUUGGCAAAAUGUAAAGAUUGUUUGAUAAAAUAUGUUUUGAGAAGUAGCUUUGACAUAAAUGUUGGUUGAUAUAAAAUAUAUUUAAAAAAACUCAUUUGGAUGAUUAAUUUAAACUGUUUUAAUUAAUUAGGGGUUGGAUUUUUUUUAUUUUUUUUAUUUUUUGGUCUGAGGGGUUGGAUACUUUGGGUACUAUUGUGUGGUGUUCUCGAGUGCCCGAGAGUACCUGUAAGUUUUUGUCCAUAGUUAAAGUCUAGAGAGAGAAAUAGAGAGUGCAUCUGCCUUUUAAGGCUUCUGAUGAUUGGAGAUUUUCUCUAAUCAAAUAAUUCAAUUUAAUAAUUUAAAUAGAGAGAGAGAGAGAGUUUGUGCAUAUCUUUAAUAGGCGUCAUAAUUAGAGAGAGAGCAGAGCAGCGCAGAGCAGAGCAGAGCAGAGAUUUUCUCUAAUUAAAUAAUUCAAUUUAAUAAUUUAAACAGAGAGAGAGUAUGUGCAUAUCUCUAAGAGGCAUGCCAUAAUGAGAGAGAGAGAGAGAGAGAGCAAUAUGGACUAAGCAUCCAAUCUCUUCUACUUCUACUAAUGAAGAAAUAAUUUGACCUCGUCACUUCACAACACAUUCCGGGCUGAAUAAUGGAGCUUUGGGGACAUGGUGGUGAAUAACAAGUGAUAUAGAAGAGAUGAUACGCUAUUAAAUUAUUGUCUCAAGUUUAAGUCCGUGUACAAGAUUCGACUUGAUUUGAAUAUGUAGAAAACCGAAUCUAUUAGGAAAAAAAAAUACCAAUAUCACAUUUGGUAUUUGAAUUAUAAUUUAUCUUGAAAAGAAUAUUCACGUUAUAUAUACUGAGACGAGUUUUUUGUGCAUUCCCCCAAAAGUCAAACCCCCACAGUAACCCCCUUUUUCUCUAACUCCCGCACCCUAUUUCCAUAUAUAUGGAUCUUCACUUCCAAAUCCGAUCGAGAUGCUGAUAAAUACUAAAUAGUGUUCGAAUGGGGGGGGGGGUGGGGGGUGGGGGGGUGGAGACAUUGCUUGCUGAUUCAUGUUGUGAAAUGCGUGCUCUCUUCUUCUUUUCGCUAAGAAGCUGACGAGUAACAACAGAGAAAGGAAUAUGUCCCCGUAUCGAUAAACUCUCGGUAGAUAGGAAGAUACAAUUAAGACGCAAUCAAAACGACAAGGAUGAAAGCGAGGUGAGAGAUAAAAUUAAGGCGAAAAGAUAAAACAGACAAAGGCGCGAAAUACUGCAGCAUCUUAGCGUAAAGAAGAAAGAAGAGAGAAGUUGGCACCCAAUUGAGGUAUGUUGUCCGUGAGGAGAUGAGUGUUUCAAGACUUGAGGUAAUUUUCCAUGAGAUUGAACACUGUGAGCUUGGGUGCAAUUUAGGGGUGAGAAACAUUCAAACAUUUAGUCGAUUGUAACUCUUUGAUUCUCCAAUUGUUAGUGGAUUAUUUUCUCUUCCCCAACUGACACUUAGACCGAAUUACGUAAAUCUUAUUAGUUUCCGCGUUAUAUCACAGCAACAACAACUGGUUUGAAAAGUGGCGUCAAAGUGUUUAUGCUAGAAAUCUUGGGGUGGAACAAAUUGUGCUAAAGUGAUUUGAAAAAAUUAUGCCAUGAUUUUUACAAGAUGUUUGACAAGUAUUUUUAAUUACAACAUUCAGAAUUUCUACCACCUCAACUGUUGUCUCACCCACUUUGAAGGAGUCGCAUGUAUUACUGAACACAAAUUAUAACACUUCAUGCCAAAAUAUAGUUACAGUUCAGUCACGAUUAUAAUUUUUCUUAAAGAGAUGGGAGAAUGUAAACAUAAACCAUGAUGGGAGACAGAAAGAUUGAGCCAACAUGCAACAUCAACUCAAUUGAAAGCAUCAGGGUUUUGCAAGAGAUGGGCGUCAAUGGCCAUGAACAUUCCCAUGGCCUUCUCUUUGCCGGCCUUGAUCUGCUUCUCCGUGAUCUCGGCCCCGUCCUUGGCAUAGUACUUGCUCGUGCUCUUGCACAUGCAUCCUUGGCUAGCUGCAAGGCACGGAAAACCACAAUCAACUCCUAAGCGUUGGUCUCAUUUAAACUGUCGGUGAAUGUCUUGAGACCCAUGUUGAUGCGGUGCGAUUAAAAUGUGCGAAGUGGGUGAAAUUGAAAGAUGCGCGAGGACUAGCCUUCAUAGAAAGCGACAUACUUGAUGAUUGAAAUGCCCUCUAAAUGAUUCUCAAUCGCCUGUUUAGUAAUCUAAAUCGCCAUCACAAUAGAUAAAUCAUAUAAUAGAGAAAGAGUACUAAAGACAUGGAUCUCAAGCCCAAAUGAUACUUAUUAGCAAGCGAGUGAUCGUUUGAAUUUUGAUGCUCUUGAGGGUGGGAAGUCACUAAAUUAUUAACUUUUUUCCAACACCGGUUGGGUUCCAUGGGAUUGUUUCCACUAUAGAGAUAAAAAGUUAGCAUGCAAGUUGUCGCGACCUAUCCCUCGGGGGGAGGGAAUAGGUUUAGAGAUAUUGCCUAAAAGAUGGACUUAAGGCUCAAGAUUGGGUGAGAGCUCUCCCAAACCUAUACUUCGCGUGACAUUAGAGUGUUUUUAAGAAUUUUUCAAUGAGUCACCACCACUAGCCUAUUGGGGUUAGCUAAAAACCAAGUAAGGCAUGUGAGUAGAUCUCGCUUCCUACACAACUAGAGAAUCUAGGGUCGAUAACUUGAUUACAUUAAUUAAUCAAUUAAUGCUCUUUCGAUACCUAAUCUUAUUUAUUUUAAAAGAAAAUAUUUUUGUCAAGUAGUGGAUUAAUUUUAUACUUAUCCACUAACAUGUGAAGUGAUCAUGCAAAUACACAAUCAUUAAAGUAACGGUCAAUAACCAAGAAAGUAUUAAAUAAAUUACAAGGAAAAGCAAUAAUCUAACAUAAAUAAUAAUAAUAAUAAUAAUAAUAAUAAUAAUAAUAAUAAUAAUAAUAAUAAUAAUAAUAAGAAAAAUUGACAUUCCUAACUAGGUUAAAGGGAAAUCACAAUCAAUAUAUUGAAAGUGCACCAUCAUUUGAUAAUUUGUCUCAAGAAGGGAAAUAUUAGAACCCUAUUGCAAGGCCUUAAGAGUUUGUUCAAUUUUGAGCCCUAUUUUGGUCGAUGAUUUUCCCACACUUUAAGAGAAAACUGUUCAAAAACAAAUAAAAAAAUUCGAAAUUUUUUUAAAUAUAUAUUUUUUUGCAAUUUUUUUAUUCCGAAAUAGCAACUCGGGCCGGGCCCUCGGCCCGAUUCAAAAGUGGGUCGGGUAAAGAUUCAUGGGUUUGGGCAAUGAACACUAAAAGCCAAAUUGAAGAAGUGGGUUCAAUGACUUAAAUGCAUUCGAAAAAGGGCCAAGAUCAAGCCCAAAUUUAUCAAAGGAAAACACUUAAUCCCCUUUACACUAAGAUCACUUUAAAACAACUUCCAGCACAUCCUAAAUAAGCCCAGCUCCGAAAUUAGCCCACUUACUUGACCUAUCCACAAACUCCUUCUUAGGCACCAAAAUAACCCCUGAACAGCAGCUUCUCUUUCUGCGACUCCUCCUUCCCGAAGUCAUUUUUACCUUUUCAUAGUUUACUUUUUUUUUUUUUGCUUGUUUUCUUUUUUAUUCUUUAUCCUUUUUUUUUUUUUUUACUUCAUCCCUUCCCCUUCCCUGCACCUAUCUUCUUCCUCGACGACUCCCUCCGAAAUGGGUUCCCUUGCCGAACCAUAACCAAAAUAAAACCACGUCCGACGAGCCCUCACCAAUGUUUGGGAUCGCCGCCAAACCACCAUCGGGCGUCGGUCGUUCAGUCCGACCGAUGCCGGCCACGGCCGUUGGCCGAGACACGGCUCGGCCCCCACCGAGGUUAGCCGAGGGACGAAACUCGGCCUGAACGACCGGGUACCAUUCAACAUAGCCCUGAUACCGACAUCCUCCAAUACCUAACGGUGCCAUCACCGGUCACCGUCCCUUUCCCGGCACCAUCCACGACCAACCCAUAGAAAGAACAAAGAAAAUAUAUGCAGACCUAGCCUAGACAUAAUGUCGAGCACCUGUGUGCGUCGACUGAAAAGCUAACGAAAACUCAACUGGGAGAUGAAUCAACAGUCAAGGCAGAAGCAACAACCAAGCAAAGUCUAAGACAACAAAAUCGCAGCUCACCGGGAUCGGAGACUCGUGCGGGCCAGAGAACCGCGAGCUCCGGUCUGGUGAACUAGAAAAAUCUGAAUAAAAGGAGGUGCUCGGGUGACGGGGCCCUACUCGGCUCGAUAACGGCGGCCUGCAAGCAGGUUCGAAAUGGCACGAACCGUGGCCGACCACCCUAGUGUCAUCAAGACGAGAUCAUCGGGUUAAAGGGGACUGAACUCGAAAGGAGACUUACCGGAAGAAUGGAUGCCGGGAGGCGAGGUCACGGGCGCGGCCGAGCUUCUUUCCCGCUCUCUCCUAUCAAUUUCUCGCUUUGCUCUCACUCACGAUGCUCUGUCCCUCCGACUUUCUCCUGGUUCGGUCUCUCUCCAGCUCUCUCCCCUUCAAGCUCUCUCCCUCUGUCUUGCGGUGCUUCUGUUCUCUCCUCCCCCCCCCCCCCCCCCCCCCCCCAAAACCCAUUUUUUGCCCCUGCCUCCGGCUGUUCCCCCUGCUCCGCUCUGCUGUUCUGCUUUUCUUCUUUUUUACAGGCGCGCGAGGAAGGACUGCAGGAGGAGGACGACCAGCUGGCGGGCCGCGAGGAAGGCGGAGCUGGGCCUCCGUGGGGGAAAGAAAAGGAAGAGAUGGACCGCGCCCAGGCCCGCGCGGGGGAAGAAGAAAGAGAGGCGGGCCGGGCUAAGGUCGGAUCCGGCCCGACCCGGCCUCUCUUGUUCGUUUUUUAAUUAAUAAUUUGUUAAAUAAUAAUAAUUUUAAUUUUUUUAAAUUUUUUUAAAUUAAUUUUUUUUUACCAAUUCCUAACUUUUAAUGCUUUUAAGUCUUAAGUAAAAUUGGCAAAAUUUAGGUGUCAACACAAAUAAUAUAAAAGCACAGUAUAAAUUUGAUUCUCCUAAUCAAUGAGUAUAAAUGAGAAUAUGGGGGUGAAAAAAAUGUUACAAGAACUAAAACGUGGACUUUUCGAGAAGCUCCAAUAACAGAAAUGUCGCAUAUUCGGCAAGAUGCAAGUACGUCCAUCCAUCGAGAUGUAGUUUUUGGAGAAAUUCACAAACAGAUAUUGAAUGAAUAAAAACGUUUAGAAAAAUGUCAUAAAUAGCUUUUUUAGCUCAGUUAAAUAGAGCUUACUUUAGUAAGCGAUAGGUCUUGACUUUGAAUCUCAACGAGAUCCUUUGUACUAUGACUCGUAAUUUUUUUUUUUUUUCACAUCCAAUAUACUUCGUAACAAUUUUUUUGAUAAACAAAACUUCGACCGAGCCAAAAAAAUUAGUCACUUAAUAUAUGAUAGAGCCAACAUAUACAUACUAUAUGUGUGUGUGUGUGUGUGUGUUUUCUUAGUACAAAUGGUAAUACGAGCACCCAAUUAGUAGGGGGGAGGUUGAGUUCGACUCUCAACGAGACAAUUUGUCAUUCAAAAUUUUUCAUAACGAUUUUUUUUAUAAACAAAAAAUUCAAUUGAGCCAAAAAAUUUGUCACUUAAUAUAUCAUAAAGCCAACAUAUACAUGUAAUUCAUUUUUCUUGGUACAAAUGGGGAUACGAGCACCCAUUUAUUAAGCAGGAGGUUUUGAGUUUGACUCUCAAAUAAGUUUUCUUUUUUGUAAAUUCAAAAUUCUUCAUUACAAUUUUUUUAUUAAAAAAAAGAUCGACCGAACCAAAAAAAUUGUUAGUUAAUACAUCAUAGAGCCAACAUAUACAUACAAUAUAUUUUGUUUCAUUUUCUUGGUACAAAUGGGAUACAAGCACCCGUUUAGGGCGCGUUUGGUAACGCUUUUAUUCCCGGGAACAAUUUUUUAUCAUAACUGAUUCUUUUUUAUUCUGUUUCCGAAAGCAAUUUCUAAGCAUUUUAAGCCGUUUGAUAAUUGUUCAAAAUUUCAAUUCUCAAAAUAGAAUUGCGUUUGGUACAAUGUUUAAAAUUUUUAUUCCAAAUCAUUUUCUUUUAAUUUUUAAAUAAUUUUAUUACUUUUUCCCUUUUUUUCUUUUCUCUCUCAUAUUCUUCUUCUUCAAGUGGCCGGUCGCCGAGUCGAGGGCCGGCAAUCUCACUGGAGCGUUGCCAACCCUCGGUGAGGCCUGUCCUUGUCAGCCGAGCCUCGCCAGCAACUAGGCAAGGCUUGCCCAGCCUCGCCAGUGGCUAGGCAGGCCUUGACGGGGCUGGGCAAGCCCCACCGGUGGCUAGACGGGCCUCACCUGUGGCUGAGCAGGCCUCGCUAGGGUUGGACGAGGCUCCUCUCACUAGUGGUUGGGCUUGCCUCCGGCGAGCUCGCUAGACCUCACCCUGGCUUGGCGAGCCUCCAACAAGCUCGCCAAAUCGGUUGUCGGCGACCAGUGAUGGUGGGUGGCGGACGGCAACCGCAACGAUGGAUGAAGAAGAAGAAAAGGGAAGAAGAAGAAGAGAAAAUAUGGGCUUGAUUCUUGGAUUUGUUCUCUGAAACAAAAAACAACUUUUUAUUUAUUUUUUAUUCCGUUCCAAAACCACUUCCGGGAACAAAAAAAUAAAAAUUUGUUCCCAGGAACAAAAAUUUUACCAAACACGGUUCCGUUCCAAAACUACUCUCAAGAACAAAAGAAUAAAAUUUGGCACUGUUUGGCCGAUUACCAGACAGGCCCUUAGCAAGCCAAAGUUUUGAGUCCGACUCUUAACGAGAGCAUUUGUCUUGUGACUUAUAAUCUUUCUUUCUUCUACAUUCAAAUUUUUUCGCAACAACUUUCUUUGUAAACAUUCAAACUUCUGUCUUCUUGAUGCUGUUAAAAUCAGGGAUACGGAACUCUAGUGCGAAUGGAACUCACUGCGGUGAUGCUAACGAAUCCCACUGGAAUAUGCGGAGGACGGAAAAUCUUAGAGCUGGGGAAAAUGAAUGGGUUUGGGAUUAGAUCCGGCUUGGUUAUUGCCCCGGAGCUGACUCACCCAAGCCAUUAGAAAAGAGAACUCUAGAAAAAGAAUAAUGACCAAUGUUCUUUAUUGUUCAAGCAGAGACAUUUUCUAUCGGCUAAACCUUAUGCUUCUCACAUUCAAUGCUUGUGUUCCAUCUGAAGUUAUUUCUUACCACAUAAUUGUCGACAACCUAAUUUGACCAAUAAAUGCAGUACAUCUAUAUAGUAUCUGGAGAGGAGCUGUUUCUGCUAGCUAAGGAUUACAUCAAGUAUCUUUUUGGUGGAUGUCUUAGUGCUAGGUUAACCCGUGCGAUGCCCCAGUGAGGAAGAUUUUACAAGGAGCUAACAGAGAAGAAAGAGGUUGAUCAGUAUUGGUUAGUGUUGAAAAUUGAGAUCCAUUUUCUAAAACUAGCUAAUUUCUUCUAUUGUAAUCUAGAAGCUCCUAAGUAAAGGUUUUGGUAGUAGAAGUUGUGGUCUAAAAAUGUCCAAGUUAGAGAUGUUUGGAUGAAUGGCCGUGGACAGUUGUAAAGCAAAAAAAUCUCUGACAAAAGCAGAGAUCUUUCCUUGAAGAAUACUGUGGCUGACUUUAUGAGUAAAGCAAGAACUAGUUUGUGUAAGGUGGUGGAAACAUUAGAUAAACUCCACCCACGUGAACAUCCCAUCUUACAAUUAUGUAACGCCACAUUUCUAUCAACUAAAUAAACGAUAUUCUUGUCUCAUAAAUCUUUUUCUAUUUUCCUCAAAGUAUUCAUCCUUGUCCAUUCCCCUACAUCAACUAUACCAUAAACAUAUACAUUUACACAUACAAACAAAAAGAUAUCAUUGAUAUCAAAGUCAUGCUUCGGCACAAUCUCACCAUUUCCAACGGUUAGAGAAGGCGAUAAUUAAUAUCCCGACCUAGUGGGACGGUCCUGAGAAGUAAAGGCGCAGGGACAGAAUAUAGACAAGAUUUGUCUUCCAGCUAUGAUGAUGGCCUCUGAACAAUUCAUCUUCGUCUUCCCCAGUCAUUUUAGAUGGAAUGGCGAUAUCAUUCCACGGUUCUAGUUUUGCAGUGAUCCAAAGCUUGAUCUUGCUAGACGAUGAGAAAGCUGUCUUGUGUAGUUGUUACACCAUCUGUCAUGGAAUUUUCGUGCAAAAUUUCACAAGAACAAGGUCAGAUGAAUGAAGGAUUGAAGUCUAUGUCAUUCUGUUUUGUUGCAGUAUGAAUGACUGAGUUCAAGUUGAUUCAAAGCGUUAGAGCAAUUGGGACUUGAUAGGCUGCUUCAUCGGGUGAGGACUUCUUCGUUCCAACUUUUUCUCUCCCUUUUGAUUCGUUUUCAUUUCUGCUAUUGAUUUUGUCAUUUUGAGCUUAGGUUGCUACCUAAUAGGCAGAAUUUUUGUAACAUUUGAUAUGAUAUGCAGAUACACAUUACUUGUGUAUAUCUCGAAAAUUCCCACUUUUAGACACUGCUUUUGGCUGGCUUCUAAAAAAUGCCCUUCUAUUAAUCUUCCGAGCGUUAAAAACUACAAAUAAAAACUAAAAAAGUCAGAUUGUGAGAGCAACUUCUGUUUGCUCUUUCUUUUGUUUUGCAUUGCAUAUUGGUCCUUCACCUAUUUUGUAUGCUGACAGCUAAUUAUAAACACCAAGUUGCUUCAAAGGUCAUAUUUGAAACGAGCAUAUACUGAAAUGUAGGGGCAAAAGAAAUUAUGCAGGUUCUCGAAACUCUGGUGGUUGACCGUGGGGACAUCACCCGACCCUGGUAUGUUGAGCUUUUUGAUGGCGAUGAUUUGGCCGCUGGCCAGUUCGGCCUUGUAAAUGCUCCCAAACCAGCCCUUUCCGAUGCAGUACUUUUCACUGCAGCCAUUGGUAGCCUUGGCGAUGUCAUUGAAUGUGAACUUUCCUUCCCUUCCCCAUAUGAUUGACUUGGAUUGCUCUUGCUUCACAAGACUCUUGAUCUCUUCUUUGAAUUCCUUGUUUCACCACCGAACUGCCAGAAUCAUAGCAAUUGAAGUCACUAGAAGUAGUAAACAGCAGACUCCCAGGGUCACACCAAAAAGAACCUUUUCCCUAGGUCGGUCAAUUUACCGCUCGUCCCACAAGGAGAUAAUCUGGUCGCGUUUCCACACAAACCUGGACUCGCGAUUAAAAAACUUCCCUGUGCUUGUUGGGAGAGGCGACCACUACGAACCGCACUGAUUGGCUCGUUGUACGAUAAGUCUAUUGAGCUUCAACUCCUCAUGCUGGUGAGAGGAGCUGGGAUCGUACCCGACAAUUUGUUACGCAAAAGAUUGAGAUUUUCCAAUUCAACAAGCUUUGCUAAAUUGGAAGGAAUUGAUCCUGCUAGAGAUAUGUGGCUCAGGUCCAGGAGAUUCUGUAACGUGAACAAGUUCCCCAGCUCUGGCAAUAUGACAUCCAACAGAUUGUUGUUGUUCAAGUUCAAGCUCAGUAAAUUCUUGCAAUUCGUUAGCUCUUCUGGUAUGCUACCGCUCAAUGCCUUCUCCCCGACAAAUCAAGAUAUUCUAGCUUCGAUAAGUUUCUUAACGAGAUGGGAAUGUCUCUGGCCAAAUGGUUGUAGCUCAAGUUCAGCCUAAUCAAUGCCCCCAGAGUUACCAAAUCAUAGGGAAUUUUCCUAGUCAAUUCAUUGCCAUAUGGAGUCAGAUCGCACAAUUGAGACAAUUUCCCAAGCUCCGGCGAGAUGCGGCUGGGGAUUUUGUUACCAUCUAUUUGCAAAUUCGUGACAUUCGUGCACUCUCCCCAUUCUGCAGAGAGAUUCCUGACAAAUAGAUUGUUGCUAAGGGCCUGAGGCUUAUAAAGUCCAGAUUCAGAUAAACCCCAAACACACUCAUGACAUCUGCAGUGAACCGAUUGCUGUCCAGACGGACUCUCGUUAGCCCUGGACAAUUCCUAAGCAGUCGGGCAGCGGCUCGGUGAAGUUAUUGUUAAAGCUCAUAAAACAACAAUCAAAACAGAAAACAUAUAUGUUGUUUGAGGGAGAGAAAGGAUAAAAAAACAGAGCAUAACACUUCAUACGUUUUGUGCAAAAGAAAAAACUGUCAAGUACCACAACUAAAUACAAAGCAAAAACUGCUCACAUACGUGCUAUUAACUUCCUAGAAAAUAGCAAAAACACUAAAUGCAUAACUAAAUGAACUUGGCUAUUAAAAAAAUAACAAAGGAAAAUAGAGGAAAAAACACGACCGAAAACAGCAGCACUGAGACAAUUCCAACAAACUCCUCCUUGGAUCACUUGUUGCUGCAAAUUCCUAUUUUCUCUCUUAACAGCUCAAAUUUUCCAGCCUGAAGUGGUUUUGUGAACGUAUUUGCAAGCUGAUCUUCAGAUCUGCAAUAGAUCAACUUAACUUCACCACUUUGUUACACCUCACGCAGAAAGAAAAAUUUGACUUUAAAAUGCUUGGUUUUGCCAUGGAAAACUGGAUUCUGUGAUAUUGCUAGAGCAACCUGAUUGUCCACAUUGACUUCGAUACAAUCACUGGAAUUCAACCACAAAUCCUUCAUUAUCUUCUUUAGCCACAAAGCUUGAUUUGCAGCUGUAGUAGCUGCUAUAAACUCAGCCUCUGCAGUAGACUGAGCUACAAUCUCUUGCUUUUUAGAACAUCAGGAGAAACAAGCAAAACCAAAACUGAAACAAUAUCCAGACGUACUCUUCAUGUCAUCUAUUGAACCGGCCCAGUCACUAUUAGAAAAUUCUUGCAAAUUAAACUUCUGACAUUUCUUAAACUUCACACCAAAGAACAAUGUUCAUUUGAGAUAUCUCAAGACCUUUUUUACUGCAAUCAAAUGUAACUGACUAGGACUAUUCAUAAACCUGGAUAAAAUACUUACAACAAAUAGAAUAUUUGGUCUGGUUGCUGUAAGAUACAUGAGACACCCAAUCAGACUUCUAUACAUAGAAGUAUCUACUGCAUCUGUUCCAUCAUUCUUGUGCAGCUUCUCUUUAGCAACCAUAGGAGUGCUUACACUUCAACAAUCUUCCAUCUGAAACUUCUUUAGAAUUUCCUUCAUCUAUUUUUUCUGACAGAUGAAGAUCUCAUUUGAAGCUUGUUUGACUUCCAAACCCAAAAAAUAAGUCAUUUUUUCCAAGUCCGAUAUCUCAAAAACUGCAAAUAGAUCUCGCUUCACCUUCUCUAUCAAUUCCAUAUCAUUCCCUAUCACUAAUAGAUUAUCUACAUAAAGUGACAGAAUUAUAACAUUGUGAUUCACCUUCUUGACAUAAAGAGUGAACUCACUUAAGCUUUUUACAAAGCCAAAAUCCUAUAAAUAUCGAUCUAUAUUCCCAUACCAAGCUCUUGGAGCCUGCUUCAGUCCAUAUAGAGGUUUCCUUAACCUAUAUACACUCUCUUCUUGCCCGUUGAUACUGAAGCCUUCAGGUUGUUCAACAAAAUCUCCUCCUCAAGCUCUCCAUUCAGGAAUGCAGACUUGACAUCUAACUGAAAUAUAGGCCACCCCUUCUCUGUUGCAAUAGCUAACAGUGACCUUAUUGUAUCAAGUCGUGCAAUAGGAGCAAAUGUUUCAGAAUAGUCUACUCCCCAUAUUUGUGCAUAGCCUUUUACCACCAGUCUAGCUUUGUGUUUAUUGACAGAACCAUCAGGAUUAAGUUUUAUUAUAAACACCCACUUAACCCCAAUCACAUUCUUAUCAGAUGGUCUAUCAACAAGCUCUCAUGUGUGGUUUUUCUGGAUCAUUGCAAUCUCCUCCUACAUUGCUGUAAUCCACCUCUAAUCCUCCUUAGCUUCCACAAAGUUAGAUGGUUCGAGCAUUGCCACAUUGCUUUUUUCAUAGAUUUCAGCAAGUGACCUUGUGCCUCUCAUGUGACACCCCGAACCCUUCGCAGGUCGUCACCAGCGCCGGUGUUACAUCUUUUACCAUCUCUAUCUCUUGGCUAAAUUAAGCCUUGCCAGAUUACAGGCAUUUUUUUUUCUUUUUCUUUUAAAGCGGUCCCAUGCGCGACUCAUAACGGAAGCAAAAUUCACAUCGUCAUCUAUCUCCCUUCUAACCCAUGAUACAAAUACACACCAGCUAAACAUCAUGAUUUUAUAAACGAACAUCGACACAUUAUUUACAUAUAUUUUCAAGAUGGGAUUACUCUCGGGUCGGUACAUAACAAGGAAAAGCUAGGACUCAGCCAUGUCCAGCCUAAAACCUCAAAAAGAAACCUCGACCCUUAACAUCAUGUGAACAAAGAACCCUCCCAUCGAAAGCGUCGGUUUUCUACAUCAAAAAGUGAUCUAGCUCCUACUCCUCGCGUACAGGUCUCACACCCAACCCGGUGUGUCAGGUGGUGGCGGCAGCAGCAUCCCUCGCAUCGCUCCAUCCCGUCGAACGUGCACAGAUAGGAACUCUUGUAUGAUAGGGCCCCCAGCCAGGCCGAUAUCAUACAUAACUAAGCAUCGCACUCGGAUAAACGUCAAUCCGGGCACAGAGGGACAAUCUAUCUCCGUACACUCCACCUCAACAUCAGACGGUAGACCGUAAAAUACCCCACGCAAAACAGCAGGUAGCGGCAUAGUGCUAAUCUGAAAUGUUAUCCCCAAAAGGGGUGAGUACAACCACUCAGCAGAUAGGGAAAUCUAAUGACAACUCAGUGCACCAUGCAUACCAUCAUACAAUGCAGGCAUUGCUUACCUUUUUUAUGUCAAGCGUAUUCAUGCAUCAUCAUAGCAUAUAUAUAUCAUCAUCAUGGCGUCUCAUAUAUCAUUAUCAUCACAUCAUCAUUAACCAUGCAUCACCAUGCAUAUCACAUCAUAUCAUCAUUAGCCAUGCAUCACCAUGCAUAUCACAUCAUCAUUAGCCAUGCAUGACCAUGCAUAUCACAUCAUAUCAUCAUUAGCCAUGCAUCACCAUGCAUAUCACAUCAUAUCAUCAUUAACCAUGCAUCACCAUGCAUAUCACAUCAUAUCAUCAUUAGCCAUGCAUCACCAUGCAUAUCACAUCAUCAUUAGCCAUGCAUCACCAUGCAUAUCACAUCAUAUCAUCAUUAACCAUGCAUCACCAUGCAUAUCAUAUCAUCAUUAGCCAUGCAUCACCAUGCAUAUCACAUCAUCAUUAGCCAUGCAUCACCAUGCAUAUCACAUCAUAGAUCAAUUUCCACUUUUAUUUAUCAAUUGAUCCCCACAUUAUCUUUUCUCAAAUCAUCAAAUUCACCAUCAUCACCAUCCCUUCGGGCAGAAACCUCCGACAGGGAUCCCAGUAACCCAGCCAUCUCAUGGCCACUGGGCUUCCGGCCCCCCACAUUCCGGGCAUCUCGCAUCUCAACUAGCAUCACGAGGCAUUCCCUUCGGACAGAAACCUCCGACAGGGCUUCCGGCCUUUACCCUUCUAACCGGGGAUCUCGCACCCUAAUCCUGGCAUCGCGAGUCACUCCCUUCGGGCAGAAACCUUCGACAGGGCUUCCGGCCCCCCACAUUCCGGGCAUCCUGAAACUCCCAGGGAAUCUCUGGAAUUAUGCCACUCGGCCACCAGAUAUCAUCCUCCGCCACAACCUCUUACUCACAUACCAUUUUCCACUUUUUAUCAUCCUUUUCAUCUUGUUAUUUCAUGGCAUAUGAUUUACAUACAUGCAUCACAAUUCAUGAUCAUUCAUACAUCAAUGCCAUAUAACAAUACAUCAUAAUUCAUGAUCAUACAUGUAUCAAUGUCAUGUAGCAAUGCAUCAUAAUUCCAUAGGACUCAUGGCCAAUAAAAUAAUCCACCUUUUAUUUUAUUAUUAUUUAUUAUUAUAUUAUUAUAUUAUUAUAUUAUUAUAUUAUUAUAUUAUUAUAUUAUUUAUUUUCAUAAAUAAAUAUUAUAUUUAAUAUUUAUGAUUUUCCAAAAAUCAUAAUCUUCAAUCAAUCAUUAAACAAACAAUUAGAAUCAAAUUUCACAUAAAAUCCAUGGCUAAUUUGCAUUUUACAUAAUUUCCCAAAUUUCCACAAAAUACACACAACAUUCGGAUCAUGGCCAGAUUGCACAGUUUUCGAAUUAAUUCAAUUAAAAUACUCAUAUGACCUCCGAAAAUUCCCAAAUUUUACAGGAUGAUAGCCAACACAUUUUCGUGCAUUUUUCAUGAAUAACUCUAAGCAAAAUUCUUUAUAUAUUAAUUUAUAUAACUCCACGAAGCUUCUGGAACCUCUACCGUUUCGUCCAGAACGUACAUCACCGAAAAACUUAGGUUCGACCCAUCAAAUCUCUUUCGUUUCUCCUGAAAUUCGAGUAUGUUAUAUAUCAAUGUGUCCUUUACAAGUUUCAUGAAGAGAUCUAGGUUAAAUAACCAAAGCAUGAUCCUCUUUUAAGUCCUUGAAGUCUCGGGUGUCUCGGUUCACUUCAACAGAACCAUCCGUCUCAAAGAUCUAGCUGGUUAACUAGGCUAUACUCAUUUUUUCUCCUAAAAUUUGAGUAUGUUAUAGUUUAUGAUGUUAUCUACAACAUUCAUGAAGACAACAAAGUGAGAUCUCCAACAGAAAUCAACAUGCAACCAAGAAAUCAACAAAAGGUCAGUAGGAAAUUCGCAGAUCUAAAGCCUCCGUGAAAUAGAACUUUUGACCCCUCAUAUCACCAUAGUUUUCCAUGAAAUUCGAGUAUGUCAUACCUCAAGAUGUUAUCUUCAACUUUCAUGAAGACACUGAAGCCAAAAUCACACUUCAAAUACACAUGCAAGCUCGAAUAAGAUACUGUCUACCACCAACCGAACGGAAACAGCCACAUAACAUGAACACAUUCAACCCUUACUUCGGUAUUUCGCCCAAAUCACCCCUAAACCCGAACAUGCAACCAUCAAAACAACAUGCAAGAGAAGUUAAGGACCCCCCACUUGCCUCCAAAAUGAACGAACAGCAAGCACAAGGCGGCGUAGGAUGGUCGGACAAGGUGGCGACGGCGAGACACGACGGCGGCAACUCUCGGCUCCACCUCCUCUCUCUCGGUCUCUCCCCUUUCUCGAACACUCUCUCUCUCUCUCUCUCUCACCUUUCUCGGCCAAAAUGAGCUAGAGGAACCGGCCACUCUCUUUCCUAAUCCCCUUUUUAUAUCCCCUCAAUUGCAAUGAUUAACUCACCUCAACCAUGGCCAAUGCAUGAGGGCUUGUCUUGCCACUUGUAAUUCUUGUUUUUAAAUUUGAAUUUCAAUGGGCUUGGGCUUAGGCCCAACCGGCCAUUUCUCCUUCUUGGGCUGGUCGAACUCCCCUCUUGGGCCCAAUGGGCCGACUAGCUUGGCCCACCAAGCUCUAGGCUAAUGGGUCCAAGGCCCAUUUCGAAAAUAACCCUAUUUUCUCUUCUUUUUUUUUUUGAAUUCCUAUUUAUAAAUAUUUCUAAAUUCAAAUUUCAUCUUGGCCAAAGUCUUGGGAUAUUUCAAUUAUUGAAAUUUAAAUCAUAUGGCCAAGCAUUUAAAUUUAAAUUUCCACAACACAAGCAAAAUUCAUCAAAUUAAAAGACAAAUUGGCUAAAGCAUAAGCCAUAAAAUUCUAUCACCUAAUUAAAGACAUUUAACACACCUUAAGGCUUGGCUUUGAAUUUCCGGGAUGCCACAUCUCACUAGUAAAUCAUCCAUACUGUCUUCUAAUCCAUCUAUAACUUCAUCAACCUCUACAUCUGUUGCAGGUUGUUUUUCGAACUGCUGUUGUUUUGCACUCUUUCCUUCCAUCCAAUUCCACUCAUCUUCCCCUAGAAAAAUAACAUCUCUACUCACAAUCACCUUCCUUGUCAUGGGAUGGAAAAUCCUAUAAGCCUUUGAUUGAAGAUUAUACCCAAUAAAGAUUCCAAGCUCUACUUUCUUAUUCAGCUUGUCCCUCUUGACCUCAGGAACAUGAGUGUAACACAAACACCCAAAAACCUUCAAAUUCUUCAUAGAAGGUCUAACACCAUGCCAGACUUCAAAAGGUGUUGACUUCUCUAAGGCCUUUGUGGGCAAUCUAUUCAAUAGAAACACUGCAGUAUUAGCUGCCUCAACCCAGAACUUCUUAGGUAACUUCUUCUCCUGCAUCAUACAUCUAGCCAUCUCCAUAAGGCUUAUGUUUUUCCUCUCACUCACCCCAUUCUGUUGAAGUGAAUAGGGAGCAGUGAACUGCUGUACAAUUCUUGCUUGCUCACAAUUCAACUUAAACUUGUGAGCUGUAUACUCAGAACCAUUAUCAGACCUGAGCAUUUUAAUUUUCUUCCCACUCUGAUUCUCAACUAAGGCUUUGAACUUCACAAACACAUCAGCAACUUCAGACUUGGCUCGCAGAAAAUAAAUCCAACUCAUCCUAGUCAUAUCAUCAGUGAAAGUAAUGAAAUACCUACUACCAUUGAGAGAAGACUCGGACAUAGGUCCACAUAAAUCUGUGUGGACUAAUUGUAGCUUCUCACAUGCUCUCCAGCCUCCUCCUUUGAAAGGAAAUUUGGCUUGCUUGCUAAGAAGACAAGUUAUGCACCGUGGAAAUUCCUCCUCCAAACUUGGCAAGUCAUCUGCCAAGUUAUUCCUCUGCAUAAACGACAUGCUCUUCUUGUGAACAUGCCCAAGUCUUUUAUGCCAUAGCUUUGCAUUUUCUUCUUUGCACUUUAAAGCCAUUUGUUGCAUCUCUUGUGGCUUGAACAUGAAACUCUUGUCCUUCAUUGGGAUUCUUAGCACUUCUUUGCUAUAUGCAUUAUUAAUAAGAUGUUCCUUCUCUUCGAACUUCACUUUAUAGCCCUUCUCAACUAAUUGACCAACACUUAACAAAUUCUAGUCAAUAUUUGGCACAAAAAGAACAUCACUGAUCAGCUUCACCUCCCGAUUUCCUUCAAUAACCACUGUACCCUUCCCUUACACUUCGAUAUACUGUCCAUUUCCAAUUCUAACUCUGGACCUGACUGACCUGUCUAGACUCCUAAACAACUUCGAAUUGCCAGUCAUAUGAUUGGUACAGCCACUAUCCACCAGCCAUGCAUCAUUCCCAACAGAAGAUCCAGGAAAUGAAGCUACAAACAAGUGCUCUUCCUCAAUUUCAUUCACUGCAACCUGUGCUUCUCCUGCUUGCUAGUAAUUUUUCUGUUUGUAGAUGGUUUCCAUGUGACCCAACUUGUGACAUCUUCUACACCUAGCAUCAGGCUUUCUCCAACAUCUAAAAAACUGAUGAUUAGUUCCACCACAAUAUUGACAAGGUUUUUUGUUCUUCUUCCAUUUGCUAGACUCACCAGAAUUUCCUUCUUUUGCUAUAAACUUGGAAUCACCAGCAUUUCCUCUCAACUGAAUCCAUUUCUUCCAUUUGCCUCCAUCAUUGGACUUCACUCUAGCUUGCAGUGCACCCUCUACAUGCUCUUCUCUUUUCAUCAGUCUUCUGUGCUCCUGUGCCUGCAGAGCAUUUAAUAAUUCUGCAAGCUUUAUAUCAGCUAAGUCUCUUGUAUUUUCCAAAGACGCUAUGGUGGCUUUGAACUUCUCUAGAAGAGACACCAGGAUCUUCUAAACAAGCCUUUCAUCCUUCAAGUUAGUUUCUAAAACUUUGAUUUUUUCAGCUAUCUCAACCAGCCUAUCAAAGUACUCCUUCACUGACUCUGAAUCCUUCAUCUAUUGUCUCUCAAACUCCCUCAAGAGAUUCAGCACCUUCAUGCCUCUUAUCUUCUCAUCUCCCUCGUAUUCAUCCUUCAAGAAGUUCCAUAUUGCCUUUGCAGAAUCACAUCUCAUGAUCCUUGUGAAGACAGUGGGUGAAACAGCAGCAUACAUGCAAGACUUUGCCUUAGCCUUCUUUGGGAUUCUCUCUUUAUGGUACUUUAUCUGAUUUAAGGUCGGAUUAACUGGAAGUGGAGCAACCUCAUAAUCAUUCUCCACAGCCUCCCAUAGAUUGUGACCCUCCAAGAAUGCUGUCAUCUUGACAGCCCAAGCUUGAUAAUUUUCCCCAGUAAAGACUGGAGCAACCAUUGUAGAGAAUCAACUCGAUCUUGCCUCCAUCAGCUUUUUCUUUGCAAAUUGGAAGCAAUCUUCACUCACUUACCCUCACUUCACAGUCCCUUAAGAUCCUACAAACGCUCUAAUACCAAUGUUAAAGCUCAUAAAACAACAAUCAAAACAGAAAACAUCUUUGUUGUUUGAGGGAGAUAAAGGAUAAAAAAAAAAAAAAAAACAAAGCAUAGCACUUCAUAUGUCUUGUGCAAAAGAAAAACUGUCAAGUACCACAACUAAAUACAAAGCAAAAACUGCUCACAUACGUGCAACACAUAACUGCACACAAACGUACUAUUAACUUCCUAAAAAAUAGCAAAAACACCAAAUGCAUAACUAAAUGAACUUGGCUGUUUUUUUUUUUUAAAAAAAAAAAAGAGGAAAACAGAGGAAAAAACACGACCGGAAACAGCAGCACUGAGACAAUUCCAAUAGUUAUUCCCAUCGACCGCGAGAUAUCAAAGAGCAAAGCCGUUGCAUAUAUCUGGCGGCAGCUCUCUGGUGAAGCUGUUGUUCGAAAAGCUAAUGUUGCCCAGAGAAUGGCUGUACUUGCCGAAAUCACGUGGUAUGCCUCCCGAGAAAUUGUUCAUGAACAAAGAGAUGGACUGUAAGUGAUACUACGUCAUGGCUUUUUCCUUCCCAACCCUGAUCUCCUCUUCUUCAACUUGAAGUGCCUCCUUGGUGGUAUACUUGCUCGUCAUCUUGCAAACCGACCUUCAUCACUGACAGCCUCUCAAACUUGAUCUCGUAAUCAAUCGACUCGAUUUUGUCGUCCAAUGUGUCACCUUCGAUUAUCGGCUACCUACACACGAAGUUCUCCUUGUCAAGCUCAUCGAUCCGGUGCUUCACAUUCUUGAAAUGACUAGCUGCAUUUGUGACCAAACAAGACUUACAUUAUGAAACUCCCGGCUUGAUGAGUGUUUGUUGAGUGUACGUACCUUCGGCGAUAUUAACUUGCUCAAUGCUCCCGGCUCCUCCGUCGCCUUGCACGAGCUCCACGCUCUUUAUGAACUGAGGCAGGAGCUUUGGGAUCAGGGAAUUCAACCCGACGAUCAAGGCCUUGAACAUGUGAGCUGGUGCAAUCGGGCAUGUGAGCUCUUGUGUGAUGCUGGUUGCACCCAUGGCUAUUGGCAAUGAGAAAGAAAUAACCCCAGAGAAGUUGGUGCUUCUGAGUCCUGCCAAUGCCUCCUAUUUAUGGUUAGAAUUAUGUGAAUAGGUAGGCUUGGUUUGGCAAGAGUCACGUAUGAGGAAAAUAAAAGAGUCAAGGAUUCGCGGCCUAAAGAAAUGUAAAAGAGGAAUUAAGUUGGUCUCUUUUGUUCUCUUGGUCAUGAAAAUGAUUUCGGUCCCUUUUCAGAUUCAAGUUGUUGAAAUAUCAAAGUAUAUGUUCCAAAAGAUGAACACAAGAGAGCGCAUUCUCAUGCUCACAUGGGCGGCCGUCACUUAGAAUUGAUUGUUGUGGAGUUUGAUAUGACGAUUCAGCGAUAUCGUAAUCAAAUGUCCUUGUUUAGACAAGCGAGUGUUCAUUGAAUUUCAUUCAAUAUGUAGCAAACAAUAACACUUAAUAAAUUAGUGAUAUCACAAUAAUAUGUCGCACAAUAUAAACAUCACAUAAAAUAUUUCUUCACACUCGAUGCCUUAAUGUUGUGGUAAAUCCAUUUCAAUUCAUCCAAUAAGGCCUUUCGUAAUCAUUUCCAUAAAAUUUAAAAGAAAAAGGUUAAGGUUGAUAAAGCUUCACUGACACCGGCGGUUUGACUGGGUCAAAAUAGGGUCGGCAACGGGGUGUCCCAAGAUCAGCUCAUCAUCUGAGUGGGAGGGGAUGUGGAGGCUGCUGCUUUUCCGUUAUAAUUUUCUUCUCUUUUUCUUUUCUUUUUUUCUUUUUCUAUUAUUGUUGAAUCGUUUGAUCUCUAAUCCAUUGUCCCCAUCAAGAAUCAAGAUAGGAUUAGCUUAAAUAGAAUUCAAAUAGCCGAAGUGUUGCAAUAAGAUAAGUCUAAACCCUAAACACAUUCAACAAUUUUUGUAUAGCUUUAUUGAUAUUUAAUAAAAAUGUACUUUUCCUUAAAAAUUUUACUUAUUGCGGGUUAUGAAAAAUUGUGCCACAUUGAUAUGUUUAGAUGAUCGAUCUGGGUCAAACGGGAUCGAUUGUCCAUAUUCGAAAUAUCAGGCCGCAGUUUACCAUGAAUUCAUUUGUCACUCAUGAAUUCUCUCCAUGUAGCGCAGUUUACCAAAUUCCAUAAAACCACUACACCAGAUUCCUGCCACACCUUUCAUUCUCUCAUUCUCAGCAAAGACGAGAACAACAACAAUCACCAGCCCAACAUGCUUUAACUUCAAACACCGAGUGACUCAAACGCUUCUUGUCGCCUAUUUAGUUUAGCCCAACCGGACAUAUUUAAUACGUUACAUGAACAAUAAAAGAUAGCGAUGAGAUCGGCGCAACAUGCAUCAGGGUUUGCCACGACAGAAGCCUCGAUGGCCUUAACCAUCGCGUCCGCCUUCUCUUUCCCGGCCUUGAUCUCCUCCUCGGUGAUAUUCACCUCGCCAAUGGUUAAGUACUUGCUUGUGCUCUUCAACAUCGAGCCUCCGUCGGGCGACGCGGUGAUCUUCACCUCGUAACUGAUCUUCUCAAAGUCGGUGCCCAGCGGGUCACCCUCGAUGAUUGAGUAGCAGUAGGUGAAGUUCUCCUUGUCCAAGGCCUAGACCUUGUGCUUUGCCGUCUUGUACCGACUGCCUAUCAAAGUAACAAAGUAACAUUCACAUUUAGAACUCGCCGGUUUCAACAUUGUGAGCACUGAUCUUGAUGGUGUAGAUCCAGCCAUUUAGGAAUUAACCCCCAACCCCAAUCCAAUACUAUUGACUUAGACAUGGCCUGAUUUUGCCCGAUCGAAAUCGCGUCACAUGAUCACUUGCGUAAAUUUAAACAGUUAGAAACAUAUUAAUUAAUCAAGUCAUAUAUCUAUCCUUUUCAAUGUUCAUUAUAGUGUUCUAGGUUGAACCCGCCUUGAUUCGGAGCGAUCCUAAGUUCCUAAUACGGAAGGACUAACUUUCGCAGAAAGUCAUACCUCCAUCGCCCUCGAGGACUUCAAUGCUCUUGACGUCUUGUGGGAGGACCUUGUUGAUGAGGUUAUCGGCGUCAAGGAGAGUGGCUCAAACAUCUCGGCUGGAGGGAUUGGGGACGUGGUCUCGAAGUCAUUAGUGAUGACACCCAUGACUGGAUCCGAACAGAGUUGCUGAAACUGAGAAGAGGGUGAUGAUCAGGAAAAGACUUGGGCGUGAUGAAGUUGGUCUCUAGGACUUGGGAGUGAAGAAAGGAGGCUAAACUGAAGAUGACAUAUAUAGAGAGAGACUGAGUGUGAAGGGUUAUGAUUACUGAAUAUUUCCUUCUUACUUAAGAGGGUUUCGUAGAAAAUAAAUAAUUUGAAAAAUAUUUUCUUAAAAAUAAUCACUAAAUUUGGAUACUGUUUCCAAGCAAAAGUUAAUUGGUGAGUGUGCUACAUAUUCUAAAUUGAUCUAAAUCCAUAUAGAACUCACUAGAAUUAAAAGUCAAGAUUCUCCUUAAUAUAAAUACGAUGAAAAAAUGCUACCUCAUUUCCGAGUGUUCGUCAAAAUUGGUUUGUAUGUACUAUGUUAAUCUAAAUCGCUAAAUUUGAUGGAUUCACAUGGGAUCCAUACGAAACUCACUAGAAUUAAAAGUUCAAAUUCCACUUAAUAUAAAUACGGUGCUCUUUCCUCAAAAUUGUGUUGUCUAUACUAAAUUGAUUUAAAUCACUAAAUCCGAUGGGUUCUUGUGAUACCCAUAUGGAACUCACUAGAAUUAAAAAUCCAAAUUCAGCUUAAUAUAAAUAUGACCAUAGCUCAUUUCCGAGUCUUCAUCAAAAGUGUGUUUGAUGUCCUACAUUGAUAUAAAUCACCAAAUCUGAUGGGUUUGCAUGGGAUCCAUAUAGAACUUACUAGAAUUAAAACUCCAAAUUCCCCUUGAUAUAAAUACGACACUACCUCAUCUCCGAGUCUUCAUCAAAAUUCUGCUAAAGGUACUAACUUAAUCUAAAUCGCUAAAUUUGAUGGGUUCACGUGGGAUCCAUACGAAACUCACUGAAAUUAAAAGUUCAGAUUCCAUUAAUAUAAAUAUGAUGCUCUCUCAUUGAAAUUGCAUUGUAUGUACUAAAUUGAUUUAAAUUGCUUAAUCUGAUGGGUUCAUGUGGGACUUAUAUGGAACUCACUAGAAUUAAAAGUCUAGAUUCUGCUUAAUAUAAAUCAACCUUGGCUCAUUUCCGAGUCUUCAUCAAAAGUGUAUUGUGGGUUCACGUGGGAUCUAUAUAGAACUCGUUGAAAUUAAAAGUCCAGAUUCCUAUUAAUAUAAAUAUGACACCACCUCAUUUCCGAGUUUUCAUCAAAAUUAUAAGUUAAUCUACGGGUUUGUUUUGUUAUUAUGACUUUUGAGAUUCCCUUUCAUGUAUUAGUUUGGUAAUGAAUAGAAAUUUCUUUUUGACCCAAAAAAAAAAUUAAUCUAAAUCGCUAAAUUCUAUGAGUUUACAUGGGACCCAUAUGAAACUAUGGAACUCACUAAAAUUAUAAGUCUAGAAUCCACUAGAUAUAAAUAUGACGCUAGCUCAUUUCCAAAUCUCCGUCAAAUGCUUUUUUCUCAUCACUUUGAAGCUUCCGAUCGCACCCCACUUUGUUGCACGUGAAUCGGGAAUGUUUUACGACGCCAAAGUCUUUGUUAAAUCUCAAAAAGAUUGAGUCAACGUGGAACAACAACUCAAUUGUAAGCAUCGGGGUUUUGCAAGAGAUGGGCUCCAAUGGCUUUCAACAUUCCCAUGGCCUUCUAUUUGCUAGCUUUGUUCUCGACCCCGUCCUUGGCGAAGUACUUGCUCGUGCUCGUGCUCGUGCUCUUGCACGUGCACCCUCUCUGUCUGGACUUGAUCUCGUUCGAGAUCUUCUCUAGCGCGUCGCCCUCGACGAUGGUGUAAGCGUGCGCGAGCUUUCCUUGUCCAGCUUGUGGACUGGUGCUUCACCGAGUUGAACCGUCUAGCCGUGACACACAGAAAACUGCAGUCAGCUCCCACGUUAGUCUUAUCAAAGAAUGUCAGGCCAAUGUCUUGACAUCACAUGUUGAUGCGACGUGACCAAAAUGAAUGAAAUUAGAAGACGCGCAAGUACUCGCCUCCACCGAAAACGAUGCGAUGGUGACGGGACAGCCAUCACCUUCAAGGGUGACAAAAUCCAGACUGGCUUGUGGGAGGAGCUUGGGGAUGAGAUUUUUAUCAAGAUCAAAGGCCUUGAACAUUCGUGCAGGUGGGAUGGAAUGCGUCUUCGCCUAAGAUUUCCGAGUCCCAGGGCAAGAUAUGUGAGAUUAUGUUGAAAUGCCCUUUAAAUGAUUCUCAAUCUCCUCGUUUAGCAAUCUAAAUCAGCAUCACAAUGUUCUUAAAUAAUACAACAAAAAAACAGGACAAAACGCAUGGAUCUCAAGCCCAAAUUAUACUUAUUAGCAUGCGAGAGAUCUUUGAAUGCAAACACCCUUGAGGGUGGGAAUUCACUAAAUUAUAACUUAAAUAUUCUAACGGCACCAACGGCUUGGACAAGCAAGCUUGAGUGCAUGCGGACAAUUCUUGCGCAAUGAAAUGCAUGGUAAGUCGCGAAUCGAGACUCGUCCACGUACACGCUAUUGCGACCAUGACCAUGAAGACCACUUCCUUGACCAGUUGGCUAGUCGGAGGAGGAAGAUGUGGGUCGAGCAUAUCCUAUAGUGGCACAUUUGAGUCUUUCAAUAAUGUCGACAUUUGUGUCAUUUGUAGGGAAGAGAGAAGAUUCCUGGAUGCUUCCCCAUCAUUCUCUAGCAUUGGUACUUUUACUGUUGACUCUGUUUCAUGAAAGAAGAAUGAAUCUAUGUUUUUAUUACAACCUCAAGUUGCCUACAAAUUCCAAAUUUUUGAGAUACUGUUAAUACAAACCACUUUUCAAAAUCUGUACUUGCUCUUCCUAAAAAGUCUUAUUAGAAGUAUUGGACGAAUCCAAAUUCAAUAUGUCAAUUAAAGCUAUUUGAUCAACCCGAGACCAUAGGUACAGGGGGAAUGUAUUGAUUAGAUUUGAUUACGUAGCUUACCAGAAACCAUGUAGUCAUAAGAUCUAGCCACAGGGAUCCAAUUCGAUGAAUCCAAAUUCAAGAGCCUCACCGUCCCAAAAACCAAAAGCCGAGGCUCGAAGUCCGACUCGAGCAAGAUGUUGUUCAACAUCAUGUCCUGAUGGACAAUAGGCAGUGAGCAAUCGUGAUGCAAGUAGGUGAUCGCGGGAGCCACGCAUUGAACAAUCUUCACUCUCUUGACACAAGUCCGAUUCAACUGCUCCUCUUCUUCCAUGCAAGACCUUUGCCAAAGUUCAGAAAAACAUUGGAUGAUGUCCCUGCGGUUAACCACCACUUUUUUUACCGUGACGAUGUGGCCGCUGGCCUAUUCGGCCUUGUAAACGCUUCUAAAUCCGCGUUUUCCGACGCAAUACUCUUCACUGAAGCCGUUGGUGGCCUUGGCAAUAUCGUUGAAUGCAAACUUCGUUCCCCUUUUCCAUAUGAUUUCACGUACUUCAUAAGAUUUCUUAUCUCUUCAUCGAGAUGCUUGUUUCACCGCCAAAGCACCGAAAUCAGAGCAAUAAGAGUCACGAGAAGUAGUAAGCAGCAAACGCAACAAUCACAUUAAUCAGAACCUUUCUCCGAUGGUCAGUCGAUUUACUGCUCGACCCGCAUGGAGACAUUCCGUCGCGUUUCCUCAUAAGCCCGGAUUUGCAAUAAAAGCACUUCCUAGUUAUUGUCGAAAGAGGCGACCACCAAGAACUGCGCCUGUCAGCUUGUUGUAUAAGAAGCCCAUGAAGCUUAAACUGCUCAUGCUGGUGAGAGCAGCUGGGAUCGUACCCGACAAAUCGUUAUGCGAAACAUUGAGAUUUUCCAAUUUAGUGAGCUUUGUUAAAUUGGAAGGAAUUGAUCCUACUAGUGAAUUGUGGCUCAGGUCUAGUGGUUCUGUAGCGUGAACGAGUUCCCCAGCUCUGGCGACAUGACACCCAACAUAUUGUUGUUGCUCAAGUUCAAGCUCAGUAAAUUCUCGCAAUUUGCUAACUCUUUUGGUACAAUAUAUAGAGAAGGGAUGUACUUGCCGUAUUGUGGUUUAUGAAAGAUUGUGCCACAUUGAUAACUUUAGAUGUUAAUCCAAAUUCAAAAUAUCAGGCCAAAGUUUGGUAUUUUAUUGGCCAUUUGGCAUUUCAUUUAUAACUCAUGAAUUCUCUCCUCGUAAAAAAAAUUACUAAAUUAGAGAAUUUCAUUCUACAAGCCUUGUAUAGUUUAUCAAAUUACACAAAACCACUGCACCAGAUUCCUAUCACACCUUUUAUUCUCUUAUUCUCGGCAAUGACAAGAACAACAACACUCACCAGCCCAACAUGCUUAGCUCCAAACAGAGUGACUUAAACUCUUCUUGUCUCCUUUUCAGUAUAGCAUAACCACACAUAUUUAACACAUUACGUAAACAAUACAAGAUAGCGAAGAGAUCGGCUCAGUAGGCAUCAGGGUUUUCCAAGAGAUAAGCCUCGAUGGCCUCGUACAUCGCGGACGCCUUCUCUUUCCGGGUGUUGAUCUCCUCCUCGGUGAUGUCCACCUCGCCAAUGGUGAAGUAACUGUUCGUGCACUUCAACAUCGAGCCUCCCAAAGGCAACGCGUUGAUCUUCACCUCAAAGGUGAUCUUCUCGAAGGUGGUGCCCAGCAUUUCGCCAUCGAUGAUUGAGUAGCAGUAGGUGAAGUUCUCCUUGUCCAGGGCCUCGACCUUGUGCUUUGCUGUCUUGUAUGGAUUGCCUAUCACUGUAACAAAAAGUCAUAUUCACAUUUAGAACUCGCAGGUUUCAAUAUCACGAGCACCAAUCUUCAUGGUGUCCAUCAGGCCAUUUAGGAAUUGACCCAAUUGUUCCGACCGCAAUCCAAUACAAUUGACUUAGACAUAGCCUGACUUUGCCUGAUCAAAAUUGAGUCACAUAUUCACUUGUGUAAAGUUAAACGGUUAGAAACAUCUUAAGUAACCGAGUCAUAUUUUUAUCUUUUUCCAUAUUCAUUAUAGUGUUUCAUAAGGUUGAACCUGCCUUGAUUCAGAGCAAUCCUAAGUUCCUAAUACGGAUGGACUAACCUUCAGCAAAAGUAAUCAACUUGAUGGUCCCGGGACCUCCAUCGCCCUCGAGGACUUCAACGCUCUUGACGGCUUGCGGGAGGACGAUGGGGAGGAGGUUACCGGCAUCGAGGACAACAGCCUUGAACAUCCUGGCCAGGGGAAUGACGGACGGGACAUCAAAGUGAAAAGUGAUGACACCCAUGACCGGAUCCUAACGGAGUUGCUGAAACUGAGAAGGGGGUGAUGAUCUGGAAAGACUUGAGUAGUAGUGACGAAGUUGGUCUCUGCGACUUGGGAGUGAAGAGAAGAGGCUGAAUUGAAGUUGACAUAUAUAGAGAGAGAGGGAGACUGAGUGUGAAGGGUUCUGAUCACUGCAUAUUUUCUUCUUACUAAGAUGCAUUAUAUUUUGCAGAAAAUAGAUAAUUUAGAAAAUGUUUUCCUAAAAAUAAUCACUAAAUUUAGAUAGUGUUCCGAGCAUAAGUUAUUUGGUGAGUGUGCUGCAUGUUCUAAAUUGAUCUAAAUUGCUAAAUUUAAUGGGCUCACUAGAAUUAAAAGUCUAGAUUCCCCUUAAUAUAAAUACGACACUACCUCAUUUUCAAGUCUUCGUCAAAAUUGUAUUGUAUAUAAAUAUGACCCUAGCUCAUCUCCGAGUCUUUAUCAAACGUGUGUUGUAUGUCCUAAAUUGAUCUAAAUUGCUAAAUCUAACAGGUUCACAUGGGAUCCAUGUGGAACUCACUCGAAUUAAAAGUCUAGAUUCUCCUUGAUAUAAAUACGAUGCUAUGUCAUUUCUAAGUUUUCGUCAAAAUUGUGUUGUAUAUAAAUAUGACCCUAGCUCAUUUCUGAGUCUUUAUCAAACGUGUGUUGUAUAUCCUAUAUUGAUCUAAAUCCCUAAAUCUAACAGGUUUACGUGGGAUCCAUGUGGAACUCACUCGAAUUAAAAGUCAAGAUUCUCCUUGAUAUAAAUACGAUGCUAUGUCAUUUUGAAGUUUUCGUCAAAAUUGUGUUGUAUACACUAAGUUAAUCUAAAUCGCUAAAUUUGACGGGUUCAUGUGGGAUCCAUAGGAAACUCACUAAAUUAAAAGUUCAAGUCAACUUAAUAUAAAUACAGUUUUCUUUCAUCAUAAUUACGCCGUAUGUACUAAAUUAACCCAAAUUGCUAAAUCUAACAGGUUCACAUGGGAUCCAUGUGGAACUCACUCGAAUUAAAAGUCAAGAUUCUCCUUGAUAUAAAUACGAUGCUAUGUCAUUUCUAAGUUUUCGUCAAAAUUGUGUUGUAUAUAAAUAUGACCCUAGCUCAUCUCCGAGUCUUUAUCAAACGUGUGUUGUAUGUCCUAAAUUGAUCUAAAUCGCUAAAUCUAACAGGUUCACAUGGGAUCCAUGUGGAACUCACUCAAAUUAAAAGUCUAGAUUCUCCUUGAUAUAUAUAUGAUGCUAUGUCAUUUCUAAGUUUUCAUCAAAAUUGUGUUGUAUAUACUAAGUUAAUCUAAAUCGCUAAAUUUGAUGGGUUCAUGUGGGAUCCAUAGGAAACUUACUAAAAUUAAAAGUUCAAAUCAGCUUAAUAUAAAUCUAGUGCUCUUUCAUCAAAAUUACGUCGUAUAAACUAAAUUAACCCAAAUCGCUAAAUCUGAUGGGUUCAUGUGGGACCUAUAUAAAACUCGCUGGAAUUAAAAGUCUAGAUUCUACUAAAUAAAAAUGAGGCCCUAACUCAUUUCCGAGUCUUUGUCAAAAGUGUGUUGUAUGUCCUAAAUUGAUCUAAAUUGCCAAAUCUGAUGAGUUCACAUAGGAUCCAUAUUGAAAUCACUAGAAUUAAAAGUCCAAAUUCCACUUAAUAUAAAUAUGACGCUAGCUCAUUUCUGUUUCUUCAUCAAAAUUGUGGUAUAUGUACUAAGUUAAUCUAAAUCGCUAUAUUUGAUAGGUUCAUGUGGAACCCAAAUGAACCUCACUAAAAUAAAACGCCCAAAAUCGAUUAAACGUAUAUACUACUUUAACUCAUUUCUAGGUCUCCAUCAAGCGCCUUUUUCUCAUCUCUUUGAAGCUUCCGAUCGCGUGCCAUUCCGUCACAUGUGAAUCGCGAAUGAUUUUCCACGCCAGAGUCUUUGUUAAAUCUCAAGACUUAAAAAUACGAAUGUGAAGUAACAAUUGCGUGUCAAAUGCAGAAAAUUCAUAUGUGAAAAAGUUGACCGUCCCUUCUUGAGUCAACUGUUCUCUUCCUCGAUAUGCUUUUCUGAUAUGGCCUCAAAGACAGAUGGGCAAAGCGGCGCAUUCAUAUCUAUAAUCUCGCGGCAGUUUCAACUCUGUUAAAAGAAUGCCGAGGUCUUUACAAGAUGUUUGACAAGCGUCUUUGAUGACAGCAUGCAGCAUAUCUACCGCUUCAAAACAUAGUUACGGUUCAGUCUCGAUUGUUAUUUUUCUUCAAAUUAUGGUGGGAGAUAGAAAGAUCCAGCCAACAUGUAACAACAACUCACUCGUAAGCAUCAGCGUUUUUGCAAGAGAUGGGCUUCUAUGGCUUUCAACAUUCCCAUGGCCUUCUCUUUGCUGGCCUUGUUCUCGACCCGGUCCAUGGCGAAGUACUUGCUCAUGCUCUUGGCCAUACACCCUCUCUGUCUAGAAAAGCAUAGAACUUGAUCUCGUUCGGGAUCUUCUCUGCGCGUUGCCCUGGACGAUGGCGUACGCAUGCGCGAGCUUUCCUUGUCCAGCUUCUCGACUGGUGCUCCACCGAGUUGAACUGUCUAGCUACGAGACACAGACAACUGCAGUCAGCUCCCACGUUAGCCUUAACAAAGAAUGUCGGCAAAUGUCCUCUUUGACAUCACGUGUUAAUGCGACGCAACCAAAAUAAAUGAAAAUAGAAGACAGCGCAAGCACUGGCCUUCGCCAAAGAUGGCGCCGGUGUUAGGGAAAUCCCUUAUGAUGUUUUGAAGAUGACAAAAUAAAUCAAAGGCUACUAACAUGUUUGAUGGUUGAGUAAUAGACCAUGCAGAUGAUAGAACAUGUAAAGGAUUUUAUCAAAGUCAGAAGACGGCCAGAAGACUGAACGUAACAUAUGUCCAGAGUAUAUUUUGAAGAUUUCCAGACUUCUGUGUCAAAGUCUGAAGACUGUCAGACUCAAGACUCAUAUUGUAAAGUCUACAGACCCAGAUUGUAAAGUCUCAAGACUCAUAUCGUAAAGUCUAAAGACUCAGACUUUACAUCCAGAUUACGAUGAAUCGUAACUCAAGCCCAAUCAUAUAACGGCUAGUGAUCUGGUUUGGAUUCCACAUCAAGAUUGAUUUGAUUGAAGACAAGAACUUUACAUACGAAGAAGCUUUACUUAUGGAAACCAAGAUUUCGUUUGUAUGGGCGAUCGGAAUCCAUUUGGGAUUCUACCUUUGUCACUCAACGGCUACUAAAUCUUCUAGAUACAGAGCUGUCCAAUGGGUAUAUUGGAAGACGAUUCUCCGGGAUAUUGUCCAACGGGUAGUUUGGAAAUGGAGGAGUAUUUAAGGAGAUGAAGGACCGAUGAGCAAGUAAGAGACGGAGCGUAGAAUUUAUAAUUCCAAAGUCUAAGCGACUUUAGAUCAUAUACUUGUCUCUUGAGAGCUUAAAUGUUUGUAAUCGUGAGAGAAAUACCAAGAGAGUGACUUAGUGAGAUAGUGUGAUCUACUAAGUGUAUGCACUCGAAGUUGUAAUCUCUUGUUGAUUGCAUAUUGGAAUCCAGCCAAGAAGGCUGUUAUCGUGGGAGAGUGGACGUAGGCUUGGAUUAAGCCGAACCACUAUAAAUCUUGUGUUCUUAUUUUCUUCCUUAACUCCUUUAUUUUGUUCAUACUAGCACUCUCAGCCGGGACCCCCAUCACCUUCAGGGAUGACAAAAUCCUUAAAGGCUUGUGGGAGGAGCUUGGGGAUGAGAUCGUCGUCAAGAACAAACGCCUUGAACGUUCUUGCAGGUGAGAUGGAAUCGUCUUCACCUAAGAGUUCCAAGUCCCACGGCAAGAGAUCUGGGAGAUUAUGUUGAAAAUGCCCUCUAAAUGAUUCUCAAUCGCCUCGUUUAGUAAUCUAACUCAACAUCACAUUGGUCUAAAUCAUAUAAUAAAGAAAGAGGACAAAAGGCAUGGAUCUCAAGCCCAAAUGAUACUUGUUAGCAUGCGAGAGAUCUUUGAAUGUAGACAACCUUGAGGGAGUCACUAAAUUAUUGUUAAAAUAUUCUAAUAGAACCCAAUGGCUUAGACAAACAAGCUUGAGUGCGUGCGGAUAAUUCCUGCUUGAUGAAAUGCAUGGUAGGUCGCGAAUCGAGACUCGUCCCCAUGCACAUCCACUUCCUCGGCUAGUUGACCGGUCGGAGGAGGAAGCCGUGGGUCGAGCACGUCCUUCAGUAGAACAUUUGAGUCUUUCAAUAAUGUCGACAUUUGUGUCAUUUGUAGGGAAGAAAGAACAUUCAAUGGAUGCUCCCCAUCAUUCUCUAGUGUUGCUGACUCUGUUUCUUGAAAGAACAACUAGUCAGGAUUUUGCUCACAUCGUCAAGUUGUCCACAAAUUCCAAAUUUCUGUUGUACUUUUACAACAAAGCACUUUUCAUAAUCUAUACUUACUCUUCCUAAAAGUAUUGUUAGAAUUAUUGAAUGAAUCCAAAUUUGAUUUGUCCAUUAACCACAGAGUUACUACUAAUUUUAUUUUUCAAGAAGAAGAAUGAAUCAAAAUCACGAUCAUAAUGUCAAGUUGUACCCAAAUUCCAAAUUUGAAACCGACUCUCUAAAACAAAUCACUUCUCAAAACCUAUAUUUGCAAGAAUCCUAAAAGUCCCGUUAGAAUUAUUUGAAUGCAAAUUAUCAAUCCGAGACCAUUUGUACCCGCGAAAUGUUCUAUUAGAUUCAAUCAUCUAACUUACCAGGAGCCAUGUAGCCAUAAGAUCCAGCCACAAAUAAGGCUGGAAACUCGCAUGAACCGGAAAGCAGCAACCUAGUCCGGUGAGCCUGAAAUAGGGCAUGGGCACAAAAAAGCGCGGUCGGCCGAGAGUCCCUACCCAGCUCGCGGCGUUGGACGGCGGACGAGCUCAAUAGAUCGGGCUACGUCCGUCCGCCUCGCUCGUCUCCUAGUCGGGAUCCUCGGGAAGCGGACCCCAAAUGGGGAAAAACCAAGACGGCCCGAACAGGGACCUACCAUGGCCUCGAAGUGGACAAGGAGCGGCGGCGGAUCAUCAGUUUUGGUUCGGAAGUGGAGGUCAACAGCGGCUCUCUCAGUCGCGUUCUCUCUCUCUCAACUCACGGUCUCUCUUUCACGGCCCUCUCUCCUCCGGAUCCGAAUCCCUCUCGCGUCGUACUUGACCCCCUUCGAUUUCUCCCUCCUCCCCAACCUCCGACCUUCUAUUUAUAGGCUAAGAAGGCCGGUCGGCGGAGGUGCUUCGGCCGCCAGUCCUUCAUGCGCCGACCGGCCCCCCUUCGCUGAACCAGCAUCACAUCACCCGUCGCCUCCACCGCCGCCUGCUCUGCUUUGCGCCUACUCUACUCCUUCUGCUACGGCCGCCCUCGCUGGCCUGACGAAGAAGCGGGGAAUGAGGAAGGAGGGGCCGGGCCAGGGUGAGAAGCACAAGCAGAGUGGGCCCUAGGCCCACUCGGGGAAGAAAGGUGAAAAGAGGGGGGCUAAGGCGAAGGCCCAGCCGCCGUGGGCCCUUUUUUUUAUAAAUACUAUUAAAUAGGGUUAAAUAAGAGAAAAUAAAACUUAAAAUGCAAAUAAUAUUAAUGCUUAUAUGAUGUGAAAAUCGUUUUUAUUAGGGUUAAAUUGAUUCCAAAUUUUUUUAUAUAAUUUUAAUUAUAGAUGUUUAGUCAAAAUUUAAGUAUCAAUAAAUGUAAAUCUCAAACUGUAAGAGUUAAAAUAAAAAAUAAAAGAAUUAAAGAAGAGACAAGUGCAGUUGCAGCUUUAUCCCAUCUUGUAACAAAAAUUGUUUACGAAAGUCAAAAAUUUAACGAACAUCACGUGCUCUAACUUUAAUUGAAUUAUUGUAAGCCCACGAAUCCCUCGUUGAAGUCAUCCUUUGAUGUUACAUAUAUAAAUGAAUCGAAAUUUGUCUAUAUGUUAUACGUAGUGACACGUGUAAUGCAGUGUGGCUUUUUUGAUAGGACAAAUAUCCCCACAUCACCAAUUACCUCUGAUUAGGGCAAGUUCUUUCAAGUAAGGACCCUGUCUUUUUUCUUCUUCUUUUUUGAUAAUAUCCCUAUUAUUGUUCAUGACAUGUUUCUUUUCCAAAUUAAUUGGAAUAUAUAAUUUUAAUGGAUCAGAUCGCUACUUUAAAUGGGAGUAUGAGUCUUUCAAAUGCCUAUGAUAUAUUAUUAUCAAUAGUCACACACGAAUAACAUGCCAGUUGAUGCUACGGUGUGACACAUAAUAAAUAAAGAUGAAAAGCUAGAUUUUAGUAAAACAAAUUCAAAAAUGAGUUUGAGUGUUGAGAUUAUUUAUUGACAUGGACAUCAACCUAUAGCAUCUCCUUUUACUAAUGAACAGGGCUUGGAUUAAAUAAUCAACCUAGUGAUAUUCUAAAAUAGCUCCUUUUUGCCUUGCUCUUCUAGCUUUGGACAUCACUUUAUUUAUUUUUUAAUUUUCUUGGAAUCUUAUUUGGUGAAAUCUAUACAUGUUCAUCGAAAGUGCACGAUCUAAAAGAUUUCAUCAGUGUCAUAGCCACAACCAAGAAGUAUGUAUGAUAUAUAUAUAUUAGAAUACCAAACUACAUUCUAGGCAACCGUGCAUUUAAGUACCACAAGAGUUGUAUUUAGAUCCCACAUCAACUAAAAGAACACUAACAUUCGGACCAAUAUCUAAUCACUUGUGGAUUGCCGACUAUGAAACCAUAAAGGAGUAACUAUAUAUAUUAAUCCUAGCUAGGAUUCCCUACAUUUCUACAUGGGUAGGCAUUUAAAUGAUCAAUGAGAGAGAGAGAGAGAGAGAGAGAGAGAGAGAGAGAGAGAGAGAGAGAGAGAGAGAGAGAGAGAGAGAGAGAGAGAGAGAGAGAGAGAGAGAGAGAGAGAGAGAGAGAUUAUAUAUAAAUCAUAAUUCAAAGUGACGAUCUACUCUCUUAAUAAUGAUGAUGACGAUGAUAAUUAUAUAAAAUUGAGAGGAUAAAAAAAAAAAAUUGGCCUGGUAGAGCCUGUAAAGAACUACACAAUACAUCGGGAUGAUCAUUAGAUGAAAGUGCAUGCUUACAACAUUGAAAAUCAUUUUGUAGGGUAUAGAUCUACCAAAUUGUUCAAACAUUGUUUUAAUGGUUUCCCUUGGAUGAAAGAUUCUUCGUCUAACACAUGAUUUACUUAAUUUAAUUAGUCCAAGAGAGAGAUACACCACCCACGUGCCCCAUAAGCAACGAGGAAUUUGUCUAAUAUGUUAUGAUGUACAAGACCAUACAAUCUCAUUCGCUCUUUUGAUAAAUAUAAAUUAACAUGCAAUCAAUGAAUUAAGAUCUAAUGUUAUUAAGAUUUUUUACGUGUGCACACGUGGUUUUGGUCUAAUAGAUCAAACCAACAUACAACGUCAACUCAGACGGACACAUUUUUGGUCAUUCACUCUUCUUGAUAAAAAUCCCCUUGAAGGCCAAAUGUCUGAUAACCCUCGAUACUUGACAUCUUAAAGUUUACUUAGCAAAGGUUCAAUAAGUCAGGUUUUGGAAGGGUCAUUUGGAGUAUUACAGGUCGGAACGGGUAAAACGAGGAUCUCUAUAAAGUUAACCACCUUGCUAGAGUUGCAUUUGAUGAAUGAAUUUUUCCCCAACUGAAAUUCUUUUAGAGCAUAAGUUAACAAGACAAUCGCAAAAUUGUCGUCAAAUAAAGCGCCCGGGCCAAAAGCGGAUUGAUCACGAUGAUUUUUGCAUUGAAGUGGUGAAAAAGCUUGGUCGAGAGCUAAUUGGGAGAAAGAGAGAGCUCAAACUUUAGGAUAAGCAAUUUUGUGGCUAAUCAUAGAAACUACAAAAGGUUUUGGCCUCCACUUCUGAACCAGGUCUGCUCUCACGUGCACGCGGACCCUGGUCUGUGUCUCGGCCUCUCAAGUCCCUCUCUCCUGUUCUUCAAUCUCCACUUUCCGUCACCCAUUAAUCCCAUCUUCCUCGUUGACAUGAAGUCAUUAACAUUCGAUUUGAUCCCCAGAAAGAGAAAUCAACACUUAUCCCAUGAAUCAAAAGCAAAUACUAUGGAAUCGGUGUCCCAUGAGGUUGAUCUUAUAUGAUAACGUCUUUGUAUCGGCUACAUACAUUAUGUGCAAAUAAAGUGUAAUUAUACUAUCAUAUUUUUUGUUAAUUCACCUCUUUGAUCCGAUAUUAUUUGUUGACAUUGCCCUUAAAGAAUCAAGACAUGACAUCCUCGUUAGUUGAUUGAUAUAUGACAAGGGUCGACAAAAAAGACAGCAUCUAAGUUAACAAUUUGAGAAGAUUAAUGUUUGUGAUGGAGGGUAUUGACUUAUUACGUGGCAAAAUCUUUCCGACAUCAUACAAUUAGCUGUCAAGCAAGCUUUUUUGCCUUUUGCUUUUCAAAAAACAAACAAUCACAAGUUUUUAAAGAUCAAAUGCCCAUUUAGUUGAUGGAAAACUGUUUAUGGAAAAGCUUUCCAUAUUCCAAUAUUUAGAUGAUAGAAAAUUAUUCAAUCUACCGAAAGUGUUUUAUGUGGAUUGAAGAUAAUAAAUUUAUAUUUGGAAAAAAAAAAACUUCUGUUUAUGGUAAGAAAUAAUAGAUAAUAAUUUUUUUGAUAAUUCUUAUAGAUUAAAUUAGCCUAAAUUAGACUUUAUUAACGCAUAUUAGCAGAUUCACUUGCUAUCAAACACCAUAAAAUUAAUUUUUCUCCAACAUGUUUUGGCACGAGCGAACACUAGAAAAUUAUUUACUUUCUCUGGAAUUAAAUUUUUUGAAAAUACUUUUGAGCGAUAAAUUUUCGCUAAAAUAAGCGCACCCAAGCGACAUAUUUGUUAACCUUGUUCUCCUUCUCUCCUUCUCUCUCUCUGCUACAGCUGCUCUUUCUUCUUCUUUUUUUUUUUUUUGGUCGAAAAAGGAUUACUAUGAAAUUACUUAGCCACGGUUUGAGACAAAACAUCAAAAGCAUUGGUGCAUAAUAAGUCUAGUAGAGCGGGCGGGGGAUGAAACAACUAAUUAGAGGGAAUGUAACUAAAUCGACAGGCCUUUGCGAGCCAAUCGGCGGGACCGAUUUGCUGUUCUAUUGCAGUGGGCCAGGGAGAUGUCACAGAAUUCCUGUAGUUUCGCUUGGGCCUGGUCCAGGAGCGGUUGAAGCUACCAGUUCACUUCCGUCGAAGCCGUAACCCCCUGCACGAGUGGAAGACAAUCUGACUAUACUUGCAGGGAGAGUUCCGCACGGUUAGAGAGUAGAUCUAGGGUUUCAAGCAGAGCCAAAGCUUCCGCAUGUGCUGUCGAAGCCGCAUCCACCAAUUUCGCGAAGCCAUCCACAAGACAUCCUCGGUAGUCCCUGCAGAUACAUGCUACUGCUGCUCUGUUUUGCGUUUCUCCUCCGGCAUCUGCUUCCAUGGCGUUGAGCUCGGCAAAUGAAGCAUCUAUAUUAAAUUUCAGCGUAUGAGGGGGCGGAGGUUGCCAACGAUCUGGUAUGGCUUUUAUCUUCCUUUCAUCUACUUGUUGUUGGCUCACAGAUUUGAGGUUAUCGCAGAGAGCUUGCGCCUGAAUUAAAACUUGCUGCGGGUGCAGGGGACAACUCUCGAAGAGGUACUGAUUUCAACCCUUCCAAAUACUCCAGAGGAAAGCCACGACUUGGUCAAACUUCUUAGUAUGGGUAGGGUUGGUUUUGAGAUUGUCUAACCAGUCAUCGAGGCGUGUUAACCCAUAUCUGGAUAUUUUGAUCUAUAGGGGCGCGGAACUCCAAAUCUGAUUUGUCCAUGGACAGAGUAGAAGAAUAUGUUCAGUGGUUUCAGCUUCUUUGCUGUAGAUAGAGCAUAUAGGAUCCGGUUACUAGCUUUCUUCUAUAUAAGUUUUCCCUUGUAGGAAGAGCAUUAUGACAUGCUUGCCAGAGAAAGAAUCUGAUUUUUGGAAGGGUUUUAGCUUGCCAAAUGUGUUUCCAGAGAUCUGGAUUUAUAUGAUGCGAUGAGGUUGCUGUUGGGUUUGUGCUUGUUGGGUUAUCUCUGACUGUGAAGUAGCCACUUUUCACUAAAUAGAUACCAGAGUUAUUAUGCAUCCAGACUAGCUUGUCUUUUGAAUCUGGCCUUCCAAUAGGAGUAGCAAGAAUUUCCUUCAUGAUUUUGUCAUCAAACAUCGACUCCACCCUAUGAACAUUCCAUUUGCUAGUCCCUUGUUCAAUUAGUUCUGCCACAUGUUCUGGUUCAUUUCUUGUUGCUGAGCCUCCAAUCAAACCACUUUUUAUCAAUUUAUCUGCUCUUAUCGAUAGUUUUUUCCCAUUCCCAACUAAGUACAUAGUGUGUGGACUUAUAGAAUCCCUACGCCGAGUUAUACUUUGCCAACCCCAUGAAGGUCGGGAGCCUUUUCUAGCUUUCCAGAAGUCUCCAUGCGGAUAGUAUAGGCCUUUCAUCACUCUGCUCAAUAAGAACUAGGAAUUUUGUGAGAUGCGCCAAGCUUGUUUCCCCAACAUAGCUGUAUUGAAUGCUAUUAAGUCUUUAAAGCCUAGGCCCCCCUCCUUCGUUCUAAGUUUCAAUGCUUCCCAAUUCUUCCAGUGUAUUCCAGCAUUUCUACUAUUCGUUUUCCACCAAAAGUUAGCAAUCCUCCUCUCAAUAGCUUUGCAUAUGGAAAUAGGGAUCUUGAAUAUGGACAUGGCAUAUUGAGGGAUAGCAUGUACAACUGAUUUUAUUAAAAUUUCCUUCCCUACUUUUGAUAACAGAUGUUUCUUCCAGCUUUCUAACUUUCUGUUUACCCUCGCAAGGAUCCAUGCGAACAUAUCUUUCUUUGAGCAGCCCAAAUCCGUCAGAAUCCCUAAAUAUUUCCCUGUUUUUUCAAUUUCUGGAACUCUCAAUUCAUUGGCCAUGUUCCUCCUCAAAGUAAUAGGACAACAUUUACUAAAAUAUAUACCAGAUUUGUUGAGAUUAAUAGCCUGACCAGAAGCAUAACAAUAUUCAUGUAGGAUAGCCACCAGGUUUUGGCAUUCUAGGAUUGUACCAUGAAGGAAGAAAAUUGAAUCAUCUGCAAAUAGCAAAUGCGAUAGAGUGGGGCAGCUAUUAUUUAGCUUAAUUCCUCUAAUAGUGCCAUCUUCUACUAUUUUUCCCAUCAUGUAGGAUAGAACAUUGGCAACUAAUAUGAAGAGAUAUGGGGACAGAGAGUCACCUUGUCGAAUUCCACGUGUUGGCUUGAAAAAAGGUAGAGACUCCCCAUUAAAAUUCACACUGAAAGUUACUGUUCAGACACGCUGCAUCACCCAAUGUACCCACUGUUCGCAGAAUCCCAUUUUAGUUAGGCAUGCACUAAGGAAAUCCUAUUCAAUCCUGUCAUACGCCUUCUGCAUAUCUAGCUUUAAGACUGCUUGGAACUUCUUUUUUCUCUCCCGAGUGCGUAAUCUGUCAAGAACUUCCUGUACCAGCAAUAUAUUAUCUUGUAUUAGCCUUUCCCCCACAAAAGCACUCUGCUCUUCUGCAAUUAGAGUUGGUAGCAGGGGUUUUAAUCUGCUAGUCAGCACUUUUGAAAUAAUUUUAUAAAUGAAAUUACAAAGGCUAAUGGGGCGAAACUGUUCCAGCUUUUGUGGAUUUGAAACUUUGGGAAUAAGAGUAAUGAGCAUUCUGUUCAUAGUCGGAUUGAGAUAGCCUGUAUUGAAAAAUCCCUGUAUCUCUGUAUAGAUAUCCUGACAGAUGUCUGGCCAAUGUUUCCUAAAAAAAAAAGGCCAUGCAUACCAUCUGGUCCUAGGGCUUUUCGUGGGCUCCUAAUUGUUGUAUGCCUUGCGUGAUCUCUUCCAUAGAAACAGGUUCUACUAGACGUUGGUUCAUUCUCACAUCCACCGAAGCUGGAAUUUGUUGUAGAAAGGGUUGAAAGUCACAAGGCCCUAUUGACUCGUAAAGCCUUUGAAAUAUGUGCUUGUCAUCUCUUUCAAUCGUUGUUCAUCACGCACCCACACAUCUUCUGGAUUUUCAACAAAGUAACAUGAUUUGUGGUUCUUCUUUGAAUGGUUGUAGCGUGAAAGAAUUUUGUAUUUUUAUCUCCCCAUGCUAACCAAUUAAUUUUGAAUCACAUUCCCCAAUACAUUUCUUCUUGUCGCCACAACUAUUCAAUUUCUUUUGUCAGUGCCUGUGCUGCCUUGCUUUCUUGAGAUACCCAUUGUUGGAGAAAUCCUCGUGAAGUGUUUUGAAGUUGACAAAACGUUUCCAUCAGUCUAGUCUGAAGGUCAGCAGACUCUGUUAGUUAAAGUCUGAAGACUUCCGGACAGCCAGACUCAAGACUCAAAGUCUAUCCUCAUUGACUGUCUCUAAUCCGUUGAAGAAAGGUUAUCCAGAACUGGAUGUUUUGUUCAGGAUUUAUCCUUAUCAUCUGGAGAAGAUCUCGUGGCUGGAGAAGACGUAUCAGAAUCCUUUGAUUGAUCAAGAUUGAUUCAAUGACUGAAGAUUCGAUGAUUGUCUAAAUAUUAUUGGAAGGUUCUACUUAUGGAAACCAAGAUCCUGAUUGUAUGGGCGAACAGGAUUGAUGGGCUAUCAACACAUUCCUUUAAUAGCUCGAACAAUCUUCCUAGAUGAUUCCGUCCAACGGGUAGAUUGGAGGAAUUCCUUUAGUAAGUGCCAACGGGUAUGAUGGCAUAAAGGAGUAUAUAAGGAAGACGUUCUUAGCUGUUCGAGGUGUGCGCGAUAGAAGAAUUCCAAAGUCUGAAGCUCCAAAUUGUUUAGACAAAUCCUUUGAGCGAAUACUUGUAUACAAAAGAGAGUCUAUAUUUGUGAGAGACCUUGAGGAGGUGUGGUAAAACAUCUACACUGUGGAAUCAAGGCAAAGCUGUGCUGUAACUUCUCUUUUGAUCAUAGUGAAAUCCAGCCGGUGGGCUGUCAGUGUGGAAGAGUGGACGUAGGCUUGGAAUAAGCCGAACCACUAUAAAUCUUGUGUUCAAUUUUCUUUUCCUUACUCUCUCUACCUCAAUCGUAUUUCAUUUCGUUAAUUAAGAGAGAAUUUACCUUCCAUCAUAUGUUAAGAAUCGCUUCCGUAUAUCGAUAAAGUAUUUAGGCACCUAUUCACCCCCCCUCUAGGUACUCAUACUAGCAAUAUCAAUUGGUAUCAGAGCUCGUGUACUCACUUUGUUUGAAGUGUUUUACUUCAGAGUUAAAGAUCCAUGGCUAGUAUGCUAGCACCAGGGCUGAUGGAAGGGCAAAGCAAUACCAGACCACCCUACUUUGAUGGAAAGGAUUACAACAUCUGGAAGAACAAGAUGAAAGCUUUCCUACGAUCAAAGGAUCCUCUGGAAUGGGACGUUGUAGAAAAAGGAAUUACUCCUACCACUGCAUCAGUCUCUGAAAGAGGAAAAGAAACUGAAGAAAUCAGCGGAAUGUCUCAGGAAGAAAUAAUCAAGAGACAGACUCUCGAUGCGAAAGCAAUUUACUCCUUAUAUUGUGCUUUAUCACCAACUGAAUAUAAUAGAAUAUCUUCUUAUGGUACAGCAAAAGAAGUUUGGGACAGAUUGCAUAUCACCUAUGAAGGAACAGAUCGAGUGAAGGAAACAAGAAUCAACAUUCUUCUCGGUCAAUACGAAGCCUUCAGAAUGAAACCAGGAGAAUCAAUAUCUGACAUGUUUAGUCGUUUUACAGAUAUUGUGAAUGGUCUUGAAAAUCAAGGUCAACCAACUUCUGACCCCAUGAAGGUAAACAAGCUACUGCAUGGACUCUCCAGGGAUUGGAAUCACAUAAAGACUUCGAUAAGAGAGACGCAGAGAAUCAUGCCACUAUCUGUCGAUGAGCUGAUUGGAACUCUUCAGUCCUAUGAAGUGGAAAGGAUCAAUGAAGAUGAAGAUCCAAAAGGUAAGAAAUCCAUAGCAUUAAAAUCAAAUGAUGAUUCUGAUGUUACAGAUUCUGAAGAUGAUAUGGACGAUGAGGAGCUUGCUCUCAUGAUAAGAAGAUUCAGAAAACUGAAUAGAAAAGGAAGAAGGUUCAACUCAAAGAAACAAAGCUUUCAAAGACAGCAGACCAAGUCUGUUGAUGAUGAGGAACCAAAUAAAGAUGUAGUCUGCUUCGAAUGCAAGAAAAAGGGACACAUCAGACCCAACUGUCCUCUUCUGAAGAAGAAGAGAGGAAAAUCUGAAAAAUUUCGAAAAGCUCUCAAAGCUGAAACCUGGAGUGAUACUGAGUGUGAAGAAAGUGAUAAUGAAUAUGCCAAUCUAUGUCUGAUGGCACAAUCAGACUCAGACUCUGGAUCAGACUCAGACAGUGAAUUUAAGGCAAGUGAUUUUAAAAUUCCUGUUAAAGUUUCUAAAUAUAUUAAUGAACUAUGCCUUAGUCUUAAGACUUCUCUCAAAAGAAUUUCCGAACUGAAAAAAGAAAACUCAGCUCUAAAUCAAAAGGAAAAUGUUUUAGCAGAAAGAGUUAAAAGUCUAGACCUGUCUAUUUCCAAUCUUAAAGAAAAUGAAGAUAAUCUUUUAAAAGAAAAUGCUUUUUUAAAAACAGACUUAUCAAAUAUAUCAAAGAAAUUUUCUAUAGGGUCUGAAAAACUUGAGAAAAUUCUUUCAGCACAAAGACCUUACUUCAAUAAGUCUGGUCUAGGUAUGACAGAAGAAACAAUUCCCUUGAUUGAUUUUCCUAAAGUAAAAGAAAGAAUUAAGAAAAGACUCUCGAGUGAGGUUUACAAAAAUCACUUCAAGAAAGUUUUUGUAAAACCUGUAGGUAGAAAUGCUCUCAGAUGUUCUAAGUGCAACAGCCCGGAUCACUUUGAAAAAAAGUGUCCUAUGGUAUGGAAACCUGUUAAGAAAGUAUGGGCUAAUACUGUUUAUCUUACUAACACCAAAGGACCCAAGAAAAUUUGGGUACCAAAGAAAGCUUGAGACUUUAUUUUAAAUGCAGGUCUCCGUCAAGAAACAGGUAAAGUGGUAUCUUGACAGUGGAUGUUCAAGACACAUGACAGGAGACUCAAAUUGCUUUAUAAAGCUUGCUCAAGUAAAUGGUGGAAAAGUUUCAUUUGGAGGAAACAACAAAGGAAGUAUUGUGGGUUUUGGAACCGUGAAAAUCGAAUCUCUCACAAUAAGUAAUGUUUCCUUAGUGGAAGGACUCAAUUACAAUCUUCUCAGCAUUCGUCAAUUGUGUGAUACUGGUUUCAAGAUCUUCUUUCAAGAAGGAACAUGUUCUGGAAUCAGUAAAGACUCUACUCAGUCUUUCAUGGGUCGAAGACAUGGUAAUAUCUAUCUUCUAGAUGUGAAACCAAAUGAAUCGCAAUGCCUUAUCUCAAUUCAAGACGAAGCAAGCUUAUGGCAUAAAAAGCUUGGUCAUGUCAACAUGAAGCAAUUAGCCAAAAUCUCUUCAAAACAGCUUGUUCGAGGUCUACCCAGAUUACCAUACCAAAAGACUGAUUCAUGUACUCCAUGUAUUCUGGGAAAGCAGGUAAGAAAUUCUUUUAAGCCAAUUAAUUAUGUCUCUACUAAUCAUGUACUACAGUUGCUGCAUAUGGAUCUCUUCGGACCAACCAGAACUCAAAGUAUUGGGGGUAAGAAGUAUUGCCUAGUAAUUGUUGAUGAUUACUCCCGUUUUACUUGGGUAUAUUUCCUUGCAAGUAAGUCCGAAACCUUUUAGUAUUUUGAAAAAUUUGCUAAAGUGAUUCAAAAUGAAAAAAGGAUGUGUUAUCUCUAGUAUAAGAACAGAUCAUGGAGGUGAAUUUGAAAAUCAAGAUUUUACAAAAUUCUGUGAUGAAUCUGACUGUAAGCAUAUGUUUUCCUCUCCAUAUACUCCUCAGCAAAAUGGAGUUGUGGAAAGAAAGAAUAGAUCUCUUCAAGAAAUGGCUAGAACUCUUUUAAUUGAAAGUAAAAUUUCUUCUCGAUUUUGGGCCGAAGCUGUUUCAACAGCUUGCUAUAUCAUCAAUAGAGUCUUCUUAAGAUCUAUUCUUCAUAAAACCACUUAUGAGUUAUUCAAAGAAAAGAAGCCUAUUGUUUCAUACUUUCAUGUAUUCGGUUGCAAAUGUUUUAUUUUGAAAAAUGCAAAAGAUCGAGUUGGUAAGUUUGAAGAAAGAUCAGAUGAAGGUAUCUUUCUUGGAUAUUCUACAUCAAGCAAAGCCUACAGAGUCUAUAACAAGAAGAGCCAGACUGUGGAGGAGUCAAUGAAUGUCAAAUUUCAAGACUCAACACAAGAUGAAUCAACUCAGACUCAUCAAGAAGAGUCUGAACCUGCUCCAGACCCUCCAAAGUCUACAACUCAAGAAGCAUCUAAGACUCUGGAAAACCAGCUUCAAGAUGUUCGUGAAGAUCCAAACAAAGAAAGAAAUCAUCAACCAGACAAAUCAACGAGUAACUGGAAGCAUAAGUCCAGUCAUCCCAAAGAUCUUAUAAUCGGCGAAAUUAAUGAAGGAAUUCGCACCAGAUCCAAAAGGCGAGAAGAGUCUAGUGCUGUGGCACUCGUUUCUGAAAUUGAACCAAAGAGCAUAGAAGAAGCUUUAUCUGAUGAAAGCUGGAUAGAAGCUAUGCAAGAAGAGCUCAGACAGUUCAGCAUAAAUGAUGUCUGGGAAUUGACAUCUAAACCAAAAGGUAAAACUGUUAUUGGAGCUAAAUGGGUGUUCAGAAACAAGAUGAAUGAGAAAGGAAAAGUCGUACGAAAUAAAGCAAGACUCGUGGCCAAGGGAUAUACGCAAGAAGAAGGAAUAGACUAUGAUGAGACUUACGCUCCAGUGGCAAGGUUAGAAGCUAUUCGACUAUUACUUGCGUUUGCCUGUUAUAAGAAUUUCAGGUUAUUCCAAAUGGACGUCAAAAGCGCCUUCCUAAAUGGAUUUAUCCAUGAGGAAGUUUAUGUGGAACAACCACCAGGGUUUGAAGACCCAAAGAAGCCAGACUCAGUCUUCAGACUGAAAAAGGCUUUGUAUGGUUUAAAGCAAGCACCCCGAGCUUGGUACGACAGAUUGAGUAAGUUUUUAAUUCAAAAUGGUUUUGUCAAAGGUAAAGUGGAUACAACCUUAUUUAUCAAAAAGGAAAACAAAAGUUUCUUACUUGUUCAAAUAUAUGUGGAUGACAUUAUUUUCGGAUCCUCUAAUGAGAAUCUGUGCAAGAAAUUUUCUAAGUCUAUGCAGGAUGAAUUUGAAAUGAGUAUGAUGGGAGAAUUAACAUUCUUUCUUGGUCUUCAAGUAAAACAAUUGGAGGUAGGAACUUUUAUUUAUCAAGAAAAAUAUGCUAAUGAUCUUGUCAAAAGGUUUGGACUGGAAAAUUGCAAAAAGGUCGACAUUCCAAUGUCAAGUUCUUUAAAGAUAGACAAAGAUGAAGAAGGGAAGAAAGUUGAUCAAAAGCUGUACAGGAGCAUUAUUGGAUCACUUCUUUAUCUUACUGCCUCUAGACCUGAUAUUUUGUUGAGUGUUUGCAUCUGUGCUAGGUUUCAAUUAGAUCCUAGAGAAUCUCAUCUCAGUGCUGCAAAACGCAUCAUUAAAUACGUCGCUUCAUCAUCAAGCAUUGGUCUUUGGUAUCCUAAGAAGGGAGACUUUAAUCUUCUGGGAUAUUCAGACGCAGAUCUGGCCGGUUGCAGAGUUGAUAGAAAGAGCACUUCAGGAACUUGCCAGUUGCUUGGAAGCAGGACAGUGUCUUGGUUUUCAAGGAAACAAAGCACUGUGUCUCUUUCAACAACAGAAGCAGAGUAUGUAGCUCUUGGAAGCUGUUGUUCGCAAAUUCUAUGGAUAAAACAACAGCUGAGAGACUUUGAAAUUGAAGACUCAUGCACGGAGAUUAAUUGUGACAACACCAGUGCUAUCAACCUCACCAAAAAUCCAAUUCUCCACUCAAGAGCAAAGCAUAUAGAGAUUCGACAUCACUUUAUAAGAGACCAUGUUCAAAAUGGAGAUGUUUCAAUUCAAUUUGUUGACUCAAAGAAUCAACUGGCGGAUAUAUUCACAAAGCCUUUGGAGAAAAUUCAAUUUGAGUCUAUACGCUCCAGACUCAACAUUUUGAGGUAUGAGGAUAUCAAAGUCUAAACACUUUCAGACUCAGGCUAGCAAGACUUUAUCUACUGUCUUGGCUCGACCUUCAGACUGUAAGUCUUUCUCUCUCCAAUAUUAUCUUGAAAAGGUACGAUCAUCAGACUGUGUUUAAAGUAUUGCAUCGAUUCAUUUUCAAAAAGGUAGUUAUUUUUGAAAUGGCUAUUUUUGCGGAAAAAGACAGUUAUUUUGAAAAGGCAUAUUUUUAUUUCCUUUGUGACGGUUCGUUUACUCUUCUUUUUAACCGAUUGUGCACUGUCGAUUUCUCUUCAUUUUUCUAUUCACUUUUCUCUCAAAAACCCUAGAAAGCAUCGAUCCUCAAUUCCCGUUUGUCUUCUUCGCUCAAUCUUCAAAAAGUUGUCAUCUUUUCUGGGAAAGUCAAGCAAUGAAUCUUCCAAACACUGAGAAAGAUGUCAUCUUCACGAAAGUCCUCAAGAAUCGCAAGCAGGGGACCACAGAGAAUGAGUGAGGGGCUUACGCACUUCGAUCUUACAGAGGAGGAAGAGAAUCCUGAACAGCAAGCGAGCCCACAACUUUCUCAGCAGCGUCAUUCUUCACCAUCUAGUCCUCAAGGAGAUGAUCAUCAGCAACAGGAAGAAAUCAUCGAGGAUGCAGACCCCGUAAGAGUUCAAAAGCCCGCUUUUAUUUACAAGCUUUAUCGUGCCUUAAAAGGAAUUCGUACUCCUUUGAACUAUGUUGAUGAGUUUCUUAGAGACAAAGGAUAUAGGAACGAAUAUAUCUUUCUGCGAAAAAUGGAAAGUAUGGGAAUCGCUCGUAAAGGGGUGGCUGAGGAAACCCUUGCAAAUAUCCCAAGUGAUCCUCGUGAUUGGGGACCGAAUCCUGUAGAUGGGAAUGACGAUGACAAUCUGUUCAGUCUAUUUCAACCGAAAAUGGGUAUUGCGACUGAAAUUCAAGGAAAAAGGGGAGAUUUGUUCAGAUCAAAGGAACAAAAGGAUUUGUACUCGAAACUGCUGAAGCGUGGGGUAAUAAACCCUAGAAGUGUGGACUUUGAUUUUCUGGAUGCUAUGAAAGUGAACUUGAGGGAAAAGUUCAGUUAUCUUCAACUUGAAAAGUUUUGCUCUGACUCAACUGAGGCCUAUGCUGGAUUAACUGCUUAUUUCUAUUCAAAUCUUAGCUUUUUGGAUGCGAAUAGAUUCUCUUUCAGCGUUAAAGAUCAAGACUAUGUUGUGGAUAUGGACAUGCUGGCAGAUGUGUUAGAAGUUGAGAGAGGCAGAUAUCAACCAAUCAAAGUUUCCAUUGCUGGGGCCACACUUGAACUGGUGAAGGACAGGAGAACAGAUGAGAAGAUCACCUACUCACGGAUGAAUGCAUUCAACAUCUUGCUCCACAAGAUUGUGAUCAAUUGCCUUCGGCCGAAAUCAACUUCCAAAACUGAUGUUUCAAGCUCUGAGGCAAAGUUGAUGUAUGCCAUCCUCUGUGGUAAGAAGUUUUCUCUCCCUCAUACUGUUAUGUUUCACAUGUAUAGAGCAGUGAUGAAGGACAGAGGUCAACUCCCUUACCCAAGCCUUGUUACAAAGUUAUUCAGACAUCUGAAUAUUUAGCCUCCGCAAAUCUUUUGUGUUCGAUCAUGCGAUCAUAUGGUGGUAGGACUGAAAAUGGUGACCAAAAUGCGUCUGAAGGAACUGAGCAAGGAAUUGGAGAAAUUCAAGGAGAAGACUCCUUCCAAAUCUCAUCAACUCUCUUCUGCUGCUAAGAGAAAAGGGAAGGAGCCCAUGGUUGCUUCAUCAAAGAGAAGAAGAGCUCUCCUUGUUGAGGAUGAAGAUGAUGACGAAGACAUCACUAUCUCUGCAUUGGCCUUGAAGAAUUUAGGUCGUCCUGUUCCACAGAAAGAAUCGGAACAAAAGACGAAAGAAGCAGAGGAGAAGGAAGAAGAAGAAAGAGAAGCAGAGGAGAAGGAAGAAGAAGAAACAGAAGCAGAGCAAGAAGCAGAGAAAGAAAGACCUGAAGAAGAAACAAGAAAAGAAGGAGAACCUGAGGAAAUCUUUUCUCCACCUGAAGGCAUGGAAACAGGGGGAGAUAAGGAGAAAGGAAUGACGUCUUCAUAUCCUGAUGCAAGUGAAGGAGUCAGUCGCUCGCCUGCAGACCCAGAAGAUGUUUAUGCAUCUCAAUUUCCAGAGGAAUGUCAUGAAGUGUCAUCGCCAAAUCUGCAAGACUAUGCUGAUCUACCAUCUUCUGCAGAUCGAGCCGAAGCAAGUACUCAGACUGAUAAUAGAGCAGAUUUUCGCAGAAUCAUGGAUAUUCUCUUGGAGAUGAAAGGUCAGAUUUAUGCCUUGGGAUGCGAAGUUCAAAGUUUGAAGACUGAAAGUCAAGCUUCUUCCUGUUCAUUGAAUGAUAAGAUGCAAGCCCUCUCUAUUCAGAAUCAGGCCAAUGCCAAGAGUGAGGAGGUUGUUUAGCUGAAGGAAGACUUUAAAAGGCUGGAAGGCAUCGUUCAGUCUAUGGAAGAUUUCCAGCUUGUCCGCAUUCCCAAGACUUCAUCUCAUCCUUUUUAAUGAUGACAAAAAGGAGGAGAGAUGCAUGAUUUGAUCAAAAACUUUCAAUCAUUUUUUUUUGAACUGUUUGUUGGAUUGUGUUGUUGUUUAACUAUUUUUAACAGACUUUGACUUUGUUUUGUGUCUAGAUAAGAUCUGAACUAGACUUGGACUUGACUGCUUCUAUUAACAAGUAUUGAUAUCUUAUGGAUGGUUUUAUUAUAUACAAGACUAACCUAUUUUCUGUGGUUGCAUAUUCUAGUGUUAAUCUUUUAGCCAUUCAUCUCUAUAAGAUAUGCAUAUGUGUUUGAGAAAUGUUUUGCAGGUCAAUGUUAUCCAAAUCUGCAGGAAGGUUUUGUCACCAUCAAAAAGGGGGAGAUUGUUGGAGAAAUCCUCGUGAAGUGUUUUGAAGUUGACAAAACGUUUCCAUCAAUUUAGUCUGAAGGUCAGCAGACUCUGUUAGUUAAAGUCUGAAGACUUCCGGACAGCCAGACUCAAGACUCAAAGUCUAUCCUCAUUGACUGUCUCUAAUCCGUUGAAGAAAGGUUAUCCAGAACUGGAUGUUUUGUUCAGGAUUUAUCCUUAUCAUCUGGAGAAGAUCUCGUGGCUGGAGAAGACGUAUCAGAAUCCUUUGAUUGAUCAAGAUUGAUUCAAUGACUGAAGAUUCGAUGAUUGUCUAAAUAUUAUUGGAAGGUUCUACUUAUGGAAACCAAGAUCCUGAUUGUAUGGGCGAACAGGAUUGAUGGGCUAUCAACACGUUCCUUUAAUAGCUCGAACAAACUUCCUAGAUGAUUCCGUCCAACGGGUAGAUUGGAGGAAUUCCUUUAGUAAGUGCCAACGGGUAUGAUGGCAUAAAUGAGUAUAUAAGGAAGACGUUCUUAGCUGUUUGAGGUGUGCGCGAUAGAAGAAUUCCAAAGUCUGAAGCUCCAAAUUGUUUAGACAAAUCCUUUGAGCGAAUACUUGUAUACAAAAGAGAGUCUAUAUUUGUGAGAGACCUUGAGGAGGUGUGGUAAAACAUCUACACUAUGGAAUCAAGGCAAAGCUGUGCUGUAACUUCUCUUUUGAUCAUAGUGAAAUCCAGCCGGUGGGCUGUCAGUGCGGAAGAGUGGACAUAGGCUUGGAAUAAGCCGAACCACUAUAAAUCCUAUGUUCAAUUUUCUCUUCCUUACUCUCUCUACCUCAAUCGUAUUUCAUUUCGUUAAUUAAGAGAGAAUUUACCUUCCAUCAUAUGUUAAGAAUCGCUUCCGUAUAUCGAUAAAGUAUUUAGGCACCUAUUCACCCCCUCUAGGUACUCAUACUAGCAAUAUCACCCAUGUGCUGUUCAUUAAUUGUUCACUAUUCAGCCAAAUAAUCCUCCUCUUUGCAUUGGUAAAUUUUCCCUGACUCCAUUUUAACAACUUUUUUUUCCACUAUCUGCAGUUUCUCAACCACAUUGAGCUGUUGGAAAUCGGAAGCAGCCCAAGUGUCCCUGACGAGGCUCACACAUUCCUCCUCCUCCGCCCAAAAGGCUUCAUACUUAAAGCUCUUCCUCUUCCUUUGUUUCGAUGGGCAAGUAGAUAGAAUAAUUGGAGUGUGGUCAGAGCCAAUGGCUGGUAUGGCUAUACAUUCUGCUAUAGGAUAUUUAAUACGCCAAUCUGAGUAACAUAAUACUCUAUCAAGACACUCCUUGACCAGAUUUUCUCCUUCUCUUUUGUUUGUCUAGGUGUAAGCACACCCUUUACAUUCCAUAUCCAGCAAAUAACAGUGGUUGAGGAAGUCCUUGAAGGCUGCAAGCCUCUAAUUUGCAGCUCUUUUCUUUCCCACUUUUUCCCAGUGAUAUAGGAUUUCAUUGAAGUCACCCAUACACAACCAUGGCAAGUGAUAACAUUGAGACUUUCUAUUAAUAUUCUCCCAUAAUAGAAUUUGCUCCUUAAAUUCAUUCAAAGCAUGUAUAAAUGAAAUGUGCAUACGUUGGUUGCUGGCUGGUAGAUGGCAUCGGGUGAUGAUAACAUGUUUCGUGAAAGAGUCUAUAGUUAAGAUUACCUCAUCAUCCCAAAAUAUUGCUAAACCCCGCUGUACCUUCUGGAUUCACUAUGAAACAAUGCUGAAAGUGGAGUCUCCGCCUCAAUCUUAACACCUUAUGCUCCUGAUUUUUAAUUUCCAUAAUAAAUAUAAUAUUGGGCCUUUCUUGAGUCGUUAAAACCCUUAAAGCUUGAACUGUCAAGGGAGUGCCCAGCCCUUGACAAUUCCAGCUUAAUAUCUUCAUGGAUGAGUUGGUGGCUUAUUAGGGCUAGCCACCAGAGCCCACUGAGCAGACUUGUUCGCCACACGAAUAGGGGUCUCAACCAGCUGAGUAGUGUCAACCAUUACUGUUUUUUUAUGAUUGUGCACCAUAUGUGCAGAAUCUUUUUUCUUUUUUUGAGGAAGACAAUUUAGCGCUUCUUGUUUUCUCCCUUGUUAGGCCUUUUUCCCUAGCUAUAUUCUCCGCCAUUUCUUCUUCAGCUUCUUUUAACUGUUCUUGAUAUAUCACCAUGACAGAUUCAUCAUCAAGGCAAUUGCUACCUCGCUUCUGGGGGCCCUUCUCUUUGAAGAGUACUAAUUCUUGUGAAGAAAAUGUGGGGUUACCUUCCUUUGAGUUUAGGUUUUCGACAUUGCUCAGUUCACCAAGUUGUUGGGUUUGCUGCAUUACAUUUUGCUGUUGUUCUAGUUUAGGGACCUACUGAAUGGGAGUUUCUGGCACACUUUCCUCCUCCUCUGGCUGUAGUUCUUAUUUGCCAUAGAAAAUUUUUCCAUAUGGACUAAGCUCCCGCGCCUCUGCUCGAAGCCAAUGUCCAAAACGACCUGGUAAGUUCUUUGCUAGCCUUGACUCCUCAUAUGGUAUUUCUUGACAAUAAGUUGCAUAGUGCCUAAUCCUACCACAUGAAUAACAAUAAUGUGGGAGCCUUUCGUACUUAAACUCUACCCACAAUCUUUUUCUGUCAAGAUUCACAAGUACACCGGUUUUGAGGGGGUUUUCCAAAUUCAACUUUACUCUAGCCCUGCCAAUCUUGUAGUUGAUGUUCCCUUUCGCUUCUAACUUUACAUCUACUACAUCUCCGAUUUUGGAUGCUAUUUCCCUGACUACUGCAUCUGUUACUCUCCCGAUGGGUAAGCCAAAGAAAUUUACCCAUAAGUCAUAGUGGUUAAAUUCAUAGCAAAUAUCAGGGGUGUCAGGGUCACAUUGCUUUAAGACUAGUAAAUUACUCCCAAAGGACCACGGCCCUGAAUCGAACACUCGCUGUUUUUCAGCCUCCAACUAGAAAGAAAACGAGAAGUAUCCAAGCUCAACGACAGCACAAGUAAAAGUUUCAUUUUGCCAGGCUUUUUUCAUUAUGCCGAUAAAUGCAUUAAAGUUUGUGGUAGGCUUAUUAAAAAAAACUUCCCAAACAGAGUUUUUCGGCAUGUUUGCAGGUUUUCCUCAAGAAUGUCACCUGUAAUAUCUACAACAUCUUCCUCUGACAAGAGAUUGCCCAAACUCUUACAGAGGGCAUCUUCUUGUAUACAGGAACAUAAUCGAAAUAGAGUAUUAAAGCUGGCCUGAUAGAUUGUGGAACCACUAAAUGCGGGAUGAUGAAAUCCUAUGUGAUUGAAGGGAGCUCUGGGUUUGCAGGUGAAGACAGAUGGAAAUUAGCACCAGCUGGUUGAUUAUGGUGGUCUUGGAAAUUUCUCGCUGAAGAACCGGACCGUACGCUCGAAAUAAGAGCUGUGAUGUGAUUUAGGGCACCGCUUGUGAGCUAAUAGAGGGCUUUGUUGGUAGAGAAGGAGGAAUGGGGUUAGGGUUUUCUACCCAUCCUUUUAAAUCAAAUCUGUGGUAUUGGGAAGGAAGAGGGUGGAAUGCAGUAGUGAUGGGUGGUGAGGAUGCAAUUCAACAGUGGGAAAACCUACCCGAAAGGUAGGAGAAGACUACUCAGGCGGUAGAGCAACAGCUCUUUCUUCGCCAGCUGUACAAAAGGCCAAAAAAUAUAAUUGGGUUUCACCAGCAAUGAUGCACCUAACGUAGCUUUAUUCUCUCUCUCUCUCUCUCUCUCUCUCUCUCUCUCUCUCUCUCUCUCUCUCUCUCUCUCUCUCUCUCUCUCUCUACUGCGGCUACUCUUUCUUUGCUAACUAUACAGAAGGUCAAAAAAUAUAAUUGAGUUUUACCAGCAAUUAUGCACCUAAGUAGCUUUGUCCUUCGGUUUGAUGAUAAGGAGCAACCCAUCUUUGUUGACCUCACUCCAAUCAGUGUCGGCGAAAUAGGUAUACUCACUCCAAGUCCUUCAUCUGUUGGACUUUCCAUUCCAGAGCAUCAGCGUUAGCAUCGUCCUCCGCUCCCAACUGUUAAGACUACAAUAAAUAGCAGUAGCUCAGCCACUAAUAAUGCCACCAAGAACAGGAGGAGAAAGCAUAUGAGGAAGAAGUAGAAUGUAUAAAUGCUGCCGAGAAGUGUACAGGAAGAAGAACCACUGUUAAAAACAAAGAAAGAAAAGAAGAUAAAGAUAAGGGUGAUGCUACGGAUUGUAUUAUUGCAUAUGAAUAAUCUGCGAAGCUUGUGAAGCCAAGAGUUCUCUCUCUCUCUCUCUCUCUCUCUCUCUCUCUCUCUCUCUCUCUCUCUCUCUCUCUCUCUCUAAGCUAGAGCUCUCUGUUUAGCACUCUAUUCUUGUACUUUGUUUCUUCUUUGUUUUUCCGGUAAUCAGUUAGUUUUUCUCUUCAAUUAGGUAGUUGUAUUUUCUUCAACUGUUCAAUACAUGUAGAACAGAUUCUUGAGAGAGAGCUAACGUAGAUAUAAAAGGAAAACUCUCCUGAUGUAGUUUUCGUGAAGUUGAAAUAACAGAAAAAGCAUUUUCAUCUCUGUUUUCUCUCAUUUUCUCUCCAUCACUUCCUGCUCAUAAACUUCUUCAUGGUAUCAGAGCCAUGCAUCCUGAAGAAGUCAUCUCGAUGCUACAUAAAAAUGGCUGAAUCUACAGCAGAUUGAAGUCAAAUUCAAAGCUUCAUUGAUCUAUGAGACAUCUAUAUCUUCCAACAAAUCUGUGAGUUGGUAUUUCUCAUCUACAUCUAAAUCUUCAUCAUCAGAAAUAUACUCGUAGCAACAUACUGCAAAACUAGUAGAGUUUGUGUUUGCAACUAAAGUUGUUCGAAGAUCUGGAAGAGUAGAAUGGCAACAAGAAGUUUGAGAUAUCCAUUUCCUAUUCAUGUCAAUAUCUCAAAUUUUGUUACCAUCAAAUUAACUGAGGAUAAUUUCCUUCUGUGGCAAGCCCAAUUUCAUAGGUUCUUAAGAAGUCAAGACCUAUUUGGUUUUGUUAAUGGAGAAGUUCCACCACCUGCUAAAACAUUGCAGGUCCGAGAAGGAGGUCACACUACUGAGGUUUCUAAUCCCGAUUAUAAUGAUUGGAUCAAGACAGAUUAGCUUGUAUCCUCUUGAAUUAUUGGUGCUGUUUCAGAAAACAUACUCAGUUUGAUAAUUGGCUUAAACACUACAUAUGAAGUUUGGCAGACUUUGCUCAAUCGGUUUACACAAAAAUCUAUGGCAAAGGAGUCUGAGUUAAGGGGAAAACUGCAAGCUUGUUAGAAGCGUGAUAGAACAUUAUCAACAUAUCUCAAAGAGUAUAAAUCAAUAUGUGAUCAAUUGAAUGCAAUAGGGAAACCAGUGGAUGAAAUAACAAGAUUGUUUGGUGUUUUGGAAGGUCUGGGGUAUGAGUAUGAGAGCUUUAAAACAACAAUUUACUGUUUAAAGCCUCAAUAGAAUAUGACAAAGUAAUCUCACAUUUAGAAAGAUUUGAAACAAGGCUACAAAACUAUUCUUCGAAUCAGUUCAGUCCAAAUCUAGCCUACUAUGGCCAGAGGAAGACUGAAGUUAUACACAAAGAAGAGUUUAACAGAGAUUUUGUACAACAGAAUAAUAGCCUUGGAAGUUCAAGAGAGAAUAGUCGUGGAGGAAGAAAUUAUGGAAGAGGAAGGUCAUUCAAUAACAGAUAUAGAAACUUUAGAUAUCCUAGAAGAAGUAUGAAUUACAGAAAUAAUAGUUUGAACUAUGAACAGGGAAGUCAGCAGCUUAAGUAGUUUAAUACCUCCUCUACUUUGGGUUUUGGUCAGGGAUUCAGACCAUAUAAUGGCUUAGCACAAAGGUAUUCAGAUACCAAGACCUAUCCAUCUUCAAAUUUAACUCUUCAUAAAAAUAUGCAGGUGGAGAAAACAACAGAAAACACUCGACUGGAGUGUCAAAUCUACAGAAGACCUGGUCAUGAUGCAUUACACUGUUGGUAUCGAUUUGAUAAUUCCUACCAAGCUGAGGAGAUACCAACAGCUUUAUCAACACUACAUAUUAAGAAGCAAAUGGUAAUGAAUGGUAUCUAGACACUGGAGCAACAACUCACAGUACUGCUAAUGCUGGUAUUCUUCAUAACUUUUCUAAGAAUGCUGGUACUGAUACAGUCAUGAUUGGCAAUGGUUCAUGCUUACUUGUUAAAUACAUUGGUAAUGCAUUGCUGAAUACUGCUACUGAUGUCUUACCUCUAAAUGAUGUGUUGAUUGUUCCAGAAAUUAAGAAAAACCUUCUUUCAGUUUCUAAACUAACAGAUGAUUAUCCAUGUUCAUUUGUCUUUGAAAAAACUGGGGUGUACAUAAAGGACAGCAUCACCAACACAACCAAGAUGCUAGGAAGGAAGGUUAAAGGACUUUACAGAGUAGAUCCUUAUGCUGCAGAGGUCUUCUUCACUCAAAGACAAAGGAUUGCUGGAGAGAAUGUCUAGCAUCAACGUCUAGCUCAUACAAAUCAAAAUAUCCUGAAGCAUAUGAAGAAUCAAAAGCUAAUUCAGUGCCAUAUAGAACCACAAUUUGUAUGUAGAAGUUGUCAACUAGCUAAGAGUACUGCUCUACCUUUCCCAUUGUCGAAUUCUACAACUACUAAACCCCUAGAACGAAUUCAUUGUGAUAUCUGGGGACCUUCUCCAAUUAACUCUUUUCAGAAUUUCAAGUACUAUGUCAUUUUUGUUGACAACUUCUCUCGGUUCAGUUGGAUCUAUCCAUUGAAGCUAAAAUCAGACUUUUAUGAUAUUUUUCUCAUGUUUCAGGGACUAGUAGAAAACCAACUCAACUGUAAGAUCAAGAUUUUCCAAUGUGAUGGUGGAGGAGAGUUUAUCAGUCACAAGUUCAGAACUCACUUACAAAACUGUGGCAUUCAACAGCAUGUCUCCUGUCCAUAUACACCUUAACAGAAUGGAAUAUCUAAAAGAAAACAUUGUCAUAUAGUUGAACUUGGUCUGGCUAUACUGUAUCAUGCAAAACUCCCAUUAAAAUUCCGGGUUGAUGCAUUUGUGACAUCUAAUUAUAUUGUCAAUAUUCUUCCCACUCCAAAGUUAAAGAUGCAGUCUUCCUUUAGCAAGUUAUAUCAGCAUAAGCCAAGAUAUGAUCAUCUCAGAGUUUUUGGGUGUGCUUGCUAUCCCUGCCUUCGACCCUAUGCACAACACAAGCUUGAUCCACGAUCCCUUACCUGUGUUUUUCUAGGAUACAAUACUCACCAUAAGGGAUAUCGAUGCCUUGUUCCUACCACUGGUCAUGUGUACAUCAGUCGACAUGUGGUAUUUGAUGAGACCUUCUUUCCUUUCUCUCAGAAAUUAGCAACAACUUAUUCAACUUACACACAUUUGUAUAAGCUAUGGACAGAAGAAGAGAAAUUUUUACAACCUUCCAGUACAAAUUACAUAAACACUUCAUUAUCUCAUCAUACAGGUUAUGUACAAGACCCUACAGUUGAGCAAACAGUUGAACAAAUAAUCUCUACUAGUUCUACAGAACCAGCAGUUCCUGUUUCUACAAAUAAAUUACCUAUGGAUCAAGCUUCUUCUACUUCUCAAAAUAUUUCACAACAAGUAGAAAUACAUGGUUCCACAACAGAGACAACAGCUGAACCAGAUAUGGAACAAGCUGUUCAAACAGCCUUACAAGGUACACUAUCUACUCAACCUAUGUAAACUAGAUCUAAAUCUAGCAUCAUCAAGAUCAAUCCUCGAUAUGCAUGCCUUACUGAAUAUCGAGUUCCCCCAGACCAAAGUCAAUAAAAUUUGCUCUAGCAAAUCCAAGAUGGCAUCAGGCAAUGCAAGAGGAAAUGGAUGCUUUACAUCAAAAUCAAACUUGGUUAUUAGUUCCCCGUACCAAUGACAUGAAUGUUGUAGGCUGUAAAUGGGUGUUCAAGACUAAAUUUACAUCAGAUGGCAGCCUCAAUCGAUUGAAGGCUCGACUAGUAGCUAAGGGGUUUCAUCAGGAAGAAGGAAUAGAUUUCACAGAAACCUUUAAUCCUGUUAUUAAGCAUGCCACUGUUCGAAUUAUACUCUCGGUGGCAAUAAUAAAACACUGGUCUAUACAUCAACUUGAUGUCAAGAAUGCCUUUUUGCAUGGCACCUUAAAUGAAACAGUUUACAUGGAGCAACCCCCUGGCUUUGUACAUCCACAGUACUCUCAGUAUGUUUGUCUUCUUCAAAAAUCACUUUAUGGACUACAGCAAGCACCGCGUGCUUGGUAUGACAAGUUCAGUAAUUUUUUACUUGAAGCUGGUUUUUUCUGCAGCUCAAUUGAUCCUUCUUUGUUCAUACUUCAUAAAGGUCAAGAGACAUUACUUCUAUUGCUAUAUGUUGACGAUAUAAUCCUGACUGGUAGCUCAGAUAAGUUGCUGCAGACAGACACUUAUUCACUCCCUCAGUAUUCAAUUCCAUAUGAAAGACCUUGGCCACCUCCAUUAUUUUCUUGGAAUUGAAGCUACACGAACAUCCACUAAGUUAUUUUUGUGUCAAACCAAAUAUGCUCUUGACUUACUCUCUCGUGCACAUAUGUCUGACUGCAAACCUAUUGCCACACCUCUUUCUCUUAAACCAGUCACACUAAAAACAAAUGCUGAUCUUCUUCCAAAUCCCAUAGACUACAGAAGCUUAGUAGGUGGUGUGACAUCCUGAAAUUCGACCCCGUUUCGAUAAAAUGAAAUGUGCAUAUCGUCGGCGCGCCUAUGGUCCUUUUUCUCUGAGCUGAUCACUCACGAGUUAGCCAACCUAUUGGGUGAAGCCGUUAAGGGAUAUAACCGUGGUAAAAUCCCUAAAAGCUACCUAAUUGGUUGGAUUGGACUAAAAUCGCGUCCGGUCGAUUUUAAUCAUGAAAUUUAAUUCGGUCUCGGGAAAUCGAAUAUUCGAGCGUGUCACAAUUCAUUUUUAGGACCGUCUCAUCGUCUGUCAAUUUAUUGACGAGUCCGAAAUUUCAAUAAAGAAAUUAUCGGGGGAUCAAUCGAAGAUCAAAAGAAAAUAGAAAGGAAAAGGAAAAGAGAAAAGGAAAAUUGAAAUAAAGAAUUAUGCAUUUCCUUUUUUCUUUUUCCUCUCUCUCCCUCUCUUUUCUUUUCUUUCUUUUUCUCUCUUUUCUUUCUCUCUCCUCUCCCCUCUCCCCUCCCCCUCGUGCAAAUUGCCCCCCACCGCUCACUUUCUCUCCCUCUUUUAUUGACCGGUCAACCCUUAUCUCUAUCUUCUCUCUCUCUUCUCUCUCCUCUCUCUCUUUCGCACUCUCUUCUCCCCCUUCUGUUCGAGCGAACCAUGAGCCGAAGGAAGACGAGAAACCAGAAGCUGCAGCCCCGUCGCCGCCCGUCCCGCCGCCGCACCGCCGCCCGCGCCGCACCCGUGCGCCCGCCGCUCACCGCCGUCCCGCCGUCCGCGCACGCCCAGGCCGCGCGAUCCAGCCGCGACCCAACUCUGUUCGCUCCUGUUCCAACCAUCUCCGGCCACCUCCGGCCACCGCCUAGCCCCGCCGGAGCUCCCCUGCGACCCCCUCACCCUCCGCCGGCUUCCCCUCGCCGCCCUAGCCGCCGAAGCAGCCUCGAUCGGCUCCGUUCAGCAGACCCACGAAGUGGGUUUCCAGCACUUCGGGCCCGCUUUUGGGCCGUUUCCUGGCCCCGAACCCGAGCCGUGCUUUGGAGUUUGUUGUUCCUCGUGCCGCCGCCGUCGGAUUGAUCCGAUUUGCGCGCGAUUUGGUGAGUAAUCUCACUAAUCCCUGAUUAGUUGGCUAAUUAUGCUUAGGGUUGGUUUAAAUUUAAUUAAUUAUGUUUAGGUUGUUAGAUUAGAAUUAAUUAGUAAUUAUUAGUCAAUUGUGAUGCGAUUUAGAUAAAUUGAUUGUGUAAUUAACAAGUAGACAUGGUCUACUAAUUAUUGGAAGUGCCUCGGGAUUUUUCCCGACCCUUAGUGGGCUCCAAUUAGGCUUUUCGGGCCUAAGUGGAAUUUUUAGUAUUUAAAUAUUAAUUUUCGGAAUUAAAUUAAAUAAUUAUUUAUUUUCCGAAAAUUCAACGGAGAUGGUCUGGAACCGGAAAAUUAUGCUAAUGACCGUGGUGAAGUCCGUUUAUUUGAUCGGGCUUUAUUUUGAGCUAAAUUGAAUUUUUAAUAUUAAUUAUUUAAUUUUCGAAAUUAAUAAAUUAAUUAAUUAUUUUUCGGAAAUUAAGAUUUUGAUGGCCGACGACCGAAAUCUCGUGCUGAUGGUCGUGGCGUAGUCCGUUUAUUUAUUUGAGCUCUACGUUGUAUGGAAUUGAAUAAAUUGUGAUAUUUUAGGGAUUUACCCUAAAUUGAUUGGAAUUGAUUGAGAUUGAAUUGUUGAUUGGUAAAUGGCCAAGUAUGUUAUUCAGCAUUUAUAUUGCUUUGUUGAGUUGAUUUAAUUAUUUGAUUGAGAAAUCGUUGGGCAUUGGUUGUCAGUAUUGAAAGUAGAUUGGUAAUCGCUUAAAAGAGGACACGUGGGCUCGGUGAAUUGGAAUGUCACCUGGAGAAUGCACGUGAGUUCAGUGGUUGAAUAUUUCACCUUGGCGAAAAGGUCGCCUGAGAGAAUGCACGUGGCUUGGAGACUUGAUAUGUCCUCCUUGAGAAUGCACGUGGCUUGGUGACAGAGUUUGGCAUCUAAAAGGGCACGUGGCUCGGUGAUCUGAUGCGUCACUUUGGUAAGCGAGUACCUUAGAGAAUGCACGUGGGCCCAACAUUCCGGAAUGGCAUCUAAAAGGGCACGUGGCUCGGUGACUUGAUGCAUCACUUUGGUGAGAUGCACCUAAGAGAAUGCACGUGGACCCAGGCAUCUAAAACGGCACGUGGGCUCGGUGACUUGAUGCAUCACUUUGGUGAAAUGCACCUAAGAGAAUGCACGUGAGCCCAGGCAUCUAAAAGGACACGUGGCUCGGUGGCUUGAUGUACCACCUUGGCGAAGAGGUCGCCUUAGAGAAUGCACGUGGGUCCGAGGUUCGAGGCACGUGAACUCGGAGACCUGGAAUGUCUUCCUAGAGAAUGCACGUGGCCUAGCUUGUAAAUAUCCCACAGUGGGGAUUGAUUAGUAUGACAUGUAAUCGACUAGUUCGAUUUAUUUGAAGUGAAUGGGUGUUUAUUGUGAAUUGUACUGACUUGCAGGUGGAAUCUGAGGCCAAGGUAAGUCAUCUGCCCUGUGCGUGUUUAGGCAGCCUUUAGUAUAAUGGUUUACUAAUCGGGCUUAGUGGGGUAGAACUCGCUGAGACAUAGUCUCAUCCCAGUUUGGGGAAAAACAUUUCAGGACCCCAUUGAGGAGCUGAGGAGGAAUCUAAGAAGGAGAACUCGGAGGUGAAACCUGAGUAGAAGGAUUUUUGGAAGAAGAAGAUAAUACCGAGAGAGAUUUUGAGUAUGACCUGAAGGGAUUGAGAUUUUAUCUUCUUUGAUAUCUCCAUUUUGAUGUGAAUAGAGUUUGGAAUAAAAAUUUGUGAAGUGUUUGGGUUUGUGUUUUGUAUAAAAGUUUGGUUAUAAGUUUCAAUAUGAAAAAUAUGGCCCUGCUUUUCUAUCCCAUUGUUUUAUUGUCUGGGGAUUUUAACUGCUUCCGCAUGUGCUUAAUAAAUGAAAGGGUCGGUGAUACAUUGUCCUGGGAUAUCACAUUAUAAAAUCGACCAAGAGUUGAAGGAUGUGCGCGUGCCCGAGGAUCGGGACGUGACAGGUGGCUUACAAUAUCUCACUAUCACUCGUCCUGAUCUUGCAUUUGCAACAAAUAUCUUGUGUCAGAAAAUGCAACAACCCACUGUUGGUGACUUCCUUAAACUGAAGAGAGUACUUCGUUAUGUAAAAGUAACAAUUCACCUUGGCAUCUAUCUUCACUCUCGAAGUUCUCUCAAUUUAUAUGGUUUUUCUGAUGUAGAUUGGGCUGGUUGUGUUCAAACUAGAUGAUCUACCACAGGUUUCUGUACUUAUCUCGGCUCUAAUCUCAUCUCAUGGGCAGCCAAGGAACAAACAACUAUUUUCGUUCUUCCACUGAAGUAGAAUAUAGAGCACUUGCUUCGGCAACAACUGAUCUUACUUCGAUCACUUUUGUUCUAAGAGAUAUUAGCCUUCCUCUACACUCUCCAACCUUACUAUUUUGUGAUAAUCAAUCUGCAAUAUCCCUCACAGCUAAUCCUAUACUUCAUGCUCGAACAAAACAUAUUGAGGUUGAUUUUCACUUUGUUCGAGAAAAAGUUGCCUCUAGAUCCUUGUGUGUUAGAUAUAUUCCCAGCAACAAUCAAAUUGUUGAUAUUUUACAAAGUCUUUAUCCAGACUAACACAUUCUUCUCUUUGUCUCAAAUUAGGAAUUGGCUGUUCACCCUUGCCCAAUUUGCGGGGGGAUGUUAAGACUACAGUAAAUAGCAGCAGCUCAGCCACUAAUAAUGCCAUCAAGAACAGGAGGAGGAAAGCAUAUGAGGAAGAAGCAUAAUUUAUAAAUGCUGCCGAGAAGUGUAUAGGAAGAAGAACCACUAUUAAAAACAGAGAAAGAUAAGAAGAUAAAGAUAAGGGUGAUGCUACGGAUUGUAUUGUUGCAUAUGAAUACUCUGCGAAGCUUGUAAAGCCAAGAGCUCUCUCUUUCUCUCUCUCUCUCUCUCUCUCUCUCUCUGAGCUGGAGCUCUCUGUUUAGCACUCUGUUCUUGUACUCUAUUUCUUCUUUGUUUUUUCGGUAAUCAGUUAGUUUUUCUCUUCAGUUAGGUAGUUGUAUCUUCUUCAACUGUUCAAUACCUGUAGAACAGAUUCUUGAGAGAGAGCUAAUGUAGAUAUAAAAGGAAAACUCUCAUGAUGUAGAUUUCGUGAAGUUGAAAUAACAGAAGAAGCAUUUUCAUCUCUAUUUUCUCUCAUUUUCUCUCCAUCACUUCCUGCUCAUAAACUUCUUCACCAACACCAUAUUUUUCUUCUCAAGUCCAACCUUUCUUUACUCUUCCGGUUUUCUUGCUUUGAUCUCUUGACUCAUGGCUUCUGUCCUAUGAUAUGCUUCAUGUGCUUCCAUGUUCUGUUAGAUCUGGGUUUUGGGUUUGGCGACGGUUUUCCUGUCUUAUGGGAUCGGACUCUUUUAAGGAUACUCGAACAUCAUAGUUUUGUUGCUUUCUGAACUAUGCAUGUACAUUCAAACAUCACAUGGCUUUUUGCAAUUGCAUUUAGCUUGAUAUAAGAAUGUUUAAUUCUUUGGAUUAGCUAACUUUGAUCUGCAUUUGGUUUCUGCUAAUUCUGCCUCACCCCCAGCUUCUAGAUUGCCCUGAGAAAUCUGGUCAUCUUUAGUUUGUUGUGAGCAUAAUUUGAAUUUGCAGCCCACCCAAAAGAGAAAACCUUACGUGUUCAGAGUGAAAAUUCUAAGUCAAUUAAAGUGAGAAUUUGCAGACUAUCAAGAAAAGUGCUAUUAAGUUAUAAAUAAGUCAUAUGGAAAUCAGGUAAUACUUUUUUUUUUUUUAUCAAUAACUUUUUAACACUUACCAAUUCUUUCAGGAAUUUAUCCGCAUGAAAAAUAUCCGUUUGUUUUAAAAUGGAGUAAGUAAAGUCGUCCCUGUGACGUAUGAGAGUUAAUGCAUUUUUAACAAUUUGCGUCUGGAUGGCCUCUUCACUAAACAAGAGGUCUUCUUGUAAAUGGCGUAAUUAUGACUUUUUGGGUGUUGAAUUGUCGUGAUCAUAAUUAUUAUUACUUUUUUGACCAAGAUCAUGUGUUCUCCGUUAGUCCAAUUCUAAGGAAAUUUGUUACCCUCGUAACAGUGGGGUGAAUUUUAUUUUAUUUUUUUGGAUAUCCAGGAUCUGCCAGAGCCUGUGGGGUGAAUUGAUUUUUCAAGAUAUUAAAAAUCAAUUUUGUAAAACCUACCCCUAUAAAAAUUGUGCUUCUACUACCAAGUAUACUAGCAAUUUAAACAGGACAAAACUAAAAAGUUUAGAAAAAGAAAAAUUGCAAAAUGAGAAUUAUGAAAGUUCAAUUCGGGUAUACAUACUCCUCUUUCUAGCUCUAAUAGCCCAAAUAGACUGAACUCUACUAGCUAUGCCAAGAGUACAAAUACCAUCUUGUUUAGAAAAGUACUCAAUCGGUCUUAAACUUUUCAAUUUUGCCAAUUUAAUCUUAAAUAUUUGUAUAAAAUUCCAAUAUAUUCCUUUCAGUUAUUUUUCGCUGGAAAUUUCUAACGUGACAUCAUCGUUGGCCGUCCUCUGUAGCAUACCACUAUGCCCACGAUUUUCAGCUAAAAUUGGCGAAAAUAUUAGAUUGAAAUUUCACACGAAAGUCUAGUUGAUAACCAAAUUAGUAUCCAUGCAAUAAGUCUAGGAUUGAUUAGACAAUUACUUGUUACAAGUGUAGAAUUUGCUGCCACGGAGAACUUGACUUCCUUCUACAGCAAUCCCGCUAUACACUGAGUAACUUUUGGACCCUCCAAUAGCCAUUCUCACAUCUUGUUCACACGAUAUAAAGGUCCUUUUCUAAAUUAUAAACCACACCUCCGACUGUUUACAAAGAGUCCAUUAUACAUUUUAUCUCUUGCCUAGAUACAUAGUGUUCACUCUAAGUAUGUAAAACCACCCUUUUCAUAUGUUUACGAAUGGGUUUGUCCCUCUUGCUAAUAAUUAGACACAACACUAAAAUGGGUAUUACAAGUUUACGAAAGACACGAACUCAAAAGUCCCCCAAUAAUACUUAAAUUCUCUUGUAGUAGUUAUAUCUAUCUAAUCUUCAAUUAAAAAAGAAAAAUCUCAGCAAAAUUCCUUAAAAACACAUGUAUAAAACCUUGUUACAAUCUAGGCCAUCAAUCUGAUCUUCUAUUAAUGCAGGUUUUAAUCAUAUUGUUUCGCCAACCUUCUGAGCGAAUUAGUUCCUUUUUUUUUUUUUGCAUAACUACUCUUGGGAUGUCACAUUUUAUUGCUAUGACUUGGGGCUUUGAUUUAGGAACUCCAAUAGUCAUUAAAUUUAUCCAUGGAGAGCGCCUGCUAAAAAAAUCUGACUGCUUUGCAUAACCUAGUUUGGUUCUACACCUUUCCUCCAGCAGCUUUCCUAACAUAGUAAAACCUUACUUAUGUACUUGUAAAAUCCGAACCAAGCUUCUGUAUGGUUUAAACAUGAACAUUUGCACACUUAAAUGAAUUCUUUAAAUCCUUGGGUUAAAUUUUGAUAUUAUCAUAAUCUUUUUAGUAUAUUUUCCAAGCAGUUUCACCAUUUUCAACAAUGACAAACCUAUACCAUUCCUUCAAUAAGAGUGAGUUAUGCACAUAAGCAUGCAUAUUCUGCAAAACUAUCUGACUGUAAAACCAGAGAUGAUUCAUGCAUGCUUCCACAUGCGACAUUUUAAUAGACCAUAUAAAUAUGUCUGCAAAACAUAAUAAACUCCCCUUAAUAUGUACACAUAGUGCGAUUCUCCCCCUGAGUAUGUGCUUCUCCCCCUUCUUGUUUCUUAAAAAAGCAUUAACAUCAGAUGCCCAGGGAUGAAAACCAUAUAAGCAAAAGCAUUCAUUUAUUUAUAUAUAAGAGUGUUCUACAAAGCAUAUUCCGGAAAAAUUAAUAUAAAGGAAAGUGAACACUAACCAAAAGGAUCACAAACACCGAUUUCAUCCAUCAAGCUAGAAACGUAUUGUUAUCAAGAGGUCUAUUCAGAAUAUGAGAGAAUUGCAAAUCGAUGCUAACAAAUCCUUUUCAUUGAUUCAUGUUGUGCUGUGGCUGCCAUAAUUAAAUAAAUAAAUAAAUAAAAGAAUCAUAUGAAAGAGUCUCUCUUCUUGAAGUUUGACCUAGUUCAGAGUUCCUCGAAAUGGAAGCCACCCCCGUUAAUUAGCACAAUUAAAUAUUUUAUUAGAAAUCCAAAAUUUAGGCAGUUGAAUACUUGGCCAAUUUUUAAGACAGUGUGACUCUAAAAAUUGUGCUCGUAUUCAACUGAAACACAAUUACUAAAGAAAGACUUACCGAUUGCUUAACAAUGUUGCAAUUACACUUUUUUUCAAAUCCUUACAUUAAGGAUGACACGUCCUUAUAUCUCAAUAAGGGCCAUUGACUUAACUAAGACAUUUUAUCUGUUCCCUUUUUGCUGAUCAAUAUGUCAUGAGGUUUGGUACACAACUAACUAUACUAUUAUAAAUAAUUUGAUUCUGUUGAAUACUCAAAACACAUAAAUCUGACUAAUUGGAGUUUGAAUUACUGAAACUGCGACAACAAUUGAGUAGAAAUGUAAAAGAGACUUAGGGUUGAUGCCUGAUUAUAUAUCGAAAUACCAUGGGUUUGACAUAUAGACCUCCUUUUCAAAGCCCCGUAUGCUAUUGGAAAUAUGUAUACGUAUUAGGAGCAUUUUGUGGGCUACUACAUGGUGCACUUGUUUUAUAUUUAAAGUUUCAAUGGGUCAGUUUUGUCUACUAGUAACAUUCUCCUCCAAUCAUACUUUCAGUUAACAGGUCAAAGAUUAUGGACAUUAUCAAUAUGAAAAUUUAAUCAAAAUCAAAUACGAGUGAUGUUAAUAUUUGUGUGAUCCAUCAAUGAAAGUUAUGGCUAAAAAGAGUUCAUCCAGCUAGAGCGUUACAUGUGCAAAUAGAGAUAAAAUAAAUUUAGAAUUCUAUCUGUGAGCUUUUACAUCAUUGACUAUGGUUGCUAACAAGCAUUUUCAUUGCAAAAUUUGACAACAUUUUUGGAUGGCUUUUGGAUUAUUGAUGUUGAUUACAUAAUUCUGUCGUAAUUCAGUUUUAUCACGUUCAGAUUUAGUUUUCUUACAUUUAUUUGAAUCUAAGUUACUAUUAUUGCACAUGAUUGUUGACAUCUGAAUUUCGCUAUUUUACUUAAGACUUAAUAGCAUUAAAAUUUAGGAAUAAGUCGCUAAAAAAAAUUGAUUUUUUUUAAAAAAAAAAAAAAAGAAGAGAGAAGAAGAAAAAACCUUAGGGGUCGGGCCGGAUCCGACCUUUGCCCAGCCCGCCGCCUUCCUCUUCUUUUCCCCCCGCGCGGCCCAAUCUCUUUUCCUUUCGGCACGCCCGCACCCCAGCUGUCUUCCUUGUCCUGUCUUCGCGCGCAAACCUGCAGAGGAGGACAGACAGCACGCGACCAGGCGGGACCGGCAGAAAGAAAAGACAGGGUAAAGCAGAGAGUAGGAGGAGGGGCAGAAAGAAAGUGGAGCAACCAGAGAAAGAAAAACAGAGGGAGAGAGCUCGAGAGGGAGGAAGAGAACCGGAGAGGAGGAGGGGAGUCUCCGGCACUGUCGCCACCGCUGCCGAUGCGUCUCCUAGCCGCCGACAUUUAUGAACAUUGAUCAAAUCCAACAAUUUUCUAAAAUUUAUUUGAAAGGCAAUUGCAUAAAAAUCGACAAGAAGUAAAAUGUCAAAAGGGUACUGACCUUCUUAUGACUCGUGCUCCUUUCUCAAGUUAUAAUUUUAUGCUCUUUUGCCUGGUGAUCUCGUCCUAUCCAUUCUAAAAAGGAAAAGAAACAACAAAUUUAUUGAGAUGUGUGAAAAUAUAAUAACAAAAAUGAAACAAAUUAUGCAGAUUCAUAAUAUUCAUGCCGAGAUAGCAAAAAAUUCACAAUCACAUCUAGAAAAAAGCAAGUUCGUUCAAUAAUUCAUAUGCUUCAUAAUUGUGAUCGAGGAAAGCGAACAUUAAAAUUAAGCCAAAUUUAUUCAAGACCACAUCCCGGAGGAAACAACCAACAACUACAUGCCACAUUUGACAUUUUCCUUUAAAAAUAAUGACAGCAAACUCCCAAAAAAUGAUGAGAAAUGAAUAGAAUAUCUAUGAACUAUUUUAGCAACCAAUAUGCCCUCAAACAAUGUCAUGACCCAACUAAAUCACAUCUAACCCAGAAUAUCCAGCAACUACCAUUGCAAAUGACCUAUGGUAAGGUGUUAGUCUUUAUUUACUUUUAUCUGUUUCUAUUUGCUAAAAAACGUUUGGUUUUGCUAAACGUUGGAGCACCACUACUGUUGACAUCUCCUUCUAUAAUUGCAGUUGGUACCUUUGGAUAUUUGUGGUCAUCUUCUUAUUGCUCAAUGUCCAAGGUGAGAAACCACAUUAAUCACAUAUUGCAAUUUCCAAAUUUACGCGUCAUGAAUACAACAAGGUUUACUUUUCAUUAUUGUAGUUUUUACCCCAGCAAAACAUGGCUGAACACAAUUUAGGCAUGGUUUGGCAUGGCGAUUCUAGUCCUCAUAUUGAGAAGGAAUUUGCACGGAGUUCAAUGGUCCUUUCCGGAGAAACACCUAGGCUGUUGAUGCUUCUGAGCAUACGAGAGUCAAGAGCAGUUAAUAUCAAGUUACCCACAACAUAAUUCCCAUCAAAACCCCUAAAGUAACGCUUAAAGGCCAAUCCUAUAAACGGGGGAUUUAACUAUAACUGAUGAGGGGCUGCAAUCAAUUAUGCAGGCUGGCAUGCAUACUUUUGGAUAUCUUUCAUGCAUACUUUUGGAUAUCUUUUGUUCUCUUUUUGGUGAGUAGAACCGUGUCCCGGCAUUGGGCUGCUUAAGCCACAUUGUACAUCUCUUGAGAAAUGAGUCAUAGUGGGAUUCAGUUUAUUAGUUAUUCUAUUUCCUUUUCUAGCUCUUGCUGUCGGAACAAAGCUGGAGCACGUGAUAAAUCAAUUAGCGCAAGAUGUGAGAGUGCUAGUAUGAACAAAAUAAAGGAGUUAAGGAAGAGAAUAAGAACACAGAAAUUAUAGUGGUUCGGCUUAAUCCAAGCCUACGUCCACUCUCCCACGAUAACAGCCUUCUUGGCUGGAUUCCACUAUGCAAUCAACAAGAGAUUACAACUCCGAGUGCAAACACUUAGUAGUAGAUCACACUAUCUCACUAAGUCACUCUCUUGGUAUUUCUCUCACGAUUACAAACGUUUAAGCUCUCAAGAGACAAGUAUAUGAUCUAAAGUCGCUUAGACUUUGGAAUUAUAAAUUCUACGCUCCGUCUCUUACUUGCUCAUCGGUCCAUGAUCUUCUUAAAUACUCCUCCACUUCCAAACUACCGUUGGACAGCAUCCCGGAGAAUCGUCUUCCAAUAUACCCAUUGGACAGCUCUGUAUCUUAGAAGAUUUGGUAGCCGUUGAGUGACAAAGGUAAAAUCCCAAAUUGAUUCCGAUCGCCCAUACAAACGAAAUCUUGGUUUCCAUAAGUAAAGCUUCUUCGUAUAGAAAGAUCUUGUCUUCAAUCAAAUCAAUCUUGAUGUGGAAUCCAAACCAGAUCACUAGCCGUUGUAUGAUUGGGCUUGAGUUACGAUUCAUCGAAUCUGGAUGUAAAGUCUGAGUCUUGAGACUUUACGAUAUGAGUCUUGAGACUUUACAACCUGGGUCUUUAGACUUUACAAUCUGAGUCUGUACCCAGUUCAGCUUCAGCAUAGAGUCUGUCUUCAGACUUUGAGUCUUGAGUCUGACAGUCUUCAGACUUUGAGUCUCGAGUCUGGCAGUCUUCAGACUUUGAUAAUAUCCUCUACAUGUUCUAUUAUCUGCAUGGUCUAUUACUCAACCAUCAAACAUGUUAGUAGCCUUUGAUUUAUUUUGUCAUCUUCAAAACAUCAUAAGGGAUUUCCCUAACAAGAUGUCGCGGAGAAGCAUGCAGCCGUGGAAGGGGACUUGGUGGUUCAACCUUCUGUUGAUCAUUUCUGGUUCCAUAGACCUCGCAUUGUCCUGCUGCUCAUUCAUAUCCUCCUCUUCCAAAAAGCUUUUGAGCUCGCUUUCUUCUUCUUCAUUUGUGCAAGGGAUAAAAAUAGCUGAAUUGCCAAAAGAAAAUAAGUGCUUACGAUUACUUACUGGAGCUUCCAUGGGGAAAAAACCUGGCAGGUUCAAUAUAGUUUUGACUCGUGCAUAAUGGGACAAGUCGGUUUCAUAAUCCCAAGACUCGUGAUAGGGUAAAAGCCUUCUUCCUUCUCCUCAUAUGUGGAUUUAUCCUUACCAAUAUCACAUGUAUCUGAAUGGCUAGCUACAGGCAAUGUUGUCAGGGUGUUGGUUCACUUCAUGUGCAGCUACAGCACCUUGCCACUCUAUGCGAUAGUUACCCAGGUGACCAAUCUAGGCACAUCGUUUUCACGGUUCAUGACUAUUUACUGCAACAUGAUAUUGAAACUGAUGGCAUACGUACUUGCGUGUUUGCGCUUGGUUGUUAAAGAUGGGAAGCUCAUUCAAGAAGGCUAUAUUUGAGGAACACAUACAUGAGGGGCUCAGCGUCUGGACCCAGCAUGCAAAAAUGAAGAAGAAUGCAAGAAUGACGGCGACUGGCACACGAUUGACCACCCUCCCCGUGGACCCCAAAGUGACUUAACAAUCCCUUGGCGAGCCAACGAAAGAAGCUGAGAUCCAAUAUGAUCCUUCCUUCCAGGGACCAAAAGAGAUGUAGCAACCAUUCGAAACAUUCCCUUCCAAUUUCCAUGUUUCAUCAUCUUUAGACCUCUUAAAUGGGAAAGUCGGCCUGCUUUCUCUACCCCGAUGUUGAUUAUAUUUCAUAACCAGACACCAAACAACAGUCAACAAAAAUGAACCUUCCAUCAAGCUCUAUUUUCUCCGAGACGGUCAUUUCUCAUUCUACAAGGUUACAUGUGAUCAUUUAGAUUUCUAGUUAGGAGAAGAUUAGAGGAUAUAAAAAUUUUGCUAAAUUCUAUCAAUUGUUCGUCGCAGAGAUAAAAUCGAAUAUAUCCACAUCAUAUUAUAUAUAUUGUAUGGUAUAAACAACAUGUCAAUACAAAAUGAAUCUAAAAUUUGCGCAAUAGAUAUGAUAAAAAUCUCUCAUAACUCUCUAACUUCAUUUUUUAUUUGCUAAUUUUUUUUAUAAAAAAAAAAUUCCUAUAUUUUUUUUAAAUUUUUUUCCCCCUUCCAUCAUUCUCUAAUAAAAUUUUAUUAUAUAGUAAACUAUAGUAAUAUAUCUAAAAUACUAAAGUCCUAAAAUAUGUAAUAUUCAUAAUGAAUAUAUGUUUAUAUAUUGAUUAAUAUUAUAAGAUAGAAAUAAAUAAAAAGAGGAUUAAAUAAAAAUGAAAUUUUUGCUUUUUUGUUAUUUUGAAUUUUUUUAUCAGAAUUAAACUAUUAUUUAUCUUCCAAUAUUAUUUUAAUUUUAUAAUAAGAAUUUUUUUUUUUGAGAAAAAAUCUUUUAUAUUAUAGAUAUUAGAAAUCUUAUUUACCUUUAUCUCACCUCUCCAUAAAAUAAUUAUAUCCAUGCUAUAGCCCUCUUAAAUAUUGAACGAACACCAAACAUAAAAUAAAUAUUAUAUCCUAAAUUUUAUUCCGAUUGUCAAAUUAUUCCACACAUUUGGACUUUUAAUACUUAAAAUCUGAUUCUAGGAAAUGAGUCAAUAGUAAAAAGUGAAAUUUUCUUGGUGCGCAAUGUUGCAAUCUUGCAGAUCAUGGAGUAGGAUAUUUUAUGUACCAAGACAGUAAACUCAAGAGAGCAAUUGCCUUAUAUGUAUCUUCUUCGGCAUAAUUUAUUACAAAUACAAAAGGAGAUACAAGAUCAAUAAAUCGUGAUUCAAUGCUUCAAAUUAUUCCCGCCCAAGCUAUUUUUGCUGUCAUAGUGGAGCUGCAAAACCAAGUUAUUUUGCAGACAUUAACUAUAAAAAUGGUUUCAAUAACAAAAAGUAGUGCAUAAUUCAACAAUCAUUACCCAUUAAUUUAAACCUUUCAUGAUUAAUCAAGAAAGUGGUUUGAGACAACAGCUCAAACAUAAACAUCAUGACGGUAACUGACUAUUACACAUAUUCUGCAGCAAAAUAGCCGCCUAUCUAUACUUCCAAUACGCAAAAUUCUCCUUUAUCAAACCGGACCCGGCCGUACCGACCGGUCUAAACCCGGGUCGGGUCAGACCGGACCCGACUCAUUUCGCCCUUUUUUAAAAUUAAAAUUAUUUUUAAAAAAUUUUAAUUAAAAAAUUAAAAAUUAAAAAUUUCGAAAAUUAAAAAAUAUAGAGUUUGGUUAGGAAUUGUCAUAUCUUGCAUUUUUACAGUAAUAUUAGGCUUUUAUUUUCUUACACCUUGAUUAUAUUGCAUGUUUGAUUCGCAUAUUUGAUUAUGUUUGUAGAUGUUCAAUUGCACGUACUCAAUUUUACUAUAAUUAAGAUCUUCAUAACUACGAUUGUUAUUUUAAUGAUUGUGUAUUCAUAUGAUCAACUCAUAUGUUAGUGGAUAUGUAUAAAAUUAAUCUAAACUGUCGAACAAAAAUCAUUAAAUUUUUAAAUGAAUAAAGAUUAUGUACAAAAAUGGCACUAAUUGGUUGCGUAGUAAGUGUGGCAUACUUCCAUGCCUCACUUGAUUUUUUUUUUUCUUUUUGCAAAAUUCUUAAGAAUAUCUAAUGUCAUGCGAGAUAUAGACUUGGAAGAGCUUGUGCUUAAUCAUGGGCCUUUUGUCCGUCAUUUAAUCUAUCCCCUCCCCUUGAGGGAAGUUUGCGACAAUGAUCUAAGCUCCAACAAUAUUCUUACAUGACAUUUUUUGCUUGUUAAUCAUGUGACUUUAACGAUGUUGUAAGUUAAAUCGAUUACACGUAAAAAGUUCCUAUCAAUAAUUGACACAAAUAGUAGUAGUGGACCGACCACAUAACAUUAGAUUGGCAGUAAAAAAUCUAAUUUCAAGAGAUCAAUAGCCUAACUGUAGCAAAUAUCGAACUUUGGCACCGUGAAUGAAAUUUCUCAGUGUUAAAAAAUAAUUUUCCUUCUCUUGUCGCGGCCACAGAGAAAAUCUUUUGACACCGCCACUACAAAAAAGGAUCGUGUUUUCUUCCAUCACAAAUUUGAUUGGCAAGUUAUCAAAAUCUGAAGAAUCAUCCUAGAGACCGAUUCAAGGACAGCAAUUGAUCUACUAGUUGGCAAGAUUACAGAGUUGUCGAGGCCAGAUUGGGUGGUGAAAACCAACACAGCCCGUGAAGGCAAAACGUGCGACGAUUGAUAAGCCAAUGCAGCGUUCUUUUAGAGACCAUAUUUAGUUAUUCACUUAGGUUUAUCUACGGGGCUUCAAUUUGUACUUUUUAGGAGAUAAAAGUGGGUGUUAGGAGGCCGGGACUUGCAUAUGAGAUGUGUUAGAAAUUAAACCAAAUUAAUAAAUGUCCUCAAUUGACUACGAGUUGCUGAUGUUAUGGAGAAGUUACCGAUAUUAAUGGUUGUCAAUGCCGAUAUUCCAGAAUUUGGUACCGAUGAUUUUGUUUGGUAAAUUUUUUUUUUUUUUGUCAGUCUUACUCUAUGCCUACUUUACACUCACUCUCAGACUUCUGCCCUGCCUCUUGUAGGGCUUGGGAGUCGAAACCCACUCCUGAAACUUACGCGUCCCCACCCCAUCCCCCUAAGAAGGUGGGGAUUUGAACCCCACAUCUCCCCCUUCCAUGUUGGAAGGAUGGCUACUGGGAUGAAUCCCACUGGGGUGAAUUGAUACGGAUGACUAUCCGAUGCUCGAGUUAAUUAGAUUCUUUAUUGUAGCGUUGUUUUUUAGAAGUCUAUUCGUAUUUUUAUUUCAUGAUUGUUCAUGUUUCUAAGUGUAAUCAAUGUUUUGCAAGUUCUUAAGAUUUUAUCACCUCAGAACAUUAGCUAUAUUUAUGAGUCAUUUAGUUUAAGAGUUAUGUGUGAAGCGUAUAAAAUUCGAGUCUUGUAAUUGUUUUCGAUAAGGUGAAAAAAAGGUGAAAUAAACAAAAAGGAUAGCUGUCUCCUUCUCUUUUUUGUGUUGUGUUAGUGAGUGUUUCAGCUUUAAAUUAUCUCAUCAAGAUCUAGCUUGUAUUUGUCUUUUACAAAAACUCAAAAUUUUCUAGUUUUGAUGCCAUAUGAAAUUAUGAAGGAGCAUUAUUAGCUAUUAUAGAAGUUUAGAUAAUUAGAUGGAUGCAUUAUUCAAUACUUAAUUGAUAUGACGCCUCUUUCACGACCUGUGUUACCUUUCAACAACUAGAUUACUUGCACAGCUUGGGCUCAAUGGACGGAGAGCUGUCUAUAAAAGUGGAGGAUGGUGGGAUGAACAACUCGAUCGCGGAGGAGGUAAAGAAGGAUGAAAGAGGACAUUUAACGGAAGUGUCAAAGGAUGAAAGGGAUUCUGAAGAAGAAAUCUGGGGAGGUCGACGGGAGAUAAUGAAUAAUGCAUUGGCGGCUUCCGCGGGGGGACAAGAUCCGGCAAAAGCUUACGAAUAUGCUCGAAAACUGGCGGGUGUCAUCAAAGGCGGCAAGGUUGACGAGUUCCUUUCCACGAUCAAUGUAAAUGAUCCAUCGUUGCGGGACAUCGAUUGGUCUGCCGUUUUAAAUUCCCGAUUGGAUUGGAACGAAUCACUGCUCCACGUGGCAGCAGAAACCGAGAAGGACGACAUCCUAAGGCUUCUGGUUGAUUAUGUUGGUGACCACCUCAUAACCGCCCAAGAUGAUUGGGGAAAUACCCCACUCCACCGGGUCACCCAGUUUGGGGGAUCUACUGGAGCUGCAGAGAUGUUGAUUCACCGGGCAAGAGACCUCCCCAACGUCGAGGACAAGAACCUCCUCUUGAGGAUGAAGAACAAACGUGAAAACACCGCUGUGCACUUCGCCGUGCGCUCUCAACAUGCCAACUUGGUGCGCUAUUUGGUGUACUGGAAGAACGCGAGUGAGAAAUCUCCCCUGUACCGAGUCCUCUACAUUAACGACUCCACAAUACAUGAGGUUUUAUUUUCACUCUCGUUGGAACCAUCAAGGAUAGAAGGCUUGCCGCCCAUUCAUGGUGCCAUUGUACUUCUACGACACGGUACGUACCUAAAUCUGCUUAUGUGGAAAUAUAUUUAUCUUUUACUGGACCGACUCGUCCCAAAUCUGUGCAAUAACUUUUUGCUGUUACAAGAACCCCUUACCAGUUUUUACUUAAAAUUCCCUACCCUGCUUGUUAAAGUAGUUGGAUACCCAUCGGUUUAGUCGCAUAAUAAACAAAAUAUUCACAUUAGAGCAUAAUAGAUGGCUUAAAUAUUACAAAUACAACCAUUUCACUAGAAACUCAUGUGUUGUCGAUCUUUGAUUAGAAAAGCUAUAAAGUGCAAAUAUUUAAGAUUGAUGACCAUGACAAUCUGGAAUCUAACAAUGACGCCAUUUUGUUGGUUGCGCAGGCGUGAUUUUUUCAUUGGAAAAAGAGGAGGUGAAGGUUCCGUCACUCUCAGCAAAUUGAUGGAAUAUCGUAAACCGUUAAUUUUUUUGUGACCAACAUUCAAUAGGUUUUUAAGAAAUUAACAAAAGUGGAUCUAAAUAAAGAAAGAAAUUUUUGACUUUUUUUUUUAAAUGAAUACAAGUUAUCAUAAUCUUUGCAGAAAAAGCCGAUACCGUAGUCUAGCCUAAAUUACCUUGACCAUUAAAAAUAUUGAGAUAAAAUUCAUCAGACACGCAAUAAUCAAUUAUGUUGAAUUUUUUGGCUGCUAAUGCCAUGUAUCCCAAGUUUACUACUUGAAAAGCGCAACUAAUGUUCAUUGAUCAUCAGAUUGGUAGAUGGCAUUCAUCUGUUACAGUCAUAUCAAAUAGAGAGAAUUGUCCAAAAAGUUCUAAAUUUAUUGUACGAUUAUCAAUUCAGUUAUAAACAUGUCAAUUGUGUCAAUUUAACCUCCAUUUUAGUCCUAAACUUUUUAAAGAUUUAAUAAUUUAGUCCUUCUAAUUAAUUUCUACUGGAAAUCAAUUUCUUCUGGAAAUCGCUGACAUGGCGGUCUAGUCAAAGCUAGCCAUCCUACGCGAUGUUGAUUGCCUUUGUGGUUUUUUUACAAUAUAUUUUUUAAUUUUUUGCAUUUUUUUCCUUUUCUUUUUUUAUCCUUUUUUCCCUCUACCAGCCUUAGACGAGGGCCGCCCUUCGACCCUUGCGUAGAGCAACCCUUGCCCUUGCUUGACUUCCACUAGGCGUCAACCGUUGAUGGUUAGAGAAGGGAAAAAGGAAAAAAAAAUUAUAAAACUAAAAAAAUUGCAAAAAUUAUCCGCAUUAGCGUUGGCUGUGCCAUGUAGAACAAUCAGUACUACUAGACCACCAUGCUUAUGAUUUCCAACAAAAUUGGCUAGAAUGAUUAAAAUGACAAAUUGUUAAAAGAUUUAUCACUAAAUUGGCAAGUUAUUAAAAUUGUUAUGACUAAAUUGGCACAAUUGAAAGAUUUAGACUGAAUUAAUCAUCAUACAAUAAAUUCAAAACUUUUUGGACAAUUUUCCCUAUCAAGUAUAAUUCCAACCCUAGAUGCAGUAACUUUAUUUUUAUCAUGUCCCAAUUUAUUAAUCCAACCACAUGUUAUUAUUUACAUUGCACGACAUAACAUGUUUGAGGCUUUCUAUUUGAAUUGAACAUGCAAAACAAUUUCAAAUGGACAUAAAGUGAAAAUGCGUAACAAUGUAUUGUGUGAUGCAAAUAAUAAAUUAGCAUACCCAAUAAAUGUAUGUGUCUAAACUUAGGUUGCACUCGUUGAAUAGAUUAUAGAAGUCGACCUGCACACAUAACGUUCAUAAUCCAUUAUAAAUGGCUUAACUUAUUUGCGAUAAUACAAUUAAACCUAAUUCUACCAUAUUUAACCACGUUUCAUGUAGUGAACAUGUAUGUAGAAGGGCUGUUUUAUAGUUUGUCAGCUCAUAAUUCUAACAAGCACUUUAGAAACUAUACAAAAGAUCCCAUUGAAAUUGGAUUUACUGUAUAUUUCUUAUUCUUACUGUCCAAUAUAUAAAAAUCCUUUUAUGAAGUACUACUGAUUGAAAUCUCGUAAUAAUAGUUCAAUUUAUUCUUCAUUGAAUGCAAAAGUAGAUGACAUUGUGGAAUGAAUCGAGCGUUGCCAUGGGCUUUUGUAGAUAGGCACUUUAAUUAGGUUAUCAUGAUAGGCACUUUUUUUAAGGUUCAUAUCAAUUAAAUAAGGUAAGGUUAUUUCUUUAAAUCUAGUAAUGUUCUUUCACUUGGGAAAAUUAUCAAAAAAGUCCUAAGUAUAUUGCACUUUUGCCAAUUCAAUUUUAAAUUAUUCAAUUUUGUCAAUUCAGUGCUAAACCUUUUUCACUUCUUACCAAUUGAGUGUAUUCGACUAAUUUUGAUCAGAAUUCAUUGAUGUUGAUAAUUUUUAUUAAUAUUUUAAUCCUUUUUAAAAAAAAUUAUAUUUUUUUCGAUUUUCUUUCUUUCUUCCCCCCAUUCUUCUUCCUUUUAUCAGUGGCCGGCUACCAAUCACCAGUGAUGGCCAGCUACUAGCCAUGGCUGGGUGAGUUGACCUUGCCGUAAGUGAUGCCUAGCCAGGCAAGGCCAAGCCUCAACAAGGGUCGACCUCACCUAGGUUAGGCAAGACCAACCCUUGCCCAAACUAGGCGAGAUCGCCUGGACGAGGGUGAGCCCCCUUGUUCGGCCACAUCUUACUGAGGCAUGCGAGGCUAGCUAGCUUGGCCAUAGUCGGUGGCUAGCACAAAGGAAGAAGAAAGGGAAAAAAAAUUAGAAAAAAAAUCAAAAAAUAUUUUUAAAAAUUGUUUACAUUAGUGCCGACUAUCCUACAUGACACCGCUAAUGUCCACGUCAGCAAAUUCCUAUCAAAAUUGGCCAGAUAGACUCAAUUAGCAAGAAGUAAAAAGGUUUAUAACUGAAUUGACAAAAUUAAAAAGUUUAUGACAGAAUUGGUAUAAGUGCAAUAGAUUUAGAACUUUUUGGACAAUUUUCACUAUUUCACUAAUGUAUCUAGAAUGUAACCGGUUACCCAUAUUGAAAUUUGUGGCCUGAAUUGCUCCGUCAAUUUCAAGGAUGAUGGCAUCCGUCAUGCGAGCACCUUUUUUUGUAUUUGUGUAAAAUUGAAGUAUGUUUUUUAUUAUAAAUUAUUGGUGAAAUAUUAUUCUAUUUCAUAAAAAAAUUCUUCUUUUGAAUAGACUAAAUGCAAAAUUCUUAAUUCGUGUUAUAUAUUAAUGUAAAUAUAGGGGGGUCAACGACAAUUAGAAAAUUCCUAAUUAUCGCUGUUAUAUGACUGAUGAAAUUUGUAUAUGUACGUAACAAUAUUAUUAGAGUAUAUUUUAUAGGAAGUAUUAUAGAAAUGUAAGAAUUUUCAAUAAUUGCUCAUUUGCGGUUUUUGAAACUCAUUAGAACUAAUUUCAAUAAAACUAAUGCCUCUUUUGUUGAACAAAAUUCAUGGUAUAAGAGGCAAACAUAGAUCCUAAUUUGAAGCAAAAUAAAUGGAAAGUGGAAGAAAAACACUCUUUGUGAGGAAAAUAAUUAAUCCCUUACAAAUUAGAGCCCUAUAAAUCACUUUUAGAGACAAUUCUUAAAGAAAAAAAUCAUUAUAUAUCUAUGUAGAUGUUACAACAGUCUAGAUUAAUUUGCAAAGUUCAUUGAACUUUUAGUAUUAUGGAUGUAAUUUUUUUGGCGAUGAAAUGAGGCUUGUUUUAUUUUGUGUUGUGUCAUCACAGCUUAAAUAUGUGGUCGUUAUAGCUAGGAUAUAUAUGACUCCAUGCAAUGCACAUACCAUAUAAUGUGAUUUAUUGAGUAAAAAUAUCUUUCCCAGAAUCACUAAAAUUUCACAAAAUAUAUUUGGUCCAUUCACAAGAUAUAAUGGGAUUGAGUAGCACAAUCCCCAAGGAUGAGGUUAUC